rnacentral:lncRNA from 1 species
UAUAUAAUAAUAUAAUGAUUGGCUAAUAUAUAAUUCUCCUCAUUAAUAUUUUUAUCAUACAAAACUCAAAUUAUAAACAAGAGAGAAAUCAUGGCAUAUUGUGCAUUUGACAUAUUUCAUCCAUUCAUGAGAAACAAAAGAAGCUAUUUUACUAAACGUUUUUCAAAACGACUUUAGCUCUAUCAGAGAAGCUGCAUGUGUAGGCCUGGAGCCAUGGAGCCAUGAACAUAUGCAUACGUCACAAUUUACAAGCAGUGCACGUAAGCACGUCAUAAUUUACAAGCCAGGCCACGGAGCUAGAGACAUUCUUCGGCCCCGUUUUCUUCCACUGACUUAUUUUUAGCACCCGUCACAUCGAAUGUUUAGAUACUAAUUAGGAGUAUUAUUAAGAUUUGCUUGAAGUACCUUCACUUGCUCUUCGGCUUCUACCACUAGAUCAAGACCAUAGGUUUGUCUUUCUCCAGUUUGUGACCAAUUUAAUGGUGUCCGACAUUUCCGGCCAUAUAGGACUUCAAACGGUGCCAUCUUCAAACUGGCUUGGUAGCUAUUGUUGUAAUAGAACUCCGCCAAUGGCAGGCACUUGUCCCAAUUUUUGUCAUAGUGGAUGACACAAGCUCUCAACAUGUCUUCAAGGAUCUGAUUGACUCUUUUGGGUUUGACCAUCGGUUUGAGGAUGAUAGGUUGAGCUACGGAUGAGUUUGGUGACCAUGGAUGCUUGUAGCUGUUCCCAAAAGCGUGCUACAAACUGAACUCCUCGAUCAGAGAUGAUGGUCUUAGGCACACCGUGUAGGGAAACAAUGCUGUCAGAUNNNNNNNNNNNNNNNNNNNNNNNNNNNNNNNNNNNNNNNNNNNNNNNNNNNNNNNNNNNNNNNNNNNNNNNNNNNNNNNNNNNNNNNNNNNNNNNNNNNNAGGAGCUGCCUAUGAGUUGCUACCCUUAAACAUCUGUAAAUAAUGGGCUUAACUAGGGCGUAAUUAGGCUCAAUAGAUUCGUCUCGCCGCUUAGAUCCAUCUUAUGUCAUCCUUUUUUAAAUCGUCUACGUUUAAUACUCCUAAUUAGUAUCUAAACAUUCGAUGUGACACGUGCUAAAAAUAAGUCAGUGGAAGAAAACGCCCCCGAAUAUUACUUAGGAGUUUAGGACUUGGGAGUGGCGAAAAUGGAAGAAACAACAUUAGCCCAACGUAAUCCACAAAUCUGCCGGGUCACCGUCAAAGCCCCGCAUCUGGCCCUGCAGAAACUUCAGAAAAUUGGAAAGAGAUUUGUAAAUAAGUUAGUCAAAGGAGAUUUUAAGAGCGUGCCUUUCUUUUAUCUGAUAAUGUGUACUAUCAUACCGUCACUUUGGGAAAAAAAAUUCUAAACAAAACGAUUCUUUUGGAUGAUUAAAUAGCUAACAUCCAUUAAAACAGCAGUGUUUCAGUGUUCCGUCUAAAAUGAAUUUAUAAUAUGUAUGGCAGUACAAGUAAAUGAAUAAUUGCAGUUAUGGGAAGCUAGUGUUUUGAUAUCUAUCUGGUCCGGAAUUUUCUAGAACACAACCAAGCAUAUAUGUGCGCAUAGCCACAUUGUACCGACUGCCCCCAAUUGGCAUCACAGUGGAGCUAGAAAAUUUUCAAGUGCUAGAGGUAAACUGAUGAAUUAGCUCUCACCUUUGUUUUUUAUAGCACGCAGAUCAACUAGGUGGCGCAUCGUUGGCCUCCCAUGUGGGCAGUUCCAUGGGGACCUUAAUCCUGUUAGAUUUUUAAGUAUCUGAAGUACAAAAGUAAAAGGGGCAUGUUACUGAGUAUUUUAAAUGAAUGCUUAUCUUUGUCUAAAAAAGGAACGCCUAUCUUUCAAUGAGCAGUGACACUAUGGGGGAAGGCAUUGCAUAUACUUCUGCAAAGACAGAAAUGGCGUCCAAAGACCCUAGAAGUUCCAUCUGAAUCUAACUGAAUUUGUAAUUACCUUUCUCAUCUCGGCUUUUGUCAGUGGAUCGCCAAUCAUAAUAGACAUUCGGCAAGCCCUUGAAGCCAACAUAGCACGAACCCUCGAAGGGCAAACAGAAUCAGUUUUAUCCAGCUUGUAGCUACUGAUUAUCGAACAGUCUCCUUGACUAUCAGCAAGCAUGGAGAUCAGCUCCUUUACAUCUAAUCAAGGAAAAUUAGAAUAAGACCAUGUUUGACAUGAGCAAAAGAAACCAAAAUUUCUGACAUAUGAUAAGAAAUAAUACCUUGAACACCAAAUGUAAUAUUUUUGCUGAAAGGCACCGCUUUCAAAAGAUAAUGGUUACCAGGGGAAGCAUGCAAAUCUUCUUCCAAAACAAAGCCAUUUGUUCUGAAAGUUGAGAAAAUGGAAGAAAACAGGUGAGGUAGCACGAAUUUGCUCAGUAUCAGUAAGAGCUGUCAUCAUGGCAUGUUUCAUCAAUUGGUGCCAGAGAGGAAAAGAACUUGAUGAUUCAAGACCACGUUGGCAUAAUUGCACAUUUUAUCAGGCAUAAUUGAUAUUUUCAACAUUAAAUAGAGAGCAAAACUUUUUGGAAGGAAAAAACACAAGGAACUGAUAUAUGAAGAGCGUGACUACAUGAGUUAUUCAUAUGACUUGCAGGCUAUAAAAGCUGCCUAGUUCCACCUAGGUCGGUAUAGCUUAUUUUUUCAUGAUGUACAAGACUUUUUCGCAACAGGAAUGUGGAGCAUACAAUGUAUUUGUUUUUUUAAUAAAUAGAUAACACUAGAGUAAGUAUAGAUAACAAAUGGAUAACACAAGCUGUGAAUAUGGCCAUCAGAGUUUUUUUUCCUUUGUUAGGGGGCGCCAACAAUGAUAAUUUUUCUUCAAAAAAUUCAGUGCAAAAAUUCAAGUCGGGGGGGGGGGGGGGGGGAAUGUUCAAAACAAAAUAGUAGUGGGUGUUGUUUGAGCAAGCAAAUGUUAAUUGUUUAGAUGCAACAAACAUCUGGUCACAUAAGCAACUGAAUAUUACAGCAUCAAAAAUGCAUAUUCAUCAUUAAGUCGUUCUAUCCUAGAAUCGAAUGGCCAAAUUGAAGUAGUAAGACAAUGAAUACCUGAUAGUGUUCAUGUUCAUAGAAACUAUUACUUCUUCCUCCGGUGAUAGAUCAAGCCUCAGUGGCCUGCAUUUGAAUAUAAUCACAAAUACCCAACAGAAAGAGGUAUAUCGCAAAUGGCACACAUAAAUACAAUGCUACAAAUUAUGGAUCCAUACUUGGAAACACUCAAACAUCACAGAGUUAUGAGCNNNNNNNNNNNNNNNNNNNNNNNNNNNNNNNNNNNNNNNNNNNNNNNNNNNNNNNNNNNNNNNNNNNNNNNNNNNNNNNNNNNNNNNNNNNNNNNNNNNNGAAAUGGUAAUGCAAAUCCGGAUGAUAAUGUAAGUUGUUUGUGAUGACACCAAAAAUGUUACCUUGUAGCUUUCUCAAGACAAUUUGCUUUAUUUGCACGCGAUGUCAUAAAACCAUUCUUUCUUCUUCUCCUAAGAUCAGCAACAGUAAAUUGCACAAUGGGAUAUUGUACAGAUGCAGAAUAUACUGCAGCAUCAUUAUCAGAAUCAUGAGCAUCAGGCAAAGGACUAUCCUUCAAUGUAUUCAGAUGUUCCACUUCUGAAUGUUUAUUGGGAGCACCAGAAAUCGAAAGACAUCGAUCAUGCUGUUCCUCCUGCAAGGAUUCCAGCAGUUAAUCCCGUGAGUGAUGGAAACAAAAGCUUUUUUUCGGUUUGAGUUAAACUCAUACUGAACCACAGGUAGCUAACGAAAGAAAUUAUUCCAGAAGCAAUGUCUAUUGUUUUAAACUAAAACUAAUAGCAAAAAUACCAAAAUUAGAUUGAUAAUUCACAAAUUAGAACAAUGUAAUCUUGCAAGAAAAUAAAAUAGAAAAUAGAAAUCCAUCAUGAACUCUUAGAUUUAGGAGCAGCAGGCAAAGCAUUUAACAGGAGUGUUAAGAAUAACAAGUGAGCAAGCAGCAUAAGAACAUGGACAAAACAAGCUAAGGUAUUGGCAGCAGUUCAAUCUCCACCAGAAUAUAAUGGAAAGGGCUGCAUAUCUGACUGUAAACAGUUUGCUUACCACAUCAGGUUCUGGAGUGAGAACAUCACAUGGACUUAAUACUUUCGCACCACAGAUCACAGUAUUAGGCGGUUCAGAAUGCUGUGGUGAAACAUCUGCCCUCACAGAUACAAAAGAUCGUGGGGAUUGCUGUUUUAAAGAGUUUGUUUCCAGAGGCAAAUUGAACUCAGGAAUAUUAGAUGUCCUUGAGCUUAAUGCAGCUGGUGGAUUUGCAUCUAAACUUGUUCUCCUCACUUGUUCUGAGCCUACCCCACUUCUCAACACUGGAGUUUCAGAGAUAAGAUUGCAAUUAUCUUCGUGCUUCUGCUUAUUUGGUGAAACAAAGUUUCCUUCCAAACUUGUUCUCCUCACCUGUUCUGAGCAUGCCCCUAUUCUCAGCACUGGAGCUUCAGAAAUAAGACUGCAAUCAUCUGUAUAGUCCGGCUUGUUUGGCAAUAUAAAAUUUGCUUCCAAACUUGUUCUCCUCACUUGUUCUAAGCAUGGCCCUCUUCUCAACACUGGAGCUUCAGAAAUAAGAUUACAAUCGUCUUCGUGCUUCCGCUUGUUUAGUGAUACAUAGUUCAUAAGAGAAGAUUGAACAGUAGGUGAAUGGGUAGAUUUUGCAGCAAGCCCUGUUCUGAAAUGAUUUGCUCCCGGUGCACAACCUUUUCCUUCUUUAGGAAAUCUUUUAGGUUGUUCAUAUGAGAAGGAUGGAAGCCAGGCAGAUCUAUCAGCCUGAGUGGCUGUGCCUCUUGACAAGGGGCUCACUUCUCUAGAUGUGGCAUCAAUGGCUACCUUUGUCACUGAAGAAGGCUUUUUCUUGUUCUCUGGUGAAACCUGAUCCUCGCUGUCUGUUUCUUCCUUGUCAUCACUAUUGUCCGGAGAUGAAACAUUCUCUACUUCUAUCAAAUCUGUGUCUUCACUAUGCCCAUCAGUAACAGUAUCCUCUUCCUUUUCAGGAUCUUCAACACGAUUGACUGAGAAACUACAUUGUUGAGGGGAAUACAGAUUUUCAACAGCUUCACGUAAAGACCGCAGAAUUAUACUCUCAGAUGAGAAGAAAAUCUUUCUCUUGUCAGGUGCGACAUUCACAUCAUAGGAUGUGGUUGGAAUACGGAAAUCCAGGAGAGCCACAGGAUAUUGCUUGGCAUUCGAGCUUCUGUACAGCUCAUUGACAAGUUUUGUGACCUUUGGCAUAUCAACAGGUCUGCUGUUCACAUAGAAGAAUUGUCUAUCUCCUGAAUUGCGACCAGUACCAGGUCCAGGUUUUGAGAGAAAGCCUUCUACUUGGCAGCCAUCUGAGAUGGUAACACUGAAGGGCUCAAGAGACUUGAAAGUGUUCAGACCAAAUACGGUAAUGAUAUUGUCUUUCAUUGAACUGCUGCCUUGAGUUCUAAGCACCACCAUUUUAGAAUUUUUGCCAACAGUAUUAGUGCAAAGUAAUCUGACCCCUUUGGCAAUCAAGGCAUAAGCCUAGCACAAGUAAGAUGCAACAAUUAGUAAUAGAGGGUAAAUAGACAAUCAGACAAUAAAACCUAAGCAAUAAUCUGAACAGAACAUGCCUACUACAGGAAGGAAAUAAGUAGAGAUGUGUGACAAUAAAUUGUUGAAGGGGAACAGUUACCCUCAACAUUUGAUAGCCACACACAAAACAUGCAAAGCAAAGCAAUCUUAGGAACUGAAACAGACAACUCACAUUCAGCAGGGAGAUCACUUUCCCAUACUCUUUCCGAAUGUUCCUGUUAAACUCCUUGCUCCUGACCGGCAAGGUGGAGAACAACUUCUCGACUGUCACCGUGGUCCCAACCUGCCGUGCGGUCUUCCUCUCGCUGGCCACCACGCCCGAGUGCUCAAACUCCAAACGCGUCCCAACGGACUCAUCCUUGGUCCUCGUCUCAACCGUCAGUUUCCCCAGCGCGCAGAGCGAGCUCAGCGCUUCACCCCGGAAUCCGAAGGUGACCACGGAUCCGAGGUCGGAGAAAUCUGAUAUCUUGGAGGUGUGGUGCUUAAGAGCAAGCGCCUAUUGAAGUGGCCGCGGCAUGAUUAGCGAGGGGCAAUUCGUGGCAAUGCCUAAUAGCAGGGAAAUGGGGGGAAGGGGAACUGAUGGCUCCUUGUAUUGGGGACAGAUGCCUCACCUGGAAGUUGGCGGGCGAGAUGCCGUAGCCGUUGUCGGCGACCUUGAACCACUCCGCGCCGUAGGCCUUGAGGCUGACCUCGACGGAGGUGGCGCCGGCGUCGAGGCUGUUCUCGACGAGCUCCUUGACGGCGGAGGAGAGGUCGAAGAUGACCUGGCCGGAGCAGAUGCGGUGCACCACCGCCUUGCUUAUCGGCUUGAUCGCCGGCGAGGAGCCGCCGCGCCCGUCUCCUCCUCCAGCUCCAGCCAUUCCUCCUUAAACCCUACGCCUCCCGGUGGAGAGGACGGGGUUUCCGGCUUCUGCUUCCUCUAAUCCUCUGGAACCCGCGCUCCUGGCUAUGCAACCGGCAAGCGAUUGAUUUCGCAGGCUCGCCGCAGUCGCAGCACGAGUGGCGGCGGCGAGACGCAUAUGCGUUGGGCCUUCAGUGGGCUUGGCCCAGAUAGAGAAUGAAACUCGAGAAAAAUGGGCCUUUUGUUAAAAGAAGUUUAGGCCCAUGCUUUUCUCUUUUUCCUAAAGAAAUUUAGGUCCAUUUUUUUGUAUGACCCAAUCCAAAUAUUGCCUAUGAUCAGGUAUAAUUUUCUCUGAGCUUCUUGUUGUCUCCAUGCUUCGUCAUGCUACCUUAUCCUGCAUACUUGAUUUUAUAAUUGCCGAGAUGAAACUACAAAUUCAUUUUGAAACUUCUGAGCCAGCUUCAUAAUAAACACAGCCGGCAAUAGCUAAUAAUUAGAAAAAAAAAAUCUGUGUGUAUACACAUAAAGUGUUUUGGUCUUUUGGGGCAUUAUUGUUAGGUUCGGGUUGAACUGAAUUCGCUUAGGAAAAAAAAUAAAACUCCAGCGCAGACUCAAGUGAAAAUGUUGCAACCUCGCGCAACCAAGAAUUAAGCACGGCUUUGUCCAUAACCAGGCCAGGUCACCCCCAAAACCACCCUCCCGCCCACCGGAUUAUGGCGCACCGGUGGCCGGUCAAAGCAAGCAGCCGGACAACACAAGCCCAAGUUGGCCGCGACUGCGUCCAAAGAACGUGACGAAUCCGCAACAGAACCAUGCGUUCUCCGUUCCGAGUCACCAUCAACUCAAUUAAAAAGAAAAAGAAAACGUGACGAUUCCGAAGAAGCGAGGAGGCGCCUCGCCGCGGCGCCACCCAUCACCCAGCCUGCCGCGCGGCGCGUUUCAGCCCGCGUGAGCUGGUUGGAUGCACCUGCGUGGAGGUGCGGGUGGCCCCCGGGUUCGUCGGCCGCGACCGGUGUUUGACUGCCCCGCCGCCGCCCAGACGAGCGGUUCUCGCAUUGGAUUUGUAUACUUUUGUUCGUUUUACACCUUUCCAUUUGCCGAAUUUGUGUAGCUGUAUCCCUCCUGUGGUAGCAUUAGUGUAUGGGCCCCACGUACCGCAAAAAAUGUUCUCACUCCCCUCCGUUUCUCCUCCCCCAGGCGAGCAGAGAGGAAAAGACACAGCGUCGUCUCCAUCUCUCGUUCCCCAUCCUUUCUAUUCUCCUGCCGGAGCUUCCCAACCCCAUCAAUCCAGCCAUGGAUCAAGAAAUUAAUUCCAUGGAGGACGGUAAAUAAAAACUCCAGCAUGUUUUUACUUUUUUCUAAAUUCCAAUGUGUUCCACGUACCGGUUACAACGGCCGUAAUCUACUAAUUUCUCUCUCCCGUUCCACCUCGGUCACUUUCCAAAGACAGAAGCGUGCACUUAUAUACACGCAUAAGUUAGGUGAUAGCAAAAGCGUUUCGUGGAUCGGAACGCUGGCGAGAAAGAAUUAGAACAUUGACGAGAUAGCGUAUAACGAUCUUCUUGCUUCUUUAUUAGUUUUUUUUAAUCAGUAACGGAUAAUUGGAUGAGGCUACAAUUUGUGUCGGAUACGAAAGUGAUCGAGUAGAGAUACAUGUUAAGGGGGAAAAUAAUAGCAUGGACCUUUGUUUAUGCAUUUUCAUACGAAAUAAUGAAGAGCACCGCUAGGCGCUAAACAUAGGAAUAUGGUACGGCUGGUUUUUCGUCUACAAAAUUGCAACCACUUCCUUUCUUUGAUCGCAAGAAAAAAGUGGGUUUCAGGGGGUGUUUGUUUCUUUAGUCCCUCCUAAAAUUUCUAUCACAUCAAAUGUUUAGAUACUAAUUAGAAAUAUUAAAUAUAGACUAAUUACAAAACCAACUGCACGGAUGGAGACUAAUUUGCGAGACGAAUCUAUUAAGCCUAAUUAGUUCAUGAUUUGACAAUGUGAUGCUACAGUAAACAUGCGUUAAUGAUAGAUUAAUUAGCUUAAUAGAUUAGUCCUCCUAAUUAGUCUGCAUCUGUGUAAUUAAUUUUAUAAUUAGUUUAUAUUUAAUCUCAUAAUUAGUCUCCGAAUAUUUGAUAAAAAACGCACCAUGUGAAAGGAAUCCUGCCAAGUGUGGAUACUAAGCGAAUUCCAACAUAUUUCAAGGACUUGAACACAAACAAUGCUGGUAUAUAACAAGACCCGGACAGACUUUCCCCCACCAGAACGAGAGAGGAAGAACUCGAAAAAGACAGAAGGCGAAAAUUCGAAGGAAAGAAGAAGAGGAGAACGCGAAGCAAAUGGCGGAGGGCCCGAGCAAGAUGGAAUCCAUGAGGAAGUGGGUCGUCGAGCACAAGCUCCGUGCCGUAGGUACGCCUCGUCAGUUUUCCUGCGGAUUCGUUUUCUUCGCCCGGAUCUAGUUAUUCGGCGUUGGUUUAUGAUGUAUCUCAAAUCCCUACAAUUUCUUUCUGACGUUAUUAGCGGAGUUUCGCAAUUUGGAUUGUGGGAGUCUAUCACGAAAUUAUGACCUAGUUUUUCUGUUUUCCGAGUAUUUUUGGGAAAGUUGUUUUUUUAGAUUAUUUCCCCUACUGGUUGCAAAGUUUUCUGAUUAUUGCGGGAUGUUUGGUUGGAGAAAAGGUUGCCUCUGGCUCACUGGGAUCAGCAGUUCGAUCGCCUACAACUGGUCGCGGCCCAAUAUGAAGCCUAGCGUCAAGAUCAUCCACGCAAGGUUAGUUUAUUUUCUCAUUUUUAUUUCACUCCUUUAACUUUUUGCGCGUUUUUAACUACAGGAUAGCAUGUCUUGUAUUAUCAUAAACAAGAAUACCGCAAUUGAUUUAUUCUUUUCUUAGAUCCAAUAACUUAAUUAGUCUUGAACAUUUCAUAUUUUUAAAACUACUACAAUUAAAAAUGGUUGAUUUUCUUGUCUGCGUCUGAAACUCCGUUUGAGAGCUAAUCUGCAAUAUGAAAAAGCCCGACCAACUUACAUGUUCCUAGACCUACAGGACUACAUCUCCACGGACUUCAUAUGAUUUUUUGGAAGUUUCUGUAAGGCUGGCUUAUUAGGUAUAACAUUGCUCAAUAACUGCUAAGAUUCCAGCCACAGUUAGGUAGGAUGGACUUGGCAUCAGGAUUGUAAGUAAAGAUCGGUGGUCUGGCAAGAAGUUUGAUUUGAUUGUAGAAAAGUCUCUGGUUUCAAUCGUUGUUAACUGUUGGUAGUGGUUAUAAAGUAGGUGGUGACAUUUGGCACAAGCACAAAUGCAGGGAUACCGUGGGUUUGCUGUGCCUGGAGGAAAAUAGUUGGUCUUGAUUCUUUUCAAAUAUACAGCAUUGGUUUAUAAGGUUGUAUGACAGUGUGUAUUUAUAUGGAUUUGGUUUCACAAAUUGGUUUGGGUGCCUGCCUGAUAGUGUUACCUUAUCUCCUGUAGUCCUGUUUUAAGCGUGCAGUCGUACCAUUCAAAAGAAAAGUUAAAGUUUAGUAGCUUCUUGGUUAUUGCAGACCUGUGCUUGAUGAUCUGUUAGGUAUAUACACUGGUAUUUGUCCUUACAUGAUGUAAGGAGUAAUUUAGGCAGCCUCUAGUUUAGUCUUUAAGCUCAUAAGGUUGUAAGAGUACCAAGUUCUCUCUGUUUCCUGCACCUUUAUGCAUUGGCUUAUAUGACCUGUCCACUCCAGCCUAAAAGUAAAAGAACAUCCGCAGAUGCAUUACCCAAUCCCUUGUCAAACUACUUUAGAUUGAACUUUUUAAUGCGUUUUCACACCCUCCUCCAAAGUCCUAAUUUGCUUAUUUCUUCUGAAUGUUCUGUAAGCCUGUCCAAGCCUAACUGCCAAAUUUGGGCGUGUUUACCUAGUUCAGCACAUAAAAUAUCUGAACUGUUGCUAUACCUUUGGCAUUCUGCCAAUAAUAGGAAACUCCUUGCCUUUUUUUUUUGCCAAAAUGGGAUGAAAACAGAUGCUACUUAAUUGAUGGUUCCAAUUUUUGCAAGUUUUUAGGGCCUACCUGCAUAAACAUAAAAACACCCUUAAAACCACUAUGGAUUGAACUUGUACAUUGAUCUUUCUCAUGUUGAAGGAUAGUGUUGUACAAAAUCCUUGAUGAACCUUCUCGCUGUGGCUGUUAAUUGGUGCAACCUUCACCUCAUAUAUUGCAGUAGUCAACAAUGUUGUAAGAUAGGUUAAAUUCAACUGCUAAUCAAUCGCAUGUAAAUGUACCGAAGAUGAUUGUUUUCAACUUUUCAUUCUGUAUCAUCUUUUGCUAUUUAUUUGCCUCUGGCUCUGAGCUCUUUUUAAUUCACAUAUAUAUGGCUUGUACAUGUUGUACUUCAUUGCACCUGCUUCGCUGAUGUUACUUCUCAUAGUGCUCAUUUCAUAACGGGUUCUGCGGUUUUAAAAAGAUAGUGUGCAUGACAAUUUGAUCUUAGAUUGGCGACCUUAGAUUGUGUGCAUGACAAUUUCAUAACAAUUGCUUAGAUUGGCAACCUUUGUUGCACGUAGACUGUAGCCACUGCAUGUAUUACUGAAUAUAGAAAUUGCAGCUGUUUUAAUACACACAGAUUCCAGAUGACUUCACUUGUAUUCAAUUCUAUCAUGCUAUUAUUUGAAAACUCACAAUCCUAACAUCUCAUAAACUGUUGACUUUUGCAGGUUGCAUGCGCAGGCUCUAACCCUUGCUGCAUUGGUUGGUUCUGCAUGUGUGGAGUACUAUGAUAACAAAUAUGGUUCUUCUGGGCCUAAGGUGGACAAGUACACAAGCCAAUACCUGGCACACUCGCAUAAAGAUUAAGAUCUCCAUGUUCAUUCCUGCAUAGCGGAUUAAUUUUGGGCUCAUUUCUGGGUGCUCAACUGCUCAUUAACUAUGUCCCUGGAUGCUGGAUGGUUCUCUUUGCCCCCUUAUUAAUGCAAAAUGACAGUGUACUUGCCAGGGCAUUCCUGGGAAAUGGCAUAGAGGGUGUAAUGGUGAUAUCACCUUCAUAAUUUAGCCUCAGGUUGCAUUAUGCAACAUCACAUUGUGAACCUUCCUUGGAUGUUUUUAUCUUUUUUCCCCAAAGAAAAGCAAAGGAGAGAGAUCCUGGUUUUUGCCGAACUGUUUUGUGUUCUCUGUCUCUUGUUCAUGCGUGCUUGUAUGCUGCUGGCAACGCAAAUCAGAGAUGCUUUUAACGAUGAUUUGUAGUUGUGGAUAUGUACUACUCGCAAAUUACAACUUUAUUAUAAUAAAAUUCAGCCUAUGCUCUAUACAAAAUCAACUCAUUUUGUGGUCCCUUCUUUUGAGAAAUUUUGUGGCGUCUUCCAAAGAAUUGAAACGCUAGAAUUUGUGUGGUCCGUUAAAAUUCUAGGGGAUCAUUGCGCCUGCUCUCCGAUGCACAAUUUAGUUUUUUAAAAAAUAGCCUGCAUAGACGCCGACAGGUGGAGCCCGUCACAUUACGCCUGGUGCGUCAAAACUCGAAGACCCCAACACCUUCCCGGGCGGCGGCGGCGGCGGCGGCUCGAUGCUACCCCGAUGCGGACGCCGGAGACCAUCGGCCCGCUCCUCGCCCGCUACGGUGCGUCGCGGUCGCUGCUCGCGGGGGCGCACCUCCACUCCCACCUCCUCAAGUCUGGCCUCCUCGCCGCCUGCCGCAACCACCUCAUCUCGUUCUACUCCCGAUGCCGCCUUCCGCGCGCCGCGCGCGCGGUGUUCGACGAAAUCCCGGACCCGUGCCAUGUCUCCUGGUCCUCGCUCGUCACCGCCUACUCCAACAACUCCAUGCCCCGGGAGGCGCUCGGGGCGUUCCGGGCCAUGCGCAGCCGCGGCGUCCGGUGCAACGAGUUCGCGCUCCCCGUCGUGCUCAAGUGCGCGCCGGACGCCAGGCUCGGCGCGCAGGUGCACGCGCUGGCGGUGGCCACGGCGCUCGACGGGGACGUCUUCGUCGCCAACGCGCUCGUGGCCAUGUACGGCGGGUUCGGCAUGGUGGACGAGGCCAGGAGGAUGUUCGACGAGUCUGGUGGCGCCAUCAGCAAGGAGAGGAACGCUGUCUCUUGGAACGGCAUGAUGUCGGCGUACGUCAAGAACGACCGGUGUGGGGACGCCAUCGGGGUGUUCCGUGAGAUGGUGUGGAGCGGGGCGCGGCCGAACGAGUUUGGGUUCUCCUGCGUCGUGAAUGCGUGCACGGGGGCCAGGGAUUCGGAAGCCGGGAGGCAGGUGCACGCCAUGGUGGUGAGGAUGGGUUAUGACGAGGAUGUGUUCACAGCAAAUGCGCUGGUCGACAUGUACUCGAAGCUGGGGGACAUUGAUACGGCAGCGGUGGUUUUUGAGAAGAUGCCUGCAGUGGAUGUUGUCUCGUGGAAUGCUUUUAUUUCCGGAUGUGUGAUUCAUGGCCAUGAUCAUCGUGCACUGGAGUUGCUGAUCCAGAUGAAGUCUUCGGGGCUGGUGCCCAAUGUGUAUACAUUGUCUACUAUCCUGAAGGCUUGUGCUGGUGCUGGUGCAUUCAAUUUGGGCCGGCAAAUUCAUGGGUUUAUGAUCAAGGCCGAUGCAGUUUCAGAUGAAUUCAUCGGUGUUGGUCUUGUCGAUAUGUAUGCAAAGGAUGGGUUUUUGGAUGAUGCAAGGAAGGUGUUCAAUUUCAUGCCCCAAAAGAAUUUGAUUUUGUGGAAUGCACUGAUCUCAGGUUGCUCUCAUGAUGGACAAUGUGGCGAGGCGCUGUCACUCUUUCGCAGGAUGAGAAUGGAGGGGCUUGACCUUGAUGUCAAUAGGACAACACUGGCUGCUGUUCUCAAGUCAACAGCGAGCUUGGAGGCAAUCAGUCACACAAGACAGGUCCAUGCUCUUGCAGAGAAGAUAGGGCUCCUAUCUGACUCUCAUGUCAUCAAUGGGCUUAUUGAUUCAUACUGGAAGUGUGACUGCCUCAAUGACGCAGUUAGGGUUUUUGAAGAAAGCUGUCCUGAUGACAUCAUAUCUUCUACAUCCAUGAUAACAGCACUCUCACAGUCUGACCAUGGUGAGGAUGCAAUAAAGCUGUUUGUGCAGAUGCUAAGGAAAGGGCUUGAGCCUGAUUCUUUUGUACUAAGUAGCCUCCUGAAUGCUUGUGCUAGUCUGUCGGCCUAUGAACAAGGAAAGCAAGUGCAUGCUCAUCUGAUCAAGAGGCAGUUCACGUCAGAUGUGUUUGCAGGGAAUGCUCUUGUGUACACCUAUGCAAAAUGUGGGAGCAUAGAGGAUGCAGACAUGGCCUUCUCUGGCCUACCAGAGAGGGGAGUUGUCUCAUGGUCUGCAAUGAUCGGAGGGCUCGCGCAGCAUGGACAAGGGAAGAGAUCGUUGGAAUUGUUCCAUAGAAUGCUUGAUGAGGGCGUUGCCCCAAACCACAUCACUUUGACCAGUGUUCUCUCUGCUUGUAACCAUGCAGGGCUUGUUGAUGAGGCCAAGAAAUACUUUGAGUCAAUGAAGGAGAUGUUUGGAAUUGACAGGACCGAGGAGCAUUACUCGUGCAUGAUUGAUCUUCUUGGCCGUGCAGGGAAAUUAGAGGAUGCGAUGGAGCUUGUCAACAACAUGCCAUUCGAAGCUAAUGCUGCAGUUUGGGGUGCACUCUUAGGAGCCUCAAGAGUUCACCAAGAUCCCGAGCUGGGAAGGUUAGCAGCUGAAAAGCUCUUCACUCUAGAGCCAGAGAAGUCUGGCACACAUGUCCUGCUUGCAAACACUUAUGCUUCAGCAGGCAUGUGGGAUGAGGUGGCUAAGGUGCGGAAGCUAAUGAAAGAAAGUAACCUCAAGAAGGAGCCUGCUAUGAGCUGGGUUGAGAUGAAGGACAAGGUGCAUACUUUCAUUGUCGGUGACAAGAGCCAUCCAAAGGCAAAGGAGAUAUAUGGUAAGCUAGAUGAACUGGGAGAUCUGAUGAACAAAGCUGGUUAUGUUCCAAAUGUGGAGGUCGAUCUGCAUGACGUAGACAAAAGCGAAAAGGAACUGCUGCUUUCUCACCACAGCGAGAGGUUGGCUGUCGCUUUUGCAUUGAUCAGCACUCCAGCUGGAGCCCCAAUCAGAGUCAAGAAGAAUCUGCGCAUAUGCAGAGAUUGCCAUGUUGCCUUCAAGUUCAUUUCAAAGAUCGUAUCAAGGGAGAUUAUCAUCAGAGAUAUCAAUCGGUUCCAUCAUUUCAGAGACGGGACAUGUUCUUGCGGUGAUUAUUGGUGAAAAUGGUUUUGUCAGAUGAUAAUUUUGUUGCUUGUUGAGAAUUCUGAUGGUUAGAGCAGUUACAUGCCUUCAUGGAGGCUUAUAGUUUCACAAGAUUUUGUAGCCAGUCAGCUGAGUGAUGCAAUGCAAUUUUUUUGUUGACAUACCCGCAGCCAUGCAUUUUGCAGUUGAAUCUGCACUUUGUAACAUAAAAAUGUUCCUCAUGUACACUGCUUUUUAAGCAUUCUUAUUCAUUUUUUUAUGGAUACAGCAAAAGGGGAGAAAACUUCAGUCGCUUGCUCUUCCCUAAGUAUUUGAUCCAGCUAUUGGCCAACUCUUCUGUGCGUGUAAUGUGUUUCUAGGGGAAAAUGACAACCGUUAUGUCAAUUAAAAGGAUUUGCACAUUGAGAAGGAACUUAUAUUUUCUUGAUCUUGUUAAAGGUAGACCCUGUUGUUCUAGAUUAUUACUUUUUUUUUGCCUCUUGAAUUGUGGAACUCAUCAGGUAAGCUACUUGUCUCAGCUUUUCAUGCUGAUGCAGUCAUUAUCCAGAAUUGAUGGCAUGGUACAAACUUGUUAUAAGAAGUCUUAUAAGUGUUGAUUGUAAACUCUUCCUGCUGUUUAUUCUAGAUUGUGGUAUAAUUCGUACCAAACAUCUGCAUAUAUUAAAUUAGCUCAGCAAUUUGGGCCUGCAUAAAAAGUUAAUAGCUGACUGGUAGGGUUUUUUUAUCCGCCCCAAACAUCCAGGAGUAGCAUCUGUUUGCUUGUUCAUGUUGAAUUGAACUACAGAUUUUUCGUUAUAUUCUUAGAAUUGUGUUUGUAUCAACAUUAGUCUCUAAAUAUCUGUUUUAGUUAUAAUCUAUAACACAGCUGCACAUUAUGCAAUAUCCCCUGAGGCCAAUGUUGGCGCCCAUAGAGUUAAAUGAGAUAUGUGAAAAGGUACACCCCCAAUUAACUGCAUAUGUUCUAGUGUUGUGGGGAAUUUCUUUUAUUUAACAUAUAUUUAUCUUAAUUAGCUAAAGGAUUAUGAGUAUAACAGGUUCGAGUUGGAAGUUGAUUUGAGUGUCAAUACACAGUGAAAAUUAUGACCAUGAAGCACCUUUGAGACUGACAAAGUAGGUGAGUCUUUUUAAUCUUGCAAAAUCACAUGACCCACUAUUUUAAUGUACAUAUCAAUAUCAGCUCAGUGAUACCCUUUGGCAGAGUUGAAUUUGUGUUCGCUGCUGCCUUGUUGAUUAAUUCUGAUCAGUGUCAAUAAAAUUAUCAUAUUUUUAUGUUUAAUGUUUGGCAAUUGCAUGGUUGUCAUUUUCUUGACGAACCUUAGAUUGUUCUUAGUUGCGUGAUGGUUGCUUUACUUGAUAUGCAUUUGUUCUUUACUAAGAACUUGAUAUUCUUCCUUCCGUAUUAUGUUUUUACUGGUUAGUUUGUCCCCUGCUCUUUGUGGUCGUUGCGAUUGAUUAUGAAUUUUCUUAUUAGUUGCGUGCACCAAUCAGUUCAACUUAAAAGUUUAAACUGAUGAGAAGAGGUCUCCAACAUUUAUACAAAAUAACAUCUAACUGUUGGGUGUUUGUUUUACUAUCGUGUAAUCUCCGGUUGGUUCAAUGAGUAUGCCAGCAUUUAGAUCCGGUUGUAUCUAAGGCUCUGUUUGGCAUGGCUCCAACUCUGCGUAGAGCUGCUCUACUCCAGAACUCUAGGUAGAGCUAGCUUUGGGUGGAGUUGAAGCGGUUUAGAUGGGGUGUUUGGCCAGAAGAGUGCUCUCAGCUUCAAAAAAGAUCGAUUUCGGUGUGGAUUGCCAUUGUUGCCCCCCAAUUUAGGUCCCACUUGUCAUCCUCUCUAUCCCCAUCUUCUUCUUCCUCAGAAGACGCGGGUAGGGGUCGGGCGGCCGGCAGCGGCGGGGUGCAGACGCGCGGGAGCUGUGUCUCAGGGCAGUGGCCUGGUCCAGCGGUGGAGGAGCCCCGCCCAGGCGAGAUAGGGGCGGCGGGCUAGUGGGGCACGUGCUCGUACCGGCGGGGUGGGCGGACGGCGGGGUCCGCAGCGGGGUGAGCAGAAGGUGGGGCAGCUGCGGACGGUGGACAGCAACAGGGGUCGGGCGGCCGGCGGCGGUCAGGAGGGGUAGCAGGAGGGGUCGCCCCGCGGUGCGUUGAUGGGUGGCAGGGGAGGAAGACGACGGCCGAUGGCAAGGGAGGAAGACAGGCGAGCGGGAGGGAGUCAGGGGGGAAGGCUCGCGAGAAAAGAAAGAAACCAUUUUUUGUGUAACCAUUGGUAUUGGUGGGUAAUUACUCACCAACUCCACAAGGAGGUUCAUAUUGGGUGGUUUUAUAGCUGCAAAAGAGGUGCUCCAAAACUCCACCUCUAUUUGCACUACAGCUCCAUGGAAUUUUGGAGCUGGGGUGUUUGGUUAGAAAAUUUGCUGGAGUUGCUAAGUUCAGCUCCAGAGCUAUGCCAAACACACCCUUAGAGUUAGAGAUAAAGAUUAGUUGUGUUCUUUGUAGAGAGAACCCACAUGUUAAUGGUAGAUCCUUUACAUUGCAAAACACUGGAUAAGAAUAAUUUUUCAUUGUAUUAUAAAAAGGUAUCGAUUCGAUCUCACAUCCACUUUAUCCUAAACACUAAUUAAUACUCCGUUUCAAAAAUUGUUGGUCGUUUUGACAUUUCUAGGUGUAUAAUUUUUAUACAUCUAAAUAUAGUCUAUGUCUAGAUGCAUAAUACUCAUCCAUCCCAAAUUAUAAGUCAUUCCAAGAAUCUUGGAGAGUCAAAGUAUCUCAAGUUUGACUAAAUUUAUAUGAUAAUAUAAUAACAUUUAUGAUGUCAUCUAAGUAUCAUUAGAUUCUUCAUCAAUUAUAUUUUUAUAGUAUACCUAUUUGAUGUCAUAAAUCUUUAUAAUUUUCUCUAUAAUUUUGGUCAAACUUGAGAUGCUUUGACUCUCCAAGAUUCUUGAAAUGACUUAUAAUUUGGGAUGGAGGGAGUAAUAUUUAUGAACUUAUAAAAGCUAAAACAAUCUACAGAGGGAUUAAAAGAAUAGAUAUAAGUGUAUGUGUUUUCCUUCAUUUUCCACUCAAAUCCUAUCAAAAAAAUAUUACUAAUCUAUGAGCCACUUUUAUACUUUUUUUGCGAGUAACCACUUUGACACUUAGUAUUCCUAUUUUUAGAAACUGCACCUUGGAACAAAAAAGAAGGUAUACAUUGUAGGCUAUAGGUUCUGGAUUAAGUUAAUAAUAAAAUAGACAUAAUUUGCAAGAAACGGUCUUUCGUGUGUCUAUAUAUAUAUGCUCUGCGGUCUUUCGUAGAUAUACAUAUGCUCUGCCGCCCUAGCUAAACUCACCGAUAGCCGAUCAUGCAGCCAGAUACCAAUAGCAGCAAAAAGUUAUUGUUGUCGAAUAAUAUUUACACGAGCUAAAGCCAGCCCACAAGUCCUGCAUUCCGGCAAAACUUAGCGACAACUUGUAGAACUAUUCUUUUACAGAAGGAUGAAAGGGAGGUUCCUCCGUGUAUCUAAGCACCGGGAAGAAUAUGAACUACAAUCUAUUGUUCACAGUUGAGAGGUUAUACUGAUACACAAAGAGGUAGAAGCACACAUCCAAGAAUCCUUUACAAGUAACACUUAGUUGCCUAAGUCUUCCUAGCUUUGCUUCGUUUGCUGUGGGUUGGCUCUUGAAUCCAGCCUUCUCAAUCUGAUAUUGCGAACAAUAGCAGCUUGCUUCUGGCGAUGACUGUAGCUUUUCCUUUUGCUGCACAGAUAAAUGAAAAUUUGAGCUUUCAAAGAAAAGUAGUGGCACCAAUUGCAAGCUUCCAAUCUUCCAUCUUAGCAGGAAUCAAUUCAACACACCCUGCAAGAUUGUAGCAAGAAAAGGGGACAAAACUCGAAGUGUUGCACUUUCCAUAGGGUUUGGCUGGAGCUUCAGCGCUCCAUGAACUACUCCAUCGGCCACUCAUCCCGGAUUCGUAGUCUGAGGUUUGGGUUGUGGCCGUUUCUUAAAUGUUAAUGUUUGUGACACGUCUGUAACUGGUUAAGUUUUGUGUGUGUGUGGGAGCGGGCAAUUUGCCUCUCCUGUGUAUUAUUUUUCCUCCUCUUAAUGCAAUGACAUGCAGAUCUCUUGUGUUGUUCGAGAAAAAGAAUUGUUCCAUUCAUCUUCUAUAUGCUUAUGCAGUGCCUAUUCCAAAAAUACAAAACAUACUUUUUCCAAACAGGACUACAGGAACUAAUUAUGCAGAUAAUUUACUACCCCUUCAUAAAGAAUAUGAAAGAGAAGGAAAUAUGAAAGACCUGAUAAAAAUGAGGCCCGCGGUGAGGACCAUUCCUCCAAUUGCCCAUGAAAUUCUUUCACCGACAGGCAUAUCUCUUGCCCAUCUCUGGAAAUCUUGAACAUUCCAAGAAGCCACACCGCUUAAUGUUGGACGGUCUUUUGAAGAAGUCCAUGAAUCAGAGAUGGAAUCCAAACUCGCUUUACCACCAUAGCAGAAAGUGUCAUCAACUAAACCAGAGUUGGUCUCAGAAACUUGCACAGAGAAACCAGCAAGAUGACAUAACUCUGUGCCAUUAGAAACCCAUUUAUGUGCUUUGCCACAAAGGAUGUCACCUAAACCACAAGGAGAUAAGGCCUGACAAAAGAAGUAAGGAUAACUUUUCAGAACCAAACUGUGAAAUCAUAACCAACAAAAAGAUCACAAGGUGUUAAGGCUAAGAAUUUCCUACGUACUGAGGAUUAUUCAAGAAGAAAAGGGAAAUUUCACAGAAUCAAUAGCUAUUCAGAAUGUAUAGAACAGACAUGGGUUAGAACAUGACUGUUUAUUGUAGGAUCUAACCAUAAAAAUACCAAGCUUAAUCUAGCAAUGACACUUGGAUUUUGUAUGACAUUACAUGAUUGAGGUAUCAGUACCCACUACCCAAUUGUAUCAUUGAUCUCUAAUCAGAGGGUCUUUAGUCUUACCUGUGUUUUCAUAUCCACGGAGAAGUACGAUUCUGAACAAGCUUUGAAGACCAUAUCACAGAAUGACGCACAUACAACAGGAGGUCCAGGCCUGACACCCACGCGUGGAUCACAUAUUGAGCAUUCAAGCAAUUCCCACAAAUGGAUACAUUCUUGACCGCCUUCACCAGUUAAUGCAAGGUUCCUCACAGAGACCAGAGCAGGAAAUGUCUGAGUCACAUCGCAACAUGUAUUCUGACGGAAUAUCCUACACAGUGCUAGAUCUCUGCGCCCCUUCGGUGCCCUUCCAGGAGGCUUGCCUUCAGAUGAAAAGGCAGGAAAUCGUCCACCAGGUGAAACACAUACACCUUUUGGUUGUCCUGUGGAGAAAAAGUAUGUGAUAUAAAUCAUUAGAGUAACGCUCCCAUAGUAUUCAUUUACUGAGGAAUCAGCCAUGGUAACUACAAGCGAUUCUAUCUUAACUAGGAUCAUUUGAUAUCAACCACAAUAUUCAUAUAUAACUAAGCGAAUCAAAGAUACUGCUUGGCAUGCGGUAGCAUAAGCAUUGCUCAUCAGUGUAAGUGUUACAAGCAGCAGUAUUAUCAUAAAUCCGAAUUAUAUGGCAGUAAGGUAAACACAGCCAGUAAUGCAGCUUAACUUAAUUCAUAACUCAUCUAACAGUUUCUUUCAAAAACUGUCCUCUGCAGUAUAAAAUCUGAAAGUUCGCAAAAUGCAGACAGUAAAUUCAGAGUGAUGAGGCCUAAAGUACGCACACGUAGCCAUUUCUAAAUUACCGUCCCUUCUUCGCUAUACAUACAUUUAGCAAAAUCUACACUGCUUACACAAUUCGAGCGACCAAGCACACACCAGCAAGGAUCCAUACAAAGGCGCGACAAGAAUAUCUAGCGCCAUGCACGUAAACUUAGAAAAAACACUUCCCCUCCACAGCUCAAGUAAACGGAACCAAAUAAAACAAAAACUAUAAAUGAGAUCUCGAGUACUCCCAGGCGAGGCGACUGGUCGUACCAGCUGACGCGACCGGCGAGAAGAAGAGCAGCGCCAGGAGGAAGGCGAAGCUGGCCGCGGGUGGCGGGCGCGUCGAAUACCCCAUCGGAAGCCGCCUGCCCGCCCCGCCGGCGGGGUGCUCGCGGCAGCCGGGGGAGGUCGGCGCGGCGGAUGGGGAUAGGCGGUCGACGAAUCGAUGCGCUUCCCGGCGUCUGCGACUCUGGAGUCUGGACCAUACAAGUCAACAAGGCUCCUCGCCUCCUCGUCAAGAAAUGGGCCGGACGCGACGCGAGGCCCAACAUAAGAACACGGCCCGGUUUCGCUUCCAGAACUCCCAGGUUGCCGCUCGCCCGCAGCCGCGCGGCGUUUGUUGGAGAGGCAACGCAUUAGUCCCGCAUCGCUUGGCGAGAGCGGAGCGCGGAGAGGGAGAGCUACAAAAGGAGGGGCAGGGCACCUGACCAACUCAUACCUUUCUCGGCCUUUUGGCUAAGAUCAAGUGUAGUAUCUGUUCUUAUCAGUUUAAUAUCUGAUAUGUGGGCCAUGUGCCCACUUCGAUAUUAAAUUUAUUUUUUGUGGGGGAGGGUCCACCACAGUGGCUUGCCACUGGGGUCCUCGAGCGUCGCCCAGCCGUUGCACUGCUGGCAGGGCCUGGCGCACCCCAACCAAAGAAAAUUAAAAUUUUUUUAUGUUUAUUUGGGCCGCUGGUCUCUAUUUUGGCUGAGGCCUUUUUCUUGGGCCUGAAUGUCGUCAACACAUGUGCCCUGCUAUUUGAAAAAUCGAAAACAAUUAUUAAUUCUGGUCAAGCACGAUUUUCCAAUACAUCUUCUGUUUAGCUGCAUGAUCUAAGGGCAACCUAAUAUUUCAUGGGUGAAUUCAACCUGGCGCUUUAUCGCAGGUCAACUUUUAUUUAACUUUUCUUAAAUAAGGGUCGCAGUUCAACCUUUUUUUAUAUAAGGGUCUCAGCGUUUUAUCGCAGCUCUAAUCUGAAAUCAGUAAGAGCAGCUCUUCACAAAAAAUUCUUCCUCAAAACGAGAUAUUGGGGUUAUACUAAAAACACAAUAGAACUCUAAAAACUACCUCCAAUAAUUCAAAACAGGCCACGUCAUCGUAUCGGGUCCAUUAGAAUUCGUUGCUUUUUUUCCCACCACCGUGACCUCCAUGGCGUGGUCCUUGCAGGCGGUGAACUGCUGGGCGAGCACCCACUGCGCGUCAUCGUCGCCUCCGUCGCCAUUGCGGUAGCGGUGCAGGGUCCCCACGUACUCCGACGGGAGGUGGUUGCCGAUGGAGAAGCCGAACGCGGGGAUCCAGCGACGGGAGGUGGACACCGCGGCGCGGGAGUCGCCGACACGGGAGAGGAUGACGAUGAGGAGCUCGUCGGGGAGGGCGCAGAGCCAGUCAGCAUGGUCGCCGCAGCAGGACCCGUCGGAGAGGCGGCGCUGACCAGGGGAAAAAACACGCGCGGAGGGGGGCGGGGUGGGAUCGGGGAAGACCGGGGUGUCGCGAAUAUUUGCAGGACGAGAGCUGUUUUUUCGCGUCGAAUCUUAUAGGGAGUUUUAGUGGACUGUUGGAGUUCUUUUUUCUUUUUUUUUCUAAAAAAAGGUAUUGGGGGUAAGAUUAGCAGCUUUUUGGAGUUGCUCUAAUGCUACUAAUCUUACGUCCACGCGUCCAACUCCACACCACACAUAUAUCCUUUUAUCCUUCCGCUCAUUUUUCUAGACCGGCUUCUCCAUGUUUGAUCCUCCAUGCACAUCGCUUGCUUGCAGCCCAAGCUUUCCCUAUGUCGCGCCUCCCUAAUCGCUGCCGGUGCCGGCGCUCUCAGCUCCCUCCCCUAUGCUACCCCUACUUCCCCGCCGUCAUCCCUGCCCCAAAUCAUAGAAGAGGCCACCAGGUCCUGCUCCAAGGGGCGAGCUGUGCCGGCCAUCGGAGGAGCUACUCUGCCCGCAAUGGGCUUAGCCGUCGGAGGAGCUCCACGGGGAAGGGUGCUGAGCGCCGCUGCCUCGCGACCAUAGGUGAGCCGCGCCGGCCGCUGCCUUCCUCCUCCUCCACCACCAUUUCCUAGCAUCGGAUCCUGCUAUACAGUGCUCCUCCUACUAGGGUUUACUACAUGUUGCAAAAGUAUAUUUUAAGUGUUUCAGAUGUUUUAGAAGAAUGUUGCAAGUGUUUUAUGUGGAUGUUGCAAAGUACAUCUAGAUGUUGCGAUGUUGCAUAUGUUUCACACACAUGUUGCAAGUGUUUUAUCUGGAUGUUACAUUUUUAACGAGAUAUUUGAAUGUUCCAUGCAACACGAAACAGAUGUUGCGGCAAUUUUUUUCCUCAUCAUUAACAGAUGGCUAAUAAAUUUUUUCAACAUAUUUUUUGAUGUUGCAAAUGGUAAUUUUCUAUGUUGCAAACGUUUAUUUUUUAUGUUGAAGAUGUUAUUUUUUGAUGUUGUGAUGGACCAACGGACGUACAAGCGCCCACGCCCAUCUUAAAUAUAUGACGUGAUGGAGUAGCUUGUAGCUACUGUCAGUACGCAGCAUGAGGCCAUGAGCCGAGGCAUUCUUGCCGCCGAUGUGAGUAGUGAACACAGACGACCCUUAUUCCAGUAAAUUACCAAAGACAAGAGGCAUGAAGCCUGGUCAUAUGGAAGGACAUGCUAAUAAUAAGCUCUCUGAAAGAUCAUCAUCUGGUACGAUAACAUCACCGGAAUAUUGAGCUAUUUGACACAACGGAAGAAUGCAAAGGUCGAAUCCAAGAAGAAGAACGGACGAAAAAGAGAAGUGGCAUUCCACCUCCAUGAACCGGAGAUACCGCCAACCUUGUACAUACGGUGCACACACAAGAAUACAAGAUCUAACUCCGGUCAGCGAUAGGCCUUAGUCAGCGACCCACCUUUUAACCGCAGUUAGUUUCGCUUGCGUAAAGCUAAUCUCUAUCGGAGGUGAGAGGCAUGACAAAAGGCUCCCCGCUAAUUACUCGCUCGAUCCUGAUCCACUUCAGACGUGGGGCCCAAGAGCGGCGGGGUCCAAGUCAUGGCCAUCUUAUCCGGUACGUCCAGCCAGAUGCCACGUACUGGUCGUGCAGCACUAGCAUCUUCUUGUGCGUGCGCUCGGACCCACGGCGAUGAGCUGUCAGAUACUCAUCUACACUAAUCUACUCUGCUUAACCCACUGUUAAUCCCAUCCUCCAUGAUUAAUGCUCUCUUGGAUCUCUGGUUCUGCCCAAAGCAAUAGCCUGGCCGCGCUAAACUCAUCACGUACGGCUGUUCAAUCAGUACGCGACGGAGCCGCCGCCGCCAGCGACUCGCCGGCUGCCGCGCGCGGUGGCGGCACCUGCACCAUUGGCGCAGCAGCUGCUGCCGGCGUCCUCGUCCAUGAAGAUCUGCUGGCGCCGGCACUCCUCGCUGCAGAACGCCCGGUCGCCUCUGCAAUUGCAUGCACGCGCCACGAGUCAAACAUAUGUACAAAGAUUUUUUUUCCCGAAAGAUAAACACAUGUGCAAAUAUACUCCAUAUAUGAGCUAGCCAACCAGAAGAAUGAGCUCACAACCGCGGAUCAAUCUGGACGCCUUCUUCUCAGCGCAUCUUAUUAGCUUAUUACCUGUACAUGUAGAUGUCCCUGCCCUCGGCGAGCUCCCUGUGGCACAGGCAGCAGCGCUGCAGGAAGGAGCUCGCCGGCGGCGGCGGCGAGACGUGCUUUUGCUUGGGGCCGUGGAUCAAGAGGGUGGCCUUGCUGAUGAUCUGCGCCGGCGGCUUCUUCCCCGGGUGGUUCUUGUGGGUGGUCUCCAGUACUACACUCAGCCCGGCCAUGGUGCCAGAACGCAGAGAGUAUGUGGACUACCGUAGUGGAUGGAUUUUGGAUGCAGAAUCUGUUUUUUCCCCCCUUCAGUUUCACUUCCUCCUUUCCUUUGCUUGUGAGAGAUCUUUUGUCCUUCAUGGAAGGGGAGUUCACCCGGUGCUUAUAAAGGAGGAGGAAGGGGUGUGUGUGUGUGUGGUAGGGUGCGUCCAAGCAGCUGGUCAAGGAGGACGUGGAUUCCGAUUGGAGAGUGAGCUUGGCACUGUCAUCCUAACACGUCUGCCAGCUCACCUUGGAUUUGGUGACCAGACAGUUGAUUUCUGCUGAACCUUCUUCAGUUCAAAGGAGACCACUUGUACUAAUGUUGCGCAUUGUUUUACGUAUAACCGUGAACAAACUUUUCAAACAUACCAUGAUUCGGUACUAAUCAUAUUUAGGGCGUGGAGCAUUGUUACUUUCUUUUUCCCUUUGUAAGCCUAUCAUCCAUCAAGGGUGAAGCUAAGCUUCGAGAUUUCCGCUGACUGUGCAGCGUAGUUCAUUAACUUCACCAGGAUCAGUUUACACGCAAAACAAAAGUAUUCUUAAGAUCAUGUUUCCCUUUUUUUCUUCCGAAGGAGAGGCCAGGUUUGAAGGUGGACUUGACCAAAGUUAAAAAAGGGCACAUUUCAAUAAGAAUAAAAAGCAACAAAGCACAAAUAUAUGGAUAAUUUUAACAACUGUGCAAGUGCUCCACAUCUGGAUAAUGCUGGGUACACAACCAGCUAAUCGCAGUGGAGCUCCAUGGCUACACACUCAUACCGCCUCUCCUUCCAAGUUGUGAAGCGUUUGCACUGAUCGAUCCAUUCCAAAUUUCCAAUGCAUCAAUCAUCAGUGUGCAUGGGCCAUACUGCCAUAGACAUGGAGGGAGGCAGACUUGGAGCACCGAGCCACCGAGCAGCAACGGCAGAGGCUGCGGCGGCCUGUGGCGCUUGCCCUGCGCCGAGGCUGUGCGUCCGCUCUCAUCCCUCCACGUGUAGGCCACAGGACUCCGUUGUCGCUUGCGGCGUACGGAUCCACUGUGCCCGCAUGUGCUGCGGCCGGGCCUGCCCUCAACCGCUUGGUUCAAUGGCUCUACGCCUCUACGACGGCACGGGCCAGCCAUCAAACGACCGGGGCACCCACCUGUUCACCCGUAAUAGUUUUGAGUCCACCUUCACGAUUGUGGCACUAGAAAUGCAGUACACUAGUACUGCAAAUGUAGUGAGAGUUCCCGCGCCGCCCUGCACUUUGCUAGCUUUAGCCUCCAAUGUCGUGAGCUUGGCCGAAACAAAUAUCACAAUUGAAAGAAUGUGUAUGAAAAAUCUCUUUUUAGUAUUAUUUAAGGGACACCUUAACUGUACCUUUAAAGAGUCCAUGACACGUGAGAUCAGAUUCAUGAUGAAACUAGGAUCACAAGAUUAGAAAAGCCAACUAUACUAAUCCAUUCUCCUUCAUAAAAAGGCUAAAUAUAAAGGGUAAUUUUGCUCCUGGAUACUCUUCAAUGUUAGUUUUAGCUAGUACAUUACUCAAAUGCAUCUUCGCUAGUGGACACUCUUUAAUUGUGAUAAUUUGUUGAUAGACACCGGAUCAAUAAAAUAUUAUUUUUUAUGAGAAGAGAGAGAAAUAUGGUGAACGGACUAAAAUGUCCAUCAAUUAAGCGGGAACCACAUGUCAGAUUGGGUAGGGACUAGAAGGACGUGUUUUUGCUGGGCCAGGUACAUUGCCUUGCUCAACUCACCUCGCCGAGCAUGGAAUGGAUAGAUAACGUUUGGAAAGUUUGCGUCCCUUGUUGUGCUGUUCAUGUUUCCCUUUCCUUUGCUCUCCAAGAACAGCGGAGUGUCCGUUUCAAGGGAAAAAAAGAACAGAGUCUCCUUUCCUAUUUCCUCCCAAGAAUAGCAAGAAGAAGCGGAUCCAGAGCACGUUGCAGCCAAGAAAACAAGCCAGUUUCAAAAAAAAAAAUAGAAGAAAGCGAAAACCAGGUCGGGGUGGGGAGAGCCGAGCAAGAAAUCCCCCUCUUCAAUCUGACACAUGAGCCCACUCAAAUGAUGGGUACUUUAGUCCAUUCAUCAUAUUUCUCUCUCUUCUCAUGUAAAGAAUAAUAUUUUAUUAGUUGUGAUGCCCACGGGCAAAUUGUCACAAUUAAAAAGUGUCCACCAACAAAGAUGCAUUUGAGUGAUAUCCACCAGCAAAGACCAACAAUGAAGAGUGUCCAUGGGUAAAAUUACCCAAAUAUAAAUAUGGAUGUAGUAGAAAAAAUAAGCUGCGGGUAGGCCUGCUAGUGGGGCGGGUGAAAACGAUUUUUUUCGGGUAGGGUCCUGAGGUGGGUCUUGUGUAGACGGGUGAGAAUGAGUUUUUGAGACUAACUGGGCGGAGCGGAGAGGAUAAUACUAGAAGUGCGGGUUGGGGCGAGUUAGAAUGGGUCCACUUGACCUUACCUGGGUGGGUUCUCACGGUGGGUGUUCCGCCAGUCACGACUCGCGUCGCUCGUGCAAGAAAGGGAGAUAGGCGACGCUGCCGCUGCCGCCAGCCGCCGUCGCCCCGGCCACUCCCGCGCGUCCUCCUCCAACCACGACGACAGAUUGGCGGUACGCCUCCUCCUGUAGCUCUCCUCUCCUACCUCCUCCUCUGCAGCAUCCCUUUCCUCUUUUCCUCAUCCUCUUCCUUUCUUGGUAGGGUUUGAUUUGAUUGUCUAGCGUCUGCAGUGGCGGCCUCGAGUCCUACAUCCAGCGGGAGAAGCCGAGGAGGUGCUGUGUAUCACAAGUUAGAGUACAACGGCUGCCGUGAUUUGACUCCUACUAGAAGUGGUGCCGGGUGCUGGACUGAUGGCAGCCCAAGAGAUGCAGCUUGCCUAGGUGCGAUUGAUUUUUCUGAUUCAAUUUGAUUGACCCUCCUAAUCGAUUGUUAGUUUGCGACACGUGCUUGGAUUGAAGGCGAAGCAAUUAAACUCCAUUUGCUUCACAUCCGAUCUUUGGAUAUCAAACCAAAAGUUGGGAUAUAUUUGUUUGGUAGCACAUUUUAUUGACCCUGAUUUUAUUUUGAAGAUAAAAAUUAUUGCAUUCAAGGAUGUUAAGUAUCCACAUAAUGGUCUAGCUAUUGAGGAAGCCAUUACAAGAUGUCUAACAGAUUAUGGAAUCAAAGAGAAGAUGUUUACGAUCACACAUGACAAUGCGGCAAAUAACAAGGCAACUUGUGAUCUUCUCCAAGAAAGUGGAAAGCGUGAUAUGUUAUUUGAUGGUGAGCAUCUUCUUGUUAGAUGUUGUGCUCAUAUACUCAACAUUCUUGUGCAAGAUAGUAUAGGCAUUGCUGAUGCUGCAAUAGAAUCGAUAAGAGACCUGGUUAGGUAUGUUAAUUCGUCAGCAUUGCGAAUCCAGGCUUUCAAUGAGAUUUGUGAAAGGGAAUGUCUUCCUGCAAAGGUUGGUUUAGUGCUUGAUGUUCCAAACUGGUGGAACUCAACACAUGCCAUGAUUCUUGAGGCAGUUGUAACACCCGAGUUAGGGUUAAACAACUUCACUUAAGCAAAAUGAGCACCAUGGCAUUGCAUCAAUUUCUUUUCUUGUUAAGAAAAUGGGGUUUUCAAAUUUUUGUUGGUUGUUCUCCCAACUUAAGUUUUGAUUCUGAGGUUUUUCCAAAUUCAUGACCCCUCCUAUCAUCCUCCCUUCUUUCUGUCUUCUUUGGAAUCCUUUGUUCGGGCCGAUGGGUUCCACCCGAUGGACGCCGCGUCGUGCAUCAUUCCGUCCAGCGCCAAAAGUCAGCGCUCACAUGACUGAAAUCGCACGCCGUUCCACCUCGUCCCAUCGCCAACCACUCCAUCACCCACACCUCUGCGCGCUACUGCUCAUCCACUGUAGCGUUGACCCCGCCCCGCACGUGCCUGACACCACCGCGGACUGCCAGAACAAACGGGUAACCAUUCCAUGUAAAUAGCUCCCGCCCGAGCAGGCCUUGCUCUUCCGCUCCCUUUCACCUCUCCACUCUUCCUCGGCCAAGAGCUAGAAAAAGCAAGCCAAACGAACUCUUCUUCCACCACCUACGCUCAAAAGCUCUGUCCAAACUUCCGAUUCACCGUCGCCCCCACCUCGCCGACACUCCCAGUUAGUCUGCAACCUCACCGGCCGCUGCCAGAGUUUCUGGAGCCAAGAAGAGAAGUGUUGACGGUUCCAUCACCCUUGUGUUCCACCCUUUCCAGCCCCUUCUUCUCCAAAACAGAGUUUUUGGGUAAGUUCUCAUCGAGGCGUUGCGUUUUCUGAUUUUUUUUCAGGUAGUCGAGAGUCCCACGACGGCGCCUGUGUGCAAGCACCACCGGACGUGUGUACUCCGAGUAGUUUCGGAGCCACGAGUAGUUGGAGGAGUGUAUCUGAGUUAUUUCAAGGCUGCUUGUAGUCGGUUGGGUACCAACCGAGUUGUUUUCUGAGGGCCGUGAGUAGUCUAAGGUCGUGCUAGAUUAUAGAGAAGGUAGCCAAAGUAGUCAUCCGAGUAAUCAAAGGACCCUUCUACCGUUUGUUCAAGGGUAAUCAGUAGGCAGUUGAGUUGCGUAGAGUCUUAGUGUUUCCGUGGUUUCUAAUCCGGUAUUUUGGGUUGUUUCACUUUUCAAAUCGCAUGAUGUGCAUGUAUCUUAUGUUUCCUUCAACUCAUAAAUAUGCAUUGUUGUGUAGAAUCCGCUAGUGGACAGUCUCUACGAGUUGGUGGCCAUGUCCGAGAGUAAACAGCUCAAAGCCUCUUCAGUGGAAGCGCCGCAAGGAUUGCACUAAAGUACGGAAGAGCCCAAGGUUGAUUCCGAAGGCAAGUCCCGGAGCAUAACUCCUAAUUUCAAAACUACCAUGUCUUAUGUGUACUAAUUUUUACUGCAUUAAGUUUUAGGAGUUGAAUGAAACCUUAGUUCCAUGAUCCCUAGGAUUCCCAGGCUCAAAUACUAGUAUGUGCAGGACGAGUAGUGCCAUGCUUAAUCAGGAGCAAUAAAAGUCAAGUGAUCUCUUGUCACUCGCGAGACAUAGGACCUCUCGAUUCAGGGAAAAACUACUCCAAACUGGAAUUGAAAUAUGGAAGAACUGGAGACCGGGCGGAGGCAGAAAGAAAAGAAAGUCUGGAAUGUUGGUUACACUCCGCCCGUGUCGAUUAAGGCCCGUUCGUUGUGGCCGUGCUGAUCAAGUUUGAACUAUACUAUGCACCUGCUGGAAGUAAUAGGUAGUUGAAACUGGUAAAGCCUAGUACCUUAUUGCGCGAUAGUAGUUUGAGUUCGUCUUGAUCCCUAUUCGUGUACUGGUCUGUAACUCAUGGCAGGCUCUAGGAGGUGGGGAAUAGUACUUGAGGGGCGCAGGGGUUCUCAAAUGCCCUCGUUCUUUAAGGGAACCGUUUGUCAUAUGUUGCUCGAUGGGGGCAGAUCAUAUACUGGGUGUAUAGGUCCACCUUGCAAGGUUAUAAAUCGAAUUGAUUCACCGCCGCUCUCGAUUAAGAGAACCUUGAUCUCUUCAUCACAUCGUAGCAAGAAGUGGAAACAUGCUUUGUUAAGCUAUUAUCUUGCUACUUGUUACCUUACCUUGAAAAAGUUUUGCAAAGUUGCUCACCUAACAGUAAUCUAGUUCAAUUGUAAAUGGAGGUUAAAAGUUGAAAGUAAGGAUCCACCCUUACUUGCUUUUGUUGGCAAAAUAAGCCCCUUGGCCCAAAAGCCUUGCAUACUAGAAGUCGGCUAAGUAUAGUCCAUGGUCGGUUAAGUCUUGCUGAGUAUUAGUAUACUUAGCCUUACUUUAUUGAUGAUUUUUAGGGCUUAGUGCUGACUGGUUUGAGCUAGUUGCUGGUCAACCCUGGGACGGCCGUCCUCUACCCGAGGGGUGGUCAGUCGAGUGGUCUCCAGACUCGGCGUAAGAGUGCUUGGGUGAAGGAGUACUCGGACAGAUGACAUGUGGAUGAGCUACCCAUGUCACCAUGUACCUGUUGUCAUCGUAUCGCUUAGACUUCCGCUGUAGCUAUUUUAUUUCCAACUCUGAUUUGUAAUUCGCUGCAAACUUGAAACUUGUUCCAAAACUUGUGUGUACUUAUUUGGUACUUGGUUAAUGAGUACUCUAUUUUGUUAUCAAAUGUUCUAUUGUAUCAUCUGCCCUCACCGUUGCGUGAGCUCUGUGCAUAUGGGUUCGAUCGAAGGGAUCAGUGGUAGAAUCGGGCUUGACCCAACGGACUGUCAGAUUACACCAUUUUAAGUGCACGUUGACUUGACUAGUUGUUUCAAGGAUGGUUAAGUGCACUUAAGCCGGUUUAAUUUAGGCGGUUCCACAACAGCAGUGGAAUACAAGAUUGUACUGAAGCGAUACGCAAAAUUGCAACAGCAACCCAUUCCAACUGAUGAUGAAUGGAGUGGGGCUAAGUCUAUUUGUGAAUUCCUUGCAGGUUUUUGAAGAAGCUACAUUGGCAUUCUUGGCCGAUAGAUUUCCUACAUCACAUCUGUUUCUUGACAAUGUGCUGUUAGUACAUCAAGCUCUAAGAAGUCACGGAUGGAAAGAUGAUCAGGUUAUAAAAGUCUUGGCUAGAGCAAUGGACAAGAAGUUCGCUAAGUAUUGGGAUCAGAAUUACAACAUGUUGCUUGUCAUUGCUACCAUUCUUAUUCCAAGAUAGAAAUUUGAUUUCCUGGACUUCUUCUAUGAGAAGGUUUGUGAGAAUUUAAUUGAUGUUGACUUGAGCAAAGAUUUGGCUAAAUAAUGGCUGCACAAAUAUUACAUAAAGUAUGAAGACAUUGUUAGAAUUGAUACAAAUGCAUAUCUCAAGCUAGUGUGUCUAGGAGCGUGGUGAACUGCUCACCAGUGGUACUGCUUGGCAAGAGAAGACUGGAACAAGAAUUUACUCAAUUUAGCUCUCAGAGGAGAGGGACUCGAACUGAAAGAUCAUAUGCAUGAAGAAUUAGUGAGAGAAGAUGAAAACUUUGAAAUUUUAACAUGGUGGAAGACAAACUCGAACCAGUACCCCGUGUUGUCAGCUAUGGCACGCGAUUUCUUAGCAAUUCCAUUGAGCAUUGUUUCUUCUGAAUCCGCAUUCAGCCUGGGCGGUCGAAUUCUUAGUGACAAUCGAAGCACCAUGAUGCCACAAACUCUUGAAGCUCUGGUUCGCGGCAAAGACUGGUUAUAUAGAUAUCCAUCCAAUGAAGGAUGAUGAGUACUGCAGGUGGUUAACAUAGCUUCUGAAGUGUUGGUACUCGCAGAUUGGAUAAUGAUGCCUUUUUCUGGCAAAAAGGAGGCGAGGAAGAUUGCUUAUGAGGCAAAAGCUUUUUGAAUUUUAAGGAUACAUUGAAGUAUGUGACAUAGAUUGUAAUUUUGCUCUAUUGAACUGCAGCACCAGUCCAGUCGAAGAGGUGCAUGUGGGGGCAUGCUCAGCUCCCACGGGGGCAGUGACCAGUGGGGCAUGCGGCCUGCCCAUGCGGGUUGCCAUGGGUUAACCAAUUUAGGUGGGACGGGACGAGUAGGGUUGAUUAAUUAACUUGUGGGUAGGGUUGGGUUUGCAGCGUUAGUUAGCUAGCUAUGGGUAGGGUUAAGUUAGGGGCGGGUUGGCCCCCGUUAGCAGGCCUAGCUGCGGGGAUCUAUCGUUCCAUUGCUACGUCCCUAUCAAGUCCUACCUAUCAGCAAGACAAGUUGACAACAGAGAUGAAAGUGCAAGUUAAAUAGUGCUAUUGAUACUCUUAUGAUGGAUAUAUGCGCUAACUGGCAUAGAAGUUGAGUGACUCUUUCUAGUCUCACAAUUUCCUCUCUUUCUUAUCUACUUUCAGUCUCAUCCAGUGGCGGACCCAGAAACGUCCAGAAUCGUACCUAGGGAGGUUGAGGUUGAAUGCAUCAGCACGAGGCACCUUGCCAGAAUGGAGGGUCAAGGGCAACGGCCCUAGAUGCUGGACCGGCCCGCUGAGGCACUGACCAUGCAUCAACGCCUGUCCCAGCAGGCCAUUGCCGCACCUGAAGCAAUGCACGAAUGCUGGAGCCUGGGCCCAGGCCGCUAGGGGCACCGCCACACCGACCGUCGCUCCUGCCUGUGGCGGCCCGGGGUCUCCAAUGCCUCGAUUGCCAAUGGGGAUGCCGGCUAUUCUGUUUGGCUAGCUGCUUUGCAGCUGCUGCUACUCAGCAGAGAGCAAGCAGCUGCAGUAGCACGCACCAGCAGGCAGCGGCAGCAGUAGCCAUGCACCAGCCGAACAGCGUUGAAAUGAAAAAAAAAAAAGAUGUGUCGAAACCGAGUAGCGAUGAGGCAGGUAGCUUUGUAGCUACGACGAUGUGUGCUUCUGCUAGUUGGGGCUGGAUCUUAAACCAUGGACUGCUAAUAGUAUGGUUUUACAUAAGGGUACUUGGGGUUCUUUGAGCUGGACAAGGGCUGCUUCCCCAGCUCGGGUCCUAGUCCGCUCCUGGUCUCGUCAUAUAAAAGUAACAAAAUUUAAGGUUAAAAGAAUUCCUUAUAAAGAUUGCACUCUAUAAUGAUCUCGAUGUAAUCGGGUAUCAACCUACAAAUUUAAACAGGAACUUUAAAUGUACCCUAACAUAUUUUGGCACACAAAUUCGCCGUAGAGACAAGUAAGAAAAAGACGGGAUUGGUACGGGGCAGGACAAGAAGCACAGACAGGACUACGGGGUUUGGCAGGCGCAGGAGAAAAGUGGUCUGGCGAUGCAGCUGCAAAAGCUAGUGGUAGUGGCCUCCAGCUAGCUGAAAGCGAAGGAGCGCACGGGUACGGCAGCCUCGUCGUUUGAUGCGCCGCGAGCUUACUGUUCCGACGUGGCGCUAUUAUCCGGAUUCCCCGACGGCCUCCAUUGGUAGGGCUGGCUCUGUUGGCACCAGCAGCAGAUGCAAGAUGCAGCUGGAUUCGAACGGGUUCAGCUCAUCUAGAGUUUGGAGAGCAAUGGCAUGAACUUGGUUGUUAGUUGUCACGGCAGCAAAUUAGAUGGAGGAUCCGAUCACAAUCCAAGGUGUUCGGUUGGACUUAUAAGUCGGCUGAAAAGUUGAAACGGCUGAUUUGUUAGGAGAGAAAAAUAUUAUUCGAUGACUGAUAAACCGGCUGAUAAGCUGAAGCGAACAGAUUGUGCCAAACUAUUUCCUCCUACCCCUCAACCCACCUGUCAGGUUGAGGUGUCAGGUUGAGGGUACAAGGUUUUGACAAAAGGUGAAAAUAACAUUUUAGAAAAUGGUUCUGUCUUUUCGCCGUCAUUUUUUUCACCACGGAAAAAACAUACCCGCCCGUGUAGCGAUUUUCACCUUCCAGAAACCCCGAAGCCUUCCUUUUUAUUGCUUUCCUUCUGUCGCUGGCAUCCCGUCGUGCUUUCCUUCUGUCACUGGCAUCCCGUCGUGCGCCGUCACGCCCUCAGGCCUGCCCUCCACCCGACGUAUGUUUCAGGGUCAAGGUCGGGGGUGCAAGAACAGAUUGGCGGUGAGCGCCCAGCCCAACGUCACUCGAGCGUCAAGAUCCCCACACCGACUCCUACGACGACGACGAUUAUAGCAGAACCUGGCGGAGCGAUAGGCAAGCAAGAACAUAUCGCUGUCCAUCUCCUCUUUCAUUUUUUCCUAUUUCCAACGAUCAUCUAUUCAUCAUUGUUCCGGCGGAGGUAGAAAAGAGGUGGUUUUGCUGUUUACGGUUUGCAUACGUGGUCCUCGCCGGCGGCCGGCGGGCAGCGGGUCGACGAUGAAGGUGGGGAUCUUGUCCAUGAGCCCGUCGGACUUUUCCGAGAUGCAGUACGCACGUGGCCUCGCCACCGGGGCGCGCGGCGCGCCUGCAUCCGCUUGUACCAGUGGUACAUGACCCAGCACUGUGCCACCAGCUGUAGGCCGCGUCGGUGGCCGUAAGCGCCAUGUGGAAUGGCCACGCCGACCCUCGCCGCGCGCCGCCUCGCAUCCAUGCUGACAUCACCACCACCGGAUCCCUCGCCCCCGGCCACGCCGGAGCCGCCGCCACCGCGGAGCAAUGAUGAAGAGAUCGCCGCCUUCCUCCGCUGCCAUGACAUCGUGGGAUGCUGCUUCGCUGCCGUCUCGCCGCUGCUGCAAGCUGCCGAGGCUAAAAACGGGUCUCCAAAGGCUCCGUUAUUUUACUUAUGCAUGAUACGUUUUCGAUACACAUCCCCGUGUGCUGCCAAUACUCAUUUUGCUUUUAAAUCUAUGUGGCUCUCUUAAUUUAUGUGCAACGUCCAAAGUGUGUCGAAAUUCAUGAUGUUUCUCAUUUGGCCUGAUGCAUUGCCAUCAAUCUAACUAUGCUUCACUGGUUUCUUGGGUCUUAGGUGUAGAUUUUUAAGCUAAGUCUGGUUCGUGUUAACCUAUCUUGAUUUUCAAUUAGUUAAAUAUAUAUUUUAGCAGUACUCUACUAUGCUUUGGUGCACGUGUAUAUGACUAUAUGAGGUUCUUGAUUUUGGUCCAAUGAACUUUGCAGACACUUGAUUACCUGAGCGGUUAGUAGAAAGAGCUAUUUCAUGGUUGUCAGGUAAUCGCAUACCAUUAUAAACAUUAAAAUGGAUUGUUUUAACCAUACACAUACACGUGUGAACUGACUUCGUUUAUCAUAUUGGUCUUUAUAAUAUUAGAAAUAGAAUACCACAAAGGUGAUAAUUGUUUCCUACCGAUGGACCAUCGUUUUCCACUUGGUGAUGAGACAAACAUAACAACCUCCAAUUCUCGACGUAUUCGUAAAAGAUCAAGACCAGAGUUUGGUCGACCUGGUUUGUUAGUAGAAGAAACAGCUGCUAGCAUGUUAUACUUAUAUGUUUUUUUUUAUCCAUAUUACUUGGUUUGGUUUUGCCUGGUCUUCGUUAGUUUUGACCAUGGUAUUUUAAAGUUGCAGGUGGUGAAGAAAUUGAAAAUGUUGAUGCAGCAAUAGCAGAACAUAAAAGGAAAGAAAGAAGGGAUAAUUAUGCCAAUUUGCUGGAGGAGGAAAAGGAGAGGAGGCGUGCAAAGGCCAGCGAAAAUUAUCAUCGUAAUAAGACCGAGGGCAAAACAAGCACUACGCCGCAACACUUAACAGGCACAACUUACACAGAAUUAGGUCAAUGUCAUGGACAUCACAGCUUUCAAGUGCCUAGACUGUUAUCACCGGGUUACCACCAUGUUUGCCUGGUAGAGGUAUUAUAUUUUUAGAACAUGGAAUUUCAAAAUGCUUUCAAAUUGCUAUGAACAUGAUUUUUUGAGAAUAAUUAUAUGCACAUAAUUAUUUAAAAAGCAUGGUCCAAAGGAUGAUGGCGACAACUGGCUACAUGGAAAUGAUACUUGCCCAAGGCUAAAUAUGUCAGACUCUAUACAUGCAUGGGUUGGGUUUAAUCAAUGCUUAAUUGGAAAUUCACCUCUGCCACUAUCAUUAGCAGGUUACUAUCUAAAUUAUGCCUUUCGUAAAUGGAUUUCAUUGCCUAGAUGCAAGUUAUGGAUGUAAUUACAUACCAAGGGAUGUUUAUUUUGAUGAAGAAUUUUUACUCUUUGCUAUCAUGCAUUCAAAUGAAUGGCGGAUCCAAUCUCAAUUUUUAUUUUCCUUUCCAAUCUCUUGAGUUAGCAUUACAUUAGUCACGUGGGACAAAUUUUUAUUUAUUUUAUUUGACUAAUGUAUGGAUGAAAAUAUUCAUAGUAUGUUCGUGCACUUUACUAGUUAUACAUAAAACAUUGAUGUGCUUGUGCCAGGCACGGAAAACAAACACACAAUGACGGCAUACACGCACUCGAUUUCAUUUCCUCUUUCUUUUCACAUUUCGUUGGCAUUUUUGCCCCCAACAGCACCCUUAGAAGGUUUCACCAGGCAAGCAGAGGAAGUACCCAGCACGGUAAUUUCAACAUGACAGCAUCAUGAGUUCAUGACCCAAGCUACAAAUCUACUUGUUACAUCACACAACGGUUCGACACGGUAUACCGAGAAACCAAGUACACCCUGAAGAUCGUUCCCUUCAGAUUCCAGAUAUGUCCAGUGGGAAGAGAAGAGUGCCAGAAUUAUGGCCUCUUUGCCAAACUUGAGAAAUCAAAAAAGAAAAUGAAAAAACAAUGCACAGUUUCCUUCAUUCCCAAAGACCAGCACAUCUUGUCGCAAAGAUAUUAAUUGGCACAUAAACAGUCCAGACAUGUUUCUCAGCUUUUCUCACAGAAAUCUUCCUGGUGACCAUCAUUCUUCCAUUCAGUUUCAUCGUCCCCUUCUCCCCUGACAUCAUUCUCAGCAUCGCUUUCACUAGCUGUUUCCCACUCAGAGUCAUCAGCCUCUUGACCAAACGCAUCGCUAGCAUCUCCUUCACAAUGGACACCCCCAUGCUUCAGAGAUGCUUCCCUGAAUAGCCAAGCGGCACGCAUCUGCUUCUUCACCAAUCGCUCAGCGUAAUCAGGAACUUUGUUUUGCUUCAGGGAUAAGUCAGGAUCGUUUGACUGAGAGCACUCGUUUAUGAAAAGGAUUGCAUCCAACAAGCUCUCCUUUGCAAAACCAAGCAUAUCAUACGCUUGAGCUCUUCUCCACAAACUCUUGGCAUGACGAUUCACAGGGCUAUGAAGGCACAAUGCUCGAGUAGCAUCGCUUAUGGCGGCCAAUGGCUGCUGCAGGAGAAGGUAACACUGAGCUCGAUUGCUGUAAAGCACCACCCGCUCUUUCUUAGACUUCAUUGGACAUAGUGCAAGUGCUUCAGAGUAUUUCUCUGCAGCUCCUGCAAUAUUCCCUGAAGAGAACAGAGAAUUGCCUUCCAACUUCACAACCAAUGCUGCAGCUUGUUUUAUAUGAAGAUCCUCCCUCGGCAUACUCUUUUCCAAUUUCAAACUUUGCUUGGAUCUCAAGAGCUCGUCAAUUUCUGAUUUGGUCUGAGUGCGAAUUGUACUGCGUGAGUUCCCACUCUGUUGCAUACAUUCUUGGAGGACUGUGACAAUUGUGUCACCAAGCCUUUUAUAAUCACCAAGUGUCGAAAUAUUUGUUAAAUCUAUCAAUGUUGGUGCAACUUUAUCUAUAACCUGCACAAAGAGAAGAAAAUUAAGUGACCACAGCUAACAAAACUACAGUUAACAGCUAGUUGCUGUCUGCAUUCAAGACCAAAUUAGAAGAAAAAAAGCAUAAAUACAUUUUUUAGCACAAUGCGCUUUCAGCAAAUCAUCAUGCAUAAUAAUCCUGAACCAUCUAACCAGAAAGAGGAAUAACAAUCCAAGCUGGUUUUUAAAAGAUUGUAUAGAUACUCUUAUUUCCUCUUUAUGAGGAACUCUGCUAUUUCUAUUUGUCUCUAGUCAUCAUUUCUAAGCCGCUGUGCAUAGUUGUCAUCUUAGGCCUUAAACAUAACCUGUACAUAUUAACCUACAUAAAGGGAAUAUACUAUGACAGUAUGACUAAGCAAAAUGUAUUUCACAAGAUCUUACCAUAUGACAAGUAUUUGCAUCCUGCACUAGCCAAAUCAGACAAUCAACUGCCAUGUAUUGCCAGUCAUCUGAAGAACGAGCAAUGUUGCAUAAAGCAUCGAUGGUACCAGGAAUGUUAGCAACAUGACCUCGACCAACCUUGUUCUGGCAUAUUGUUCUUAGCAAACCAACACCAGCAGGUGAGUUUUCAUUCACAAGUCCACCCCACAUUCCAGGUAACUUGUUAAGAAAAUCAGCCUUGCAAAUAUCAUGGAGGAAUUCAGGUUUAAAUGCAAAGCAAUUAAUGAGUUGCAAAGACCAGCACUGCAGUUGACUUGCCCAUUCCUCAGCUUUGCGGGAUUCCAUUUCCACACCACCCAUGCCACGAGUAAGAAGAUCGCAAUGAUAGCCAAGUCUUCGAUCCACAAAUUGGUAAAAGUGAGAGUACACAAUCUCUAAGGAGCUCGAAGCAAGUUGAAUGGCAAGUUCAAGCACUUCUCCAUGCUCAGCAACCGCGGGAAAUGUACUAGGAUAUGUAGCCAAAUGCCCCAAAGCUCUAACAGCAACCCGUUGCUCCACCCAAGUCAGCCUACCUCUUAGAAGUUCAACUAAUGGAGGUAUUACACCGGCACGAACAGCACGUUCUGCAAAUUCCUCCACAUUCAUCGUAUAGGAUCCAAUUAUGUGAGCUGCAUAAUAUGGGAUGUAAAUAUUCUGAUCAUGUGCAAGCCAGCGCCUGUUUUUCAACCCUUUCCAUAUAAGAGCUGCCAUGCAUUCAAAUAUGCCCAAGUUGAUGAACUCAGGAUCAUUUGGGUGAGCCAUUGCAGUGUUCCAGAGGCCGCUAAUAGGGAGAACUUGACCAUCAUCAUCUUGAGAAGGAAGUUCCCUAAAAAACUUAAGCACACUUGCUCUUCGUUUACUAGGGUUUGCCUCCUUCAUAACACAGAAGAAACAUCCAGGAUAAGGGCAAUCAGAUUGUAUCUUGUCCAUUAUGAGAGCCAAUUGAUCCUAUCAGCUUCCUUAAUCAGAACAUCAACAACCGUACUUCAAACUGCAUCAGAACAAAUUAUGAGCAGAUGUUAACAAUAUUCUCCAAUGAGCAAAGUGAAGGGCGACCGGGCACAUUAUCAAUGUAAGAAAGUAAUUUAACAAUCGGCAAACAGCUAUUAAAUUUUGAUAACACAUCUUCUUCCCCCUAAUGUUCUGAUAACUUGGGAAUGUCAGACUAUUGAAAUCUGGUGGGUACAUAGCCAGCUCUGGCAACCAAUGGGAAUGGGAUUGGGAGCAAGACAAGCAACUUCAGCAAAAUCAAGCAAGACACGCUGAGGAACAAGCAGUAGAGACUUCAAUGACUCAAUGCCCAUGACAAACUACGGAAAAGUGAAUGAUCGAGUCUAACUUGUGCCUAGUGCAGCUACUGUACAAACAAUGGUUGUCUGGUUCAAGUUCUUAAAGAAGUAAGAAUUUUUAACAACUAAACCAUGAGUAAAUGCAUUUAUAGAACUGACUUAACCUCAACAAAAUCAUAUCAAUUCAAUAGGUCUUAUUGAUUUCAGGAACAUGAAAACUGGGAAGUGAAUCACCACUCAAUAAAGACAUACACCGACUGAAAACAACUGAAGUUUCUACUAGAAGGCACAUAACUCACUGCUUUGUUGGAUUACAGAAAUAGUUUCGAAGUUCACCAAUCAGCUGUCUUGCUACUCUUUUCUAGCCUAAUUUGCUUGAGUGGAUCUCGGUUUUGUUCCCUGGGGUUGAUACAGAAGUCUCCUUCGCACGAAUUAACUCACAGAGUGUCACCAGCAGAAAUCUUAAUUGAUUGACUCCCAUACCCCCAAAACUUCUCAUUAUCCUUCCCCCAUUUCAAAUUGCAUCUAGGAUAGACAGAGUACCAAUUGAACAGUGAGCUUUCAGCUCACAUUUUGAGCUUACAUCCGGAAAUUUGAACUCGCAACUCAAUUUUUUUCAAAAAAUCGCGACGAGAGGCUCGACUCGAACUCCCAGCUACGAGCACGAGCUCCGAAUUGGUUACCACGAGAGCUUGCAGCAGGAGAUUUAAAAAAAUCUGGGCCGUAAUUCGAACCUCAACUCCCAAUCUGAGCUCUCCGCACCUCAAUAUGGCCUGAAUUACUCUGGUUAUAGAAAUGGCACCUUACCAGCACACUCCAACGUGGUGGGCCGCCGUCGGACGGCAAUGGCGGCCGCCGGCUCGCGCAGCCCCCGCUCGGCUCGGCUCGGCUCGGCGCGGCGCGGGGUGGUGCUGGUGCUGCCGGGGCAGCGAGGCGGCCGAGCUAGGUAGGGUUCGGGGAGGGGCGGAGGGGCGGCGGGCCGUGGGAGUGGCCGAGUGGGGGAGAGCCGGAGAGGGGAUUGGGGCGGACCGGCGGAUCUCCUCCUCUACGAGAGACCACGGCAGCGGCGGCGAGGAGGGCGUGCGUGCAUGCGGGUGAGCGGGGCGGAAUGGGGAGGACGGGGGGCGUGACGCGCGAGGCCUUGAGCGCGACGGGCGGACGGGACGGGCCGUGCGGUGCGGGUGGAGUCAGACUCGAUGUUGCGGCCCCGCCCCGCGGAGGUGGGGCUCCCGAGCUCCCAUCCCGCGUGCGUGCGCCCAUCGACGGCCGCGAUAGGGUUCGCGCCCGCGGGCCACCACACGCCGUGCCCGGCGCGGUGGUCGACGCGUCCGUCCGUCCGGCCACGUGACGUGCCAGCUCCGUGCACCGUGCUAGGCGCGCGACGGGCGGGGCCUCGCCACCCAACCACCGGUGCGGUCCUUUAUCCAAAAAAAAAAAAAAACCACCGGUGCGGGGUGUCCCUCAUGGGUGGCUCAGGGUCCCCUCCCCCAGGUCCCGCCCCUCCGCUCCGUCACGCUGCUCCCGUGCGCGGGCGUGCGUGGGGUGGUAUGGCAAUGGCAUCCCGGCCGGCGCGGCUUGCCGAUGCCAGCGCCGAGCCGCCGACAGGGCCCGUACCGGCGCUGUGGCAGCGGCAGCGGCAGCGGGGUCCAUCCAUGAUCUACGAGUGAGUCCCCAUCCCGUCAAACCAAAUCAUUGCGGCCGCAACGGCCAAGGCCGGCCCUCACGCACAACCGCGGCGGUCGGAGCACAUGCACGCGGCAAUUAUUUGCGCGACACUGCAUUUCCCGUAGUAGAAAGGACGGUUUACGCAUGGAUCGCGGAACGAUAGUACGAGCCGAGCAGGGCGGCAGCCCAAGUUUGGCGCUAAUCCGAUUUGAAUCCCCGUCCUCCGCCGCCGCCGCGAGCCUGGGACGCGGCCCGUGCGAGCGUAAUGGCGACAAGGUGGGCAGGUUACCUGGGAUGCCGCGGCUUUUUGCUGCUGAUGCUGACAUGUUUUUUUGCGCACAACGGAGGGGGUAAUGCCGCAUAGAAAGGCGUAAACAAAGGGCGAGGAGCAUGGAGCUCCAGGUAAAAAUACGGGUUGGUCUCGCGCUUUUGCGUUCGCCGCCAUGUUUGGGCAUCUGGCUCGGUGCGUCUGUUGUGUAGCGGUGGAUUACGGGCUGUUGUUGAUUAAUCUGCUAACCAAAGCACUUGCAUCGGUCAUCACCUGAAAAAAUAUGUAUAGCUUUGCGAUGCAGCAGAAAUGCAAGCAGGGCAGCACUGCCUGUUGGCCUGUUGGGCGAGGACCAUUCAACAGUCAACAGUGCCACAGGCAAUGGUUGUCCACAGUGACAUUGCGCCACGUCCGGGCCACCGGAGCCCAUUUGGAGUAAUGUACGCUCCAGUACAGAGCUGCAAAGUGAUCGUGACUCAUGUACGAUGAGAGUGCCCUGAGCUGAUUUCGGUCUAUUUAUUUAUCAUUUACUCCACAAAUCAGUACCAGUGGCUAGCUGUUGGAGUUGGAGUUGGACCAUGCCAAGGUACAACCAGUUUUAACAGCACAGGCAGCUGGGCACAGCAAGCGUGGCACAGGGGAGGAACUACCACUGAUUUUAACUUUUAUUGGAGCAUCCUCAAGGUAAAAGAAUCAAAUGGGGGGCGACAAACGAUUUUUGCUGGCCACGGAGCUCAUAGCUUGGAGAUCAGCUCGGUAUGGACGCCCUUCGGCGACUCGGCUUCCUUGGCGUCCGCGUCGGGUCCAGGAGGAACGUCAACAGCAGGCGAGCAGUUGAAGAAUCCAUGGGGCUGGACAAACAGAAAACGAUUUUCAGAUCCAUGCUAUCGUGCUAAAGUGGACAAGAAGGUGGCCUAUUUUCUACAGAACAUUAACAGAAUCCUCUAGAAAAAUGUCGAAAGAGCUGAGAUGGUACCAUGAGCAUGAAGCCGAUCCGCUCCACCGGCAUGACGGGCCAGUCUUCCAGCCUUGGGAUAUGGGUGAGCCCGAAAACAUACCUGUAGUUGUAGGGUGUAGUAUGGGAUUCAGAAACUAGACAAUCACAUGGAUAUUCAAUGUCAAUCAGCAGGUCCUCAUAACAUACCAAAGAACAAUGUUGGUUUCCUCCAGGGACCGAUCCUUCUUCACCCACGUAGCUAAGCCCUCGUCGAUGCGCGGAUUCUGGUUGGGGAACUCACCUCCAGGGAACAUCUCAUCGUUUUUGUAUGAUGUGACCCAAAGGUUAUGCUUCAAGAACCCAGCUCUUCUCAAGAAUUUGGCCUCGGGUAGGGCCAGUGGCAGACAAUUGGAACCAGGUAUGAGCUUGUAACCUGUGCGGUCGUCCAGUGCGGUUUACAUUUCUUGUGUUUCUUACCUGAUUAACCCAUAAUAAAGAACAAAAGAGUCAGUAUCACCAGAAUUUGAGACUCACAUCCACGUACGUUAUCUGUGCUUACAUUGGCGUGCAUUCUUUCUAUGAUUAAGGAAAAAGAAAUAAGAUAGAGAAAAGGGGAGAAAACAUCUAGCGUGCAUUCUUACAAUCCAAUGGCGCACAGAUGAGGGGUCACAAUCACGCAUUGCCUGCAGCUCAGUCUUCAAAAGCUUUUCUUCAGCAUAGAAAGCAUUGUUGUGCACAUUAUUUGGGCCUGCAUCUUCAACUUUAACGUUCACCUCAACCACCUGCAAUGGAAGAGAAGCAAUAGUAUCCAAAGUAGUUGGUAAAAUGAGGUGAAGGGGGGAAAAGGUAUUUUCUUUGUGAAGAUUAAAGUUCAAUUAAGCUUUAAGCAGCCAAGUUUCAUCUAUAAAUAGUGGACUGCUAAGACGUCGAUGAAAUAAUGUGAUAAUAAACAAAAAGGAAAAAAAAAAGGGUAUGGCCCAUUAUCAUGGAGGAAGUAGAUGACGGGUGUAAUUCAGAUUUGAGGAUUUCGAAAUGGAACUUUUGAUUAUCUCAUGAUUAAACCUAUGAGAGAGGGCUGACAAACAACCUACCUGAUUAUAAGGCUCAUUGGGUUUGCAAUCAACUGCCAUGUCCAUACGGGCAACAAAGAAAUGCUGAUGAACUGGUGCAUACAGACCAGGGGCAAUAGUUGUGCCAUAUUUCCUUUGUUCCCCAGGCAUUAGAGCUCCCAAGCUAAGAAUUCCAGUAAGCUUUAUCUCUGCUUCUAUCUUACCAUCCUACAACCAGAAAGAACGAAAAGGAUAAGUAUAUAGAUAAAUUAUGAUGCAAUGCACAACAAAAGUUGGACACAAGCUCCUUCAAUCAAAAAAAGUCAGAACUGAAUUACAUAACAGGUAACCAUAAAUACAGCAGGUGCUACCAGAAAAAAGGCAAGUUAACAUUUGUAUUCACCUGAUAAAAGUGCCAGUAAAAUCCAUACUCAUAGUUAGCAACUGUGCAUAUGAAUGAUACAGUAAGCCUCCUUGAUCGUCUUACUUCCGCCAACCCAGUUCUCCAGUCUUGGUGUUUCCAAAGUAUUCCAUGGUCCUCCUCAUGUAAACAAACACAAUUCUCAAUGGUCUCCACACCACCAGUAAAAUUUGUAAAAUGUGCAUCAAAGUACUUUAUAAAUCCCAAACAGUCACAUCCCUACAAAUCAAUAAUAGAAUAUAGUUAGACAAACAUACCAGGAGGCAUAUCAAGGCAUUGAGUGCAAGAUGCACAGUUCUGGAAAGCAUCUUGCCUAGUGCAAAAAGAAAAAAUAAUCUCAAAAGUUCCUAUGAGAAUUUGGUAAAGAUAGUUCCUAGAGCAAUUGAUAAAGCAGUGCAAUUUAAUUUUCAAACUUAAUUUAAGUGAGGACAAACCAAAAAAAGGCAGGAAUUCCUAGAAAAUGGCAAACUAAAUUGAUCAUAGUAUUUAUCCUAAUAGAGGUAUAAAGUUAAUCAUGAAAAUUCAAUGCUUCAGUCAAUAAAAAGUGUUUGAACAGUGGAACAAUGUUCAAACAUUACUUUAACCACUAACUUGUAUCGCAUUCUUUUCAUAAAACAUAAUGAAAUAUAAUAUUCUGAAAGUAUAUUUCAGAACUCCACUAAUAUUAUUUUGCAUAUAAUUGAUCUAGAUAUUCAUAAAGGCAUUGUUAGUCUUUAAGAUAAUUUGACUUAUUAUCUUAAAGACCCCAGGGACAAUAGGCGCUCCAUGAAGAAGAUCAAAAUAGGCGCGAUGUGGCUGCUUGCUUGAGCCUGCAGGAAGUGGUUCAUGCGACUCCCAUGGGGGAGACAAACUGCUAUGCCUGUAUUCAGAGCCUGCAACUGGUGCUUAUAUGUGUGCGAUCAGUGUGUUGCCUGGUACUGCAGGGUAGGUAGAGCGCUGAUCUGGUUAUCUCAAAACGUGUAAACGCUCAAACGGUGAAUUUGGUGCCUUGUUUUUAUAAAAUGGGGCAGGGCAAGAUGCCUUUUACUCUAAAAAAAGAUAAUUUUGACUUACAUGCAUUCUGAAAGGAGCAUGUUUUUGGCAAGAGUGAGUGCCUUCUAUAUGACACUGAGGUAUCAUGGAAAUGCAAGUUUACUCAAUACCUGACACUAAUCAAGAUUAUUUGCAUGAUUACACCUGGAAGUUUCUUUCAUAUUUGUACUAGAUAUGCCACCAAAAAUCAAAUGAAGACCACUUAUGCUACAGAGAAAACACCAAACCUUCUUAAGAGAGUGUGCAUUCUUUCCCAACCCAUCUUCUCCAGCAUCAAAUGCAUUUUUCCGAUAAUGUGGUUCAUUUGGAUCUCCAUAAGGAACAACCAUCUCAACAAAACUCAACCUGUGAGCAAUAGGUCGGCGUCCACGAUUCCCAUCAAUGUAUGCAACAGAAUGGAUAACCAAACCCUCUUUAGGGGUGAAGCCAAUACGGAAAUUCCACUGGCAAGAUACAUACAAAGAGUGAAUCUCAAGACCAGGUCUAAUUUAAUAUUGGGUCAACAAAUGCAUCAACACUAGCACGCACUUUUUACCUUUUGCCAUUCCACAAAAUAGCCAUUGAUACGGAAACUUGGGCCUUCAGGUUGAUUGAUAAUAAGAGGUUUCACAUCACUUCGAUCAACACCACCUCGUGUUUCACCAGGGGUGUAGUUCCUCAAAUGAUCUGGUGGGGGCAGAGGCACUAACUUCCGAUCUUCAAACUCUAUCACAACAUUGUUCUGCAUAUCAACAACAACAUGGAUUCCUUCAACAGGACGUGCAUAACCAUUCUCCAUAGGGCUAUCACUUUCCGUUCUACAAAAGAUCAGAGGUUUGCCAAUUCUUCGGUUGGGAGCAUCAGCAUCACUGUAGUAGCCUGCACACCUGGUUUUUUUUAGCAGCAAAGAUCAUGUUUUGGGUAAGAUUGCUACCAGGUCUGAACAAUAAUAUUUUGUAGUGCAUUCAAUUACAGAAAUUAUUUAUGUUUGGCUUACCAUGCAUCUACCAUGACAAGAUCCAUGUCAUCUAUGCCUCUUUUCUUCAUUGCUUCAAUAAAAGGGGGAUAACUUUUUACAGUAGCUUCACAUUCAGCAUAUUCCAUAGCGUCCUGCAAAACACACAAGCACUAUCAAAGUAAUGUCCUGCAAAAUACACAAGCAAUAUCCAACUAAGGCUAGCACUUGACUUAAUUAUUGGACGAGCAUGAGAUAAUAUUUCUUUGCGGCACAUUAGUAUUGACUUAAGACUAGCGUAUAAUUCCAUGCAAUUCAAGCAGGUAAUAAGGAUCAGUUUUCUAAUUGGCAAAUGCCACAGUUUACCAGCAAUAACUUAGAAGAGAUUAUCGGGUAAAUACAAAAACUCAAUGCAUAUCAUUACUAAAUAUUUUCAAUGUACAUGUUAAACAGUGCUAGAUGGACUCUAUGAUGGGGUAAAAUGGUCAACAGAAAAAAGACAGCAUAUGACCAAUUUAUAUAAACAUACCAUUGCAGGUUGAACAUCUGGAACAACUUCUGAUGAUAUGACCUUGCCUCUGUGAUGUCCACCCCGAGCAGCAGCAUGCACUUCAGAGAGUUCUACAACCCAAACACUAGUCUCGUUUGUUUGUUUGUUGUAGACAACAAGCCUGGCUCUCCUAGAUGGCAAUCUGCUUGGAAUAACAGGAACACCUUUUGUUCUAGGAAGCAGGGAUGGUUGGAAUGGUGGGAAGAAGUAUGCAUCAGCUAAUGCCACAACAUUCUUUUCAGGCUCCAGGAGCACAACUUCAACAAAGCGCAUACUGUCUCGUACCUAUAUUUGGUAACUUGAUUGUAAAUUAUUUAUUUUAAGCAUGUGUUCCUGUUUUCAUAGAGAAAUGUAGUAGCUUGGCAAACCUCAGGAGUUCUUCCAGCAGCUCUGACAGUUGCUACAGCCACAGCAAUUUCAGCAGCAGACAAUGGGUCCAACGGGUGGCUUCUCUGUGCCUUCGCCAUGAUUGGAAUCCCUGAAAUGUUUUUUAUCCAGAUUGGACAUCACAAUUUGACAUUGAAGUGAAUAAUGGUUUUGAUAACCUUCAUAGGUUACAGACUUAAACAUUUCAGCAGAUUGGACAUCACAAUUUGGCAUAUGUUGUGACAUGGAAAGAAUGUCACAAGAAAGCUUUUGCCACUUGAAUUUUAUGGACAUUCAGUUAGUGGGGGAAUCAAAGGGUGAAAAGGAUGCAUCAACAAAGCUAAUAACAGAAAAAUUCUGAAAUAUGCACAGUGCACACCAGCCAACAUGCAUGGAACCGUGAAUUAAGUCUAGAAUGCUUGCUGUUAGAUAUUGGAUCUUUUACAUUCUUCUUACCAUUACAUGUUGGUCUCUCUUAGUAGCAACUGAGAAGCUAAAUGGUAUAUAUGCAAUUUUUAGAAUUAUGACACUAUCAAAUGAUGUUCCCAUCUUCAUUUGCUUACGGUUUUCAUCAAUUUAUUUACAAUUUAUUUAAUACACAUAGAAGGGAAAAAUAAUGUAACAAAAACAUUAAAAAAUGGAACAGCUACUAGCGAAAAGCUCUUCUUUGUUCGCUACAUGGACAAACUUAGAGAAUGGGAUAAUCUAAAUCACAGGUCACUGGACAAGAUCGACAAAAACAUAGGAAAAAAACUGAAACGGCUACAAGCGAAAAGUUCAUCAUGGUUCACUACAUGGACAAACUUAAAUAAUUACAGUCAUAUGCAUGAUCUAAAGCACUGGUGUGCAUCACUUCAGAGGAUAAGUGGAAAUACAAAUAGAGUUAAACGAGUCAAAAGCCAACCAGAUAUCAUACAACUAUUGGAAUUACAGUCAAGUUCAAUUAAACCAAGCUACCUUACAAAGAUAUUAUAAAUUGUUCCUGUUAUCAUUUGGUCCAGUUGAUUUUUUUCAUUUUAGAAAACCAUAACAUGAGAAUUCAUCUUAUUUUCUUACUGUCUGUUGAAAGAAAAAUAAUGCUAUUAGGUUCAGGGUUGUUAGCUUGUGAUAACAUUACCUUCUCCAGCAAAACAAAACUUGCUAAAUAGAACAGAAAACUGCAGGUUGGAGCAAAUAAACACUGGACAUACAUGGACCCACAUUGGACACAAUCAGCACCCAUGAGUACUAUGGACACUAGUGCAGCAAACACACCCAUAGGCCCCACCACCCGCAGCACUCCACUAUUAAAGUAUGUGCAUUGGAUGUGGCUGAGUCAUUCAUGUACCAUCACACCGCUUUGGUGGAGCCAUGAUCCAUACAAAACGUUUCUAACGUUUCUAGUGGUCCCGUUACUCAAAUACUACUUAACAACAGGGUCACACCUUCAUUACAUUAUAAGACUCCAAAACAAGACAUUUCACACAUCCUACUACAUCCUCACUUCUGAGCGAUAAAAGUACCGUUCCCAUUAUAAACACAGACUGUGCUAUGGCAGAUUUAAUUAUGUUGGCACUAUCACCAACUCAAAGUGCCUGCGCCAUCAUUCUCAAUGGGCUAUUAUACAAUUAUUUUGGAGUGAAUAAACAAAUGCAUUCAACUUUCAACAUGGAUGUUUGUCAUGAUCAACAGAUUCUCACAAACUAAGAUGCCUCUUUCAUUUCAGAUUUUUUUAGACCAAUAUAAAGCCACUUUAAGAUCUACUCUCUCAUUUGUGCCCCACCCACUAAGUCACUGGCACACGUGCAUGACCAAACUUGGAAAAUAAGUAGAGUCCGCGGUAUCAUAGCAAGGCGUAUCACUUCGUCACUACGAUCUGAACCUCACAAGUGUGAUCGCGACCAAUACGAUAUCACCAUCAGGUAUAGCCUUUCGAAAUCCAUUUCCGCGUCACGCGACAUGCCAAAACAUUUUUGUCCCCAUGACUGCCGAUCCCCAUCUAAAUCGAAAACUAAUCACUAUCCCGCAUCGUCCCUCACGCGCCCGGUGAAUUCGUGUGUCACGAAUCCGGCAGCAAGCACGGGAACAGCGUGACACCUGAUCGACGGCACACGCACGGGCGCACCCAAAUGAUGAUACGUACAGCCGCCGGGAAAAACAGAGGCAGGGAAGAAGGCCAGCGAUCCGAUCACGCGCGUACCUUUGGUCGAGCCCUUCGCGGUGUUGGGCGGCGCGACGUCCCCCGCCAUCACGGUGCCGCCGCCGGGUGCCGACGCGACCUUCGCCUUUUCCUCAGCUGCGGCCAUUGGAGCGGCUUCGCGACCUGGCCGUGCCCGUACCCUCCUCCUGCUCCUCGGGAGUCACGAUCUGACAUGCAGCACCGGGCACCAGGCCCUCCGCCUCCUCUCCACCGCCUCCUCGUCGACCGGGGUUUAGGGAUUCAGACGGCCGUGCGCGGACCGCGAGAUGGGGGUGGGGGAUCGAUCGGGUCUCGGCGACGGCAAACGGACAAGCGGAGUCGCUCGUCGACGGAGGGGGUUUGGGGGGGUUUUGCGGCCUUGCGUGGUUGUGGGGGCGGCCCUGCUUUCGCUUUCUGGAGUAGUGGCCUGGUGGGCACUCGCGUGGCGUGCGCUUUAUAAAGCUGGCGGCGCUGUUGGCAAUUGGCUGCGGCCUGCGGCAGCCGGCGGGGAAGGCGCAGGCGCGCUGCGCUGCGCGCAGCGUGCGUUGCGGCCUCGCGGUACUCUGCGCUGGUUGCUUGGGGCCUAUUGGCACGGGAGGGGCGGCGGUGGCGUUUUGUUGGUAGAAUCCAUGUUUUUUUUAAAAUAUAUGCUCCGUUCGUUCGAAAUUAUGGCUAUGUUUCGUUUUUUCAAAGAUUAAUUUUCAAAUUUUUGAUCAACAAUAUCUUAAAACUAAUUUAUUUCAAAUAGAAAAUGUUACAUAUAUAAUAGUUGGUUCCAUGAUAAAUCUAUAAACAUUAUUUUUAUAUUAUCGAUCUCUAUAAUUAUUUUUUAUUUGCAAUCGAAGCUCAAAAUAUUUGACUUUAAAAAAGUCUAAACGUUGUAUUCUAGGACGGAGAGAGUAAGAUGGAGAGAGUAAAAAAGGUAGAAUCCAUAUAAUACUUAAUUAAAGGGGUGCAAUAUAAUGCAUGCGGUGACACACAAAACCACCAUGAAAUUGUACUUCACCACCGAACUUUUUUAUUGAACUAGUAAGUAUAUAUAUAGAAUUAUAGAUGUGAUGUGCGGUGCGGUGGGAGUGGAACUUGUAAUUCAGCAAAACAUGAAGCGCAAUUAUAGUGUGAUGCGCGGUGCGGUGAGAGUGGGAACUAAGCAAACACAAGUGCAAUUUAGCAAAACACAAGUGCAAUUAUAGAUGUGAUGUGCGGUGCGGUGGGUGUCAGUGUUUAGACCUGGCAACCUACCGAGGGAUACUCGAGGUAGUGUUUUAUGCGUGGGGCUCGCCGAGAUCAGGAAUUUGAAGGUGAACUCAAACACACGAUUUAAACAGGUUCAGGUCGCUUAUGUCGCAUAAUACCCUACGUCAUGUGUAUUGGUUGAACUUGUUUGGAGGAAGUCUCUGCCUCGUCUUAUAUUGCCGGGGGCAGGAUUACAGGUCGGUUGUUUACAAGAAUACUAGUUGGAUUCGACUAGAGAGCCCUACUCUAAUUGCUACGAGUAGUUUACUAAUCAUCGACUAGUUCUUAUCCUCCAUGUAGACUACACCAUCCUGUAUCGUAGUUUUUAUAUAGUCUCAAUGUACAGCUUCGUAUUUAGGACUGUCCAAAUUCUCUACGGGACGACAGCGGGAGUGAGAACUAAGCAAACUGCAAUUCAACGAUCAUGAAAUGCGGGUACUGGAACUCUGGUGUGUAUGUGGCGCUGGACAUAUACAAGUGUGAAGUAUGCAACGCAGACAGGCACGGGAACAACAGCCUAGGGACGCCGAGGCGCCGAGCGCCGCGUCACGAACUCGUUGGCGACCUGGAGGCUCGCGGUGCAUGGCGAUAACGACGAAGGCGACAAGCACGAGAGAACAGGCCAAAACAGUUUUACUUAGAAAUUGGGCAAAAACUGAACAGUGAAACAAUAACAAUAACAUUUGGCCCAGAACAACAGUGACAUGAUCACCAAUCACAAAUGGGCCGAAAUUGAGCCUACAGAAAUAAUCACAGUAACGUUUGGCCCACGACAGCAAUAACAUGACCAGCAAUCACAAUAGCAGCAAUACAGAUCACCUCCAGUCACAAAGCUUACAUCAGAUCAGACGUACAAAAAAUUGACUGACGAGAUAUAAAAAAACAUCCGGAGUAAACUAAUAAUAGUAUUGGCUAAUAUGGUGGAGGCCUGAGCCGCAACAGGCCCAACUCAUACAAUGCAAGUAGUGAUUUCGGCCUAAGCCCAGAGAGUGGCCAUCCCCGAGUCCGCGCGUAUUGCCUGCAGACUGCAGUUCAAACUUCAAAGCAUAGGAGAAGACAAGCGCAAGUAUUCCAUAUCUGAUCCCAGGACAAAGACCCCCACUGAUUCUUCUUUUUUUCUGAUAAAGACACAGAUUCUUCUUAUUGGCGGGUUGUAGCACAACUUGCUCCUGCUUUUCUGUUGUCCGCAGCCUCAUUUCCAUGAGGCCAACGGAGAAAAAAAAGGAUAUCUCAAUGACAACCACACAAGUAUGUCGAAUGACAAGACCACAUACCUUUAUUCCUGGACCACAGCCGUUUUGUUCACAUAUUAACAUUUAGGCCUAGCAGGUUUCCUAUGGGAGGAAACAUACCCAUGAAAAUUCACUCAAUUGCUAUGCAGUCCUGCAGUGCUGGUAAAUAUUUGUGGCCAAUGGAGAAUCUAGACACUGUGGUAGCAAAGCAGCUGCUAUAAGAACAGCACAAAAAAAAUUGUUUAUCACGAGAACUGAAGAACAGUAAACCGAGUGCAAAUAAGAGCACUUGACAUGGUGCAUCAAUUUGCUGAAUGCGCACAGGCCCACGGUGGAUAUAUAGCACCAGAUAGGAAAGCCCACAGGCCACAAGGAACACAACAAAUAUUUCAGAAUCCAUGAAUGUUCAACAGCAGCAAAAAAACAUAGAACUAGAUCUUUGAAAACGGGCUAACAUAGCAGAGACAAAACAGCAGAAAAAAACAUAGAACUAGAUCUUUUGAAAACGGGCUGAGCGAAGGGGAGCCCAAGGUGAUCAUGCAACUGAAAACAGUCAGGCAGCAAACUGCGACCCCAAGUUUUGGAUUAGGCAGGAAUCUUGCUCAUAUCCCCUUGCACCACCCAUUUUAUCCACCAACCAUUCGUCUCAGCUUGGGUUGGGGCCACCACAGAAUCAAAGCUCUUACUUCCAUCCACAUAAACGUGCUCAUUUCUUCUCAGACUCCUAUGAACACCGCUACCCCUUCUCCUCCUCAGUCUCAUCUCUUUCUUCUUGCUGCCCCCAACUCAUCAACCCCCUCUUCUGCUUCCGCCACUCAAUGUCUCAAUCCUCUCCGUUCUUCUCCAUCGCCCGAGCACACGCUGGAGCAGGAGGGCGGGCUGCGGCAGCCGCUCUCCUGCUCCGUCAGCCCGUUGCUCAGCUGCCAACCAACAUUCACAGCCUGAGGUGUUUCCCUUCGGCCAGAGUGACACAUGCCAAGACGCUGCGAUCGCACCUGAACCUCCCUCGUGCCACGCUGUCCUCCUUUGCCGAUGCUGAUGAUGGCUCCAAAACGAAACCCGAUGAGGCAGAGGCUGGGGAGGAGCAGAACGGGGAAUGCGAGAUGUCGGAGAUGGCCAAGGCAUUCCAUAUCUCACCAAGGAUGGCGAUGUCGAUCUCCAUGACAACUGCAUUCGCUGCCCUCACCGUGCCACUGGCGAUGCGCUCACUGGUCUGUCGUGGAACCUUCAAGAUGAGUGUAUUGGCAUAUCUGACACUUUUGUCAGGGUUCUACAUGGCAUGGAAUAUUGGGGCCAAUGAUGUGGCAAACGCCAUGGGGACAUCAGUGGGAUCUGGGGCUUUGACACUCCGGCAGGCGGUGCUGACUGCAGCGGUGCUAGAGUUCUCUGGUGCAUUCCUUAUGGGCACCCAUGUCACCAGCACCAUGCAGAAGGGCAUACUGGUUGCAUCUGUCUUCCAAGGAAAGGACUCUCUGCUCUUCGCUGGAUUGCUAUCCUCCCUUGCUGCCGCUGGCACAUGGCUGCAGGUAUGUUCCAUCACCCUUUUGAGCUCUGCUGUACCAAGUAAAUCAGAUCAUUCAGUCUUCUCAACGGCCAUAAGGAUCACAGAAUUACUGAGACAUCACCCAGUUGAUCUUCAGCCUACAAUAAGGAAGGUUUAGGAUGUAGUAUCAGUGAGAUGAUUAAUACUAGAAUUGCAUGAUUAAUUUGAUAUGGAAAAUUCAUAGAUUUACAUUCAUAGAAGCUAGUAAAUCUUGCCAACAAUUUAUAGUGUCUAACUGCAUCUUUAAUAUGAAGGUUAAUAUGUGAAAACCAUUCAGACGCGAAUGGAUCAAAUCACAGAAUACUAAUAUACAACUCAAGUACUCAGUAGAGUCCAUCUAUACCUUUGUCAUAAGAACCACAAAGUAAGAACUCUGCAAAGGGAAUGCACUUAAGAGACUAGAUAUAACUCUGUAAAGGGAAAGCAACCAGCAACUUAAACAGAUGAACCAACCAUGUACCUACAGCAUGGCUUUCACCUUAUUGAUAUGUGCGUGUUAGUUUAGUUAAAUGAAGACUUAGACCAAUGCACACUUCCACACUAAGUACACAUUUCAUUUCCAAUUCUCAGAGGAAAUUGUCUAGCACUUCAUCAGUUACAACGGCAUAGUAGGUACAUAAAAAAAUAGAUGAGGUAACUCAUUGGACAACAUUCACUAAUAACAUAGCAGCAACGAACAAAAUUUGAAGAACCUUGCAUCUCAAAGUUUGUAGCAAGUAGAAGUUUGCUCAAAUAUUCACAUCUAUUUAAGGAAUGAAGUUAUGAUAUUCACAUGUUUGGAUGAGAAUACAAAUCAGGCAACAUGCUUCCCGAAAUAGCUUUUAUCAUCAUUGGAUGAAAUGCCUCUGCCAAUAUUUCAGUCUUUAGUCUUGAGAAUGCAGAGUCCUAACGUUUACAAGGAAUAGGAAGCAUCUAAGGACAUUCAUAAAUUAUAAGAAUCUAUGUGUAUUAACCCAUGCUGUUUCUUAGGUUGCUUCAUCAUAUGGCUGGCCUGUCUCAACUACACAUUGUAUUGUUGGGGCCAUGGUUGGUUUCGGGCUUGUAUAUGGAGGGGUGAAUGCAGUUUUCUGGAGCUCCUUGGCUAGAGUAUCUUCAUCUUGGGUCAUUUCCCCUUUGAUGGGUGCAGCAGUCUCUUUUCUUGUUUACAAGUGCAUACGCAGGGUAAGUGCUAGAGUAAACUUACUUUAUAAGAUAAAUGACAAAAAAAGGACAGGUUCACUUCAACAGUUAUGCAUACCUCUAAUACACCAAAUGAGCAUAGAUUCUAAAUUUCAUAAAUAAAGAGCAUAAAAACUGUUCCGCAAAAGAUGCAAAGGUUAAUUUCUUACUGACCAAUUUUCACUUCAGUUUGUAUACAGUGCGCCAAAUCCAGGCCAGGCUGCAGCUGCUGCUGCACCAAUUGCAGUGUUUACUGGUGUCACUGCAAUCUCGUUUGCUGCUUUUCCUCUCAGUAAAGUCUUUCCCAUUGCUCUCCUGCAAGCAUUAUCAUGUGGGGCAAUAGGAGCCAUCAUUGUUACCCGAGUGAUCCAAAAACAGUUAGGUGAGCUACUGUCUUCGGAAGCAGAAAAGAUAGCAUCUGCUGAUAAGUCAAAUGUUCAGCAGGUUGGAUUUCUUUCGGACAUUGCUGGCCCUACAGGAGCUCAAUUGCAGAUCGUGUAUGGUGUAUUUGGUUACCUGCAGGUCUUAUCAGCAUGCUUCAUGUCAUUUGCUCAUGGAGGCAAUGACGUCUCCAAUGCCAUAGGGCCCCUGGCUGCAGCUUUGUCCAUUCUUCAAGGUGUGGCAAGCAGUGCGGAGAUAGUCAUACCUACUGAAGUUCUUGCUUGGGGCGGGUUUGGAAUUGUUGCAGGUCUUACGAUGUGGGGAUAUAGGGUGAUAGCAACAAUUGGCAAGAAAAUCACAGAACUGACACCAACUAGGGGCUUCGCGGCAGAGUUUGCAGCGGCUUCAGUGGUCUUGUUUGCAUCAAAGCUUGGUUUGCCAAUUUCUGCCACACAUACACUUGUUGGAGCAGUGAUGGGUGUCGGAUUUUCAAGAGGGCUCAACAGAGUCAGAGUAGAGACAGUUCGCGAAAUUGUGGUCUCCUGGUUGGUCACAAUUCCAGCUGGUGCCGUGCUAUGUGUCCUCUACACAACGAUCCUAACCAAGAUUCUGGCAUACUUUAUGUGAGUGGAUUGUGAAACAUAAGAACUCAAUUUAAGUGCUACAGUGCAUUAUCACUUCAUGAAUUUUGAUCGGUGGAAAAGGCUCUCUCUUUUUUUUUCAAAAGUGAAGAGAUAAGCUAAUUUUAAAAGUUCUAUCAGAACUUUACAAGAAUUUCCAAAAGCAAAUAAUCAUUUCCUUUGCAACUGAGUGCAAUUAGGAAAAAGGUUUUCCAGCAAAAUAAUCAUGGUACAGACUCCAGAUUUUUCAACUUUCCGUACUACCUUGUGUCGAUCACAAGGUCGAAUACUGUAACUUCUUGUAGAGCUAUUAUACAUAAUAGACAAUGAUUUGUUAAUUUCUUCAUGUAAAUUGUAAUCAUAUCACGCAGCUUUGUUCAAUACCACCCAAUCAUCCUUAUAAGAGUUAUUUCUCUGUAGGAAAUUAUAGUGUAAAAGCAAGUUGAACACAGAUAAGGCUUUGUUUGUUUGAGCUUCCUUGCAGCUUCUCAGCAUGAAAAGAAGCUCAAACAAAUAGUGAACUUCUCGUGCAGCUUCCGGAAAGCUAGAAGCUCAGAAAAGCUGAGUUUAUAUGGAAAGCUGAAAAGCUCAGUUUUCUCAGCUUUUCGUAGCUUUUUGAGUCUAGGAAGCUAAACACAUCUUCUAAAAGCUAAUAUUGGCUUUUCAGAACAAAAAAGCCAGCAGCAGCCUUUCAAAAAAGCUUAAAAGUUGCAGCUAAAACAAACAGGCCUAAGAAUGCAACAUCAUAGGUGACAGAUAAUACAGGAAACAAAAGAACAGUUUGCAACGGAAGACUGGAAACAUUAGUAAUUUCAACUAUUACAUACUGUGUUGCACAUCAUGUUUUAUGUGGUAAACAAUGGAACUUAGGGUCAUCAAUUUUUUAAUUGAAAGUUUACACAUACACAGACUAACAGAGGUUUCAGAAAAGGAGAACGGGGAAGACUAGACAUGACAUAAUCGAUAUUUCCAGCUUAAAAAUACACAUACCGAAUAACACAGAAACUGGCCUCAUUAAAUUAGAGAACUGAAACUAAAGUCAGUGGUCAAGUUUAGAGAUUCUCAACAAGCAAGUCACUGAAAAUUUAAAAGACAUCUGACCAUGUGCAAGACCAGAUACUUCAUAUUACAACUUCUUCUACUAGGUGACUCAUUGUGACAAUAUGUUCUUUUUAAUGAUUCCUCGGCGUGGAUGUCCAGGUUAGUGACACCUUACUAUCACCAUAUUCGUGUGUAGUUCUUAUAUUACUGAUAGCUCCAUCUUCAAUCUGGGGAAUCGCUUUUCCGUUAAUCAGAUCAAAAGUAUGGGCUUCCUAAUUUUCAUAUAGGAAAUUGUAACCAGAAAAGCGCAAUGAAAAAACAAACAGUAACUUGUCAAGGACUAAUUAGUCUAGGGCUCUAGGCACAAAGUGAAGAAGUAACAGCAUCUGGCGCAGAGUGAGGAAACUAAACUAGUGUCUGGAUUUUAGACAAGACCAAGUAGCAUUAAUCAUCUAAUUUCAUACACAAGGUCCACAUGAAUGAAAUGACAAGGGACUUGCUCAAAUCCUCAUAACAGGCAGCAGCAGGAUAGGGCUACACAGCACAUCCAGAUAGCAGGAGCGAAUCGGGGAUCGCGAAAUACAGACAGCGCAGCGGGGACGGCGGGGCUCCAGGCCGCCGGCAAAGCACGGAGGAGCCGCACGGGGUCAGCCAGUUUCCUGGUCGAAGUCGUCGCCGUCGGACUCCUCGACGUUGUCCGCGUCGUCGUCCUCCACCUCAGCGUCGUACUCCUCCUUGGUGUCGCCCGUGGGCUUUCCGAUGAUCACCAGGUUGCUGUUGGCCUUCCGGAUCUCGUUCAGCUGGAGCGGCGGGGAAGGGAGAAACGAAGGGAAGCGUCAGUUAUCCCUUUGGCGUCACGUGGGUAGCGCGGAAGGCGAGGGGAAUCGAGGGGAGGGAGCGUCGGGGAAUGGAAUGGAGAGCAGAGCGGCACCUUAUCCUCGAGGUCGGACUCCGCCAUGGCGAGGAGGAGCUCGUCCUCGUGGGAGGUAGCCGGCACGGGAAGCAGCGUGGACGCCGGGAUCAGCGGCGGCGACGGCCACUGCCGCAUCAGCGCAGGGAACUGGAGCAUUCUCCGCUCCCUGCCGCGGCUUCGCUUGGGCUGUGGGGAACUGGGCAACCGGGGCAGGCAGGCAGGCAGGAGGACUUGCGGCGGCGGCGGCGGCGGCGGCGGAACCUCCACUAUGUUUAAGGCCCUGUUUGGAGAGCUGAAGCUUUUCCAAAGCUGCUGGUCCGAAAAGCACACUUGGUGGUAUGAAAAGCUGCUAAUGCUUCAAAAAAAUAAAUAAUUUGGUCAGUUUGCCAACCUAGUUUUUAGAUUGCCUAACUGGUGACCUUAAAGGUGAAAUAUCUAAUUGCCAUUUUGGAAAAUAUUAUAGUUUGAUUAUAUGCAAAGUUUAGAAUAAUAUUAAUAAUAAUUUGUGUUCUAUUAUGACGGUUUGAAAAUUUUGAAAUGUAGGAUUACAACAUGACACAAUUGCUUCAUCCGUGUGAUGCCUUUUCCAAUUAAGAGAACUAGAUAUCACAUAGAUUACUCUUGACAAUAUGGAAGUAGGUAGUAAAUAAUCAAGAUAUGCAUGACACAUGUUUGCUUAAAUUUUUUAACGCUUUCUCAGCAUGAAAAGUAGAAACUCAAAAAACAACGUGCAACUUACGAAAAAAGAAAAAUUCAGAAAAGUUGAAUUUAUAUGGAAAGUUGGAAAAGAUCAGCUUUUUAGAUUUUCGUAGCUUUUUUAAAAAAACUAAAUACAUUUUCUAAAAGUUAUUAUUGGUUUUUCGGAAUCAAAAGUCUGCAGCAUUUUUUUUCAGAAAACCCAAACAAGCGUGCCCUAUACAUCUUUACGAAGUACUCACAUACAUGAAUAUAUACUUUUGGGGUAGCUACUAUGCUAAUACAGUACUAUUUAGCAUCGGAAUCAACAAAACUUGCAUUUACAUCAAAGGGGAACAACGCCAUCGAGGCAUCGGGUAACAUCUGAGCUCCUGUGUAUUCAACUCAUGCACACCGGCGCUUGAUACAAGCGAGCAGCACUUAAAAUUGAUAAUACAGAGGUACAUUGUGGCGGAACCGCCCAACUUAAGCUGGUUUAAGUGCGCCUAAUUGCUGUCGGAACAGUAAUUAUCCGAAACGCACCUAAAACAGCGUAAGUCCGGUAGUCCGUCGAGUGUCCCUAGGACUCCUCAAAGGAUCCACGGCGUGUCUCAUAACCAUACAUCAGGAUAAUAUCCGCGAUGGGAUAAUAUCAACAAACAUUACAUUUUUACAUACAUAAUUAAGAGGUACGAUUUAUUACAAGACAUAAGUUGAGACAACUUAGUGAUGCAGAGUUUGACAAGUUCUAAGAUUAAACAUAAACGGUUUGGGAGAAGAUGCGCCGAUACAUGGUUUUCUAGAGUAUUGAGAGACUCAGAUCAACACUCUAGGUCUUCGGGGUCUCCUCCUCGGUAGCCUCCUGUGGAGCUUCUGAAAGAUAACCACAAGGGGAAAACCCUGAGUACGGGGUACUCAGCAAGUCUUACCCGACUAACCAAUAUAAUAGUUUUUCUUUGGAAUGCAUGUCAGUCUUUGGGUGUGCUUGGUUGACACGGUUUUUGCCGAAAAAGCUUACUACGAGUGAGGCCUUAAUUUUAUCUUUUAUUUUAGUUAAGUUAUUACCUAACCAUUCUAGAUGAUGACAGAAGUAAAAGCAUUCACAGCUGAUAAAUCAUACAGUACUUGGCAACAGAAGAUUUUAUAUCGCAUGAGUUCAUGCUACGAAGCUUAACAGCGAUCAAGUGCAUUCAUAACCGAGAAUUGCGGCGAUCCGGAUCUCAUUACAUCCUGCAGGAGAGUACCCUGAUCACCAGCAUCAUACGACUGUCCAGGUCGUACUAACAACCUCUCGAUUAGUAAAGUCAAUGAUUAGGAAUACAACUACCCGGACCCAGGGAUGCACCCCCACAUGGGACCCCACGUCUGGUCUGAUCUCCAUGUGAGUUUCAGGCUACACCCCUGCCAAUCUCCAGCACGUCAAAUGCGGGUACGGAGCAUUCCUGAUCAUAGAAUUUACUAAUCUACUGGGCUUUACUGGUCCCAUACCCAGUAAGUGAUCAGAUGUUAUCACUUGAUCAAUGGUUAAGACACGAAUCGGUCCUUAACCAGAUUAAUCUAGCAGACAGAACUACAUCACUAGCUUCUGUCUGGUUCCAUGUUCCAAACUAUCUUCAUAAGCAACAUGUAUGACUUAAGUGUUUUCCUUAAGGUUGGUAAGCCAAUCAUGUAAGCAAGUAAGCAAUUCUAGACUUGGGUAGUUUCUAGGAUUUGAACAAGUGGCAAAGAUGUCCUUAAAUCAAGGCAUGAUCAUACACAAGAAUAGGUUUCAUCCAACUCCUAGACUUAGUGCAUACAAUAAACAAAUAACCUAUAACUAGUCACAUGAAAUAACGACUCUAAAAUAGAUAGGUAUAAAUGCACCGGGGCUUGCCUUGAUCGUUAAAAAGAUUAGCAGAAGCCGACGGAUUUGCUUCACAGGGAACAAAUUCAAACACUUCGUCGGAUUCCAAGGGUCCUUCUGAAAAUUCCCAGUAAUCCUCUUCCGGUGCCUCUGGAUCUACGUCAUAUAUACAUGCAGGGGUUAGAAUGCAAACUUUUUGAAUAACAGACUAUACAACUUUCCUUCAUGAUAAAGUUGCAAGCCAACAAGGACUAUACAACCUUAUCAUGAUAAAGUUGCAAGUCAACACACAUAAAAUCUAAAAGAUUGACCUAUACUUUUAUUUUUCUUAACUAACCCUUCCUAUAACUUUUCUUUUAAUUUUUAGAAAAGGUGGUAAAUAAUUUCUAACUUGAAAAUCUAAUUUCCUAGGGGUUAAGAAUUAUUUGUGAUUGAUAAAAUAUUAUUCAUAUUUUUAUACAUUUUAUAAAUAUUAAGUAUUUAUUUAAUUACCUUAAAAGGAAGGCAUUAAAUAAAUACCCAAAUUUUUAUUAUUUUCCUAGGGUGUAAAAAUUUUAAUGCAUAAAGAAAAAUAAAAUAAGCCUAACAAAAUUGGUUUCACUAAUUUUGGACACUCCUACAAAUUUCUGUGAUUAAAAUGGUAUAAAACGAAUUUAAACGAAAUAUUUUGCUAAAGAAAUCUAACUUUUCCCGAAAUUCCCCCGGAAAAACUUUUCUUACUCACCCACGCUCUACCCUCUCUCACGAACCCCUGGUCCCCACGGCGCGGACCCCACCUUCCUAUUCCUUUCUACCCGCCGGUCCUAUUCCUCCCUUCGACGGGCCCCGCGGGCCGUUUUUCUUUUUCUUUUUCCGCUUCCGGCCCAACAACGGCCCACGGCCUUCCUUUCCUCUUUUCCUUUUUCUUCCGCGAAGUCGGCCCGCGAGCUGUUUUGGCCUCCGGCCCUCUCCUUCGCGGUCGACUGCGCCGGCCCUUUGGGCUUCCAACGCACCAGCCCAACAACUGACUGCGCGCGCCCGGCCCUUUUCUCCUUUAUUCAUCCGCGUGCGGCACUGGGCUUUUAAGCCACGGCCCAGCAACCGACUGCGCGGUUCUGGCCUGUCUCCUUCCUCCCCCCGUCGCCUCUGACGCGCGGGCCCGAGCGCCCAGCUCCUUCUUCCUCCUCCCGCCAAAAGCGUGACCGGGACAGGGGGCGGCGCGGCUCGCCGGCCGGCGCCCUCCCGGCGGCGGGACCAGGCGACAACACCAACCCGAGACCUACACGACCUCGUGCACGGCAACAGCUUCCCCGGAGAUGGCCGGAGCCAUCCCCUCCACGGCGACGGGCGGCAACUCCCGCGGCCAGCCGUGGUUACUCGCGCUAGCAGCUUAACCGACCCAAACGACUACUUCUACUUCAUCCUGGGACCCUAUGGACUCGAUCACAACUACACAAGAAGGAAGAAAAGCAGCGCAAGGUGGUUCUCACCGUGAGCGGGCGGCGCGACGGCGGCGGACAGAAGCGGCGGCGAGCACGGCUAUUCCGGUGAGGAUGUGGGACAACAACUAGCUCAGGGUGUGGCUGGGGUGUCUGUGGAGGGGUGGGCGAGAGGAAUCGACGGGAGGCGAGAAGGGGGCAGUGGAAUUUUGUGUGGCGGUGAAGCUUGACAGAGGAGAGCGGGCGGCGGUAAAAAGGACGACGGUGAAACGGCGGCGCGGGAGCGGUAGAUAUUCAAGUGUUUCACCGCGCGCAUGGGCGACACCGUGGCCUACCCGUAGGCUUAUGUGGUGAGGAGGUGGCCUAGCUAGACGCGCUGGCGAGUGACCGACGACGGCGGCGGCGACACGUCUUGCAGCUCUGUCAUCGUUCAUCUGGCGCCCGUGAUCUUCAGAAGCAACUAACGGUUGAUCCUCAAUCCGACGGCCUCUCGUGCUUUAACAGAACCUGAAGAUAAACUCAAGCUUGCCAUCUUUUAUUUUGGCGUCGGUUUGAGAUAACUACCGAAUUUGAUGGAAUUUGGAUUUGUUUUCUCAAGUUCUUCUGAAUUGCAACCGAAACCUUCAUUCAGUUUCGUCAGUCGUCGUCAGUGUCAUGGAGCUCACUUAAUGACUCGAUUUCAUGAUUAAAUCCUUCUGCCCUCAGUCCAACUUCACCUCAAACAUGCUCUAUAUUGUCCCAUUGUUCCAUUUUGCUCAUGAACGAGUACCUCUUUUGAUUUAAAUAGUCCUGAAUUCAAGCUCCAAGUUAUUGCCUUGCUGCUGUCCAGACUUAGAAAAAUUCAGAGUUUCAGUCAAUUUGUGAAUUUGUGCUGAUUUUGAGCUGGAAUUUGACUCCCUUCAUUUUACUGUUCCUGGCCAACAACACAUGAUUAUGGUAGUCCAAAGUCUAUAUUUCAACAUGGUAUAGUUGUUCUGGUGCUCUUAGUUGCAAAAUUUUCCAGAAAUGAAUUUUGAAAACAGACUCUGCUGCUGUUUUCUGGACUGCUGUUUUUCGGACGGUGAACAAUAAACGGCAGUUUCUCUUUUUCUUUUUCUUUCUCUGAUUCUUUUAUAAUAUUUGGCACCAAUUUAGCUCCAAAUUUUUGAUCCCUCAAUUCCAAAUAAUCUCAUACUUGCAUUCCACAUGUUGGACAAAUUUUUCUGAAUUUCAAAUUUGAAAUUCAAAUUUCGGUCAAAAUUUGGCCGAAUUUGAUCUUUUUGCCAUUUUUCUUUCUUUUUCUUUGGAUUUCUUUCUGAAUUUUUCAUGGUCACUAUAUUACUUCAAAUGGCACUUAUUACAUACAUCCGCCCAAAUUUCAUAUCUCGGUAGGUCUCCACAGCCCUAGGAUGUGUUUGCCGCGGAAAAUUGCAGCACUGCAGCAACCAGUUGACUACAGGCGGCGGCGGGAUCAAUGUGAGAUUGAGAGGGUGACGCCUCGAAUCUCGAAGCCUCUAACCUAGCGGCGCCGAACGGAAGAAGAGGAAAGGGUUCGGGGCGGAGGUCGGAGGCCGGAGGGAGAGGAGGAAGGAGCGGGGCGAGGGUCUUCGGGAGAUAAAUUAUCUUUUCAGCAUAUGCGAUGUGUAGAUUUGAAAGCUUUUCAGCAUGUUCGCUUCAGCUUAUAAGCCGGCUGAAAAACUGAAACGGCUGAUUUGUUGUGAGAGGAAAACACUGUUUGGUAGCUGAUAAGCCGGCUCAAUAAGCUGAAGCGAACAUUGUUUAGAUUUUGAAGCUGGCAAACAUGCCCUAAUCAAGAAAUGCAAGUCUAUUAUAACGUACGCACAAAGAAGCCGCCAUUCUUGUUAAUGGGCUUCAGUAGGCUUUUGGCCUGGUGUGGCGCGCCAUCUCUGAAGUAAUGCAAUGGGCCUUACGGCCCAUCUUAUUUCAACUGUCCUCGAGACCACGAGCCGCGCAACACGCGGCCGAUCGUUGCAACCUCGCAUAAAUUCUUCCCGUUUUUUCGCUCCCGAAUCCUCCUCUCCUCAUUCUCUUCUCGUCUCCCUCCAUUUCGUUCGCCCUCCACCCGAUUCCCCCAACGGCCACCCGGGACGAGCGAACGAAACGAGCCGCGAUUCCGCGAUCGCCGUCGCCGCCGCCGCCGCCGCCGCCGCCGUCAUGGAUCCAACGCCGCAGUCGCACCCGAUCCUCGCCUACGUGCUGUCCCGCCUCCCCUCGCUGCCCGCGGUGAGGACGCCGCGGUCCCCGUCGCUGACGUCCUCCCCGCGCGAGCGGGACCUCGAGCAGGCGUCCCCGCGCACGCCGUCGGGCGCCGCGGAGAUCGACCUGGUGGGGCGCAUGCCGGGCCUGCGCCACCCGUCCGUGCUCUCGGCCAUGACGCGCGCCGUCGCCGACGUCGCCUCCGCGCGCGACGCGAUCCGCCUCCUGGGCCCCCGCCCCGACCACGAGCAGGUCGACGCCUCCCGCGCGCUCCUCCUCUCCGCCGCCUCCGGGGACAAGCCGGACGCGACCGCGAAGGAGAAGGACGACGAGGAGGAGAAGCUGGAGGCGAGCCGGGAGGUGGUGCGGCUGGAGGAGGAGCACGAGGCGUACGGCGCCCUUCUGCGGGAGGCGGAGGAGAAGCUGGAGAGCGUGUACCGGAUGGCGAUGCACGGGAGGGACAUCCAGGAGGGUGGCGGCGGUGAGAGAAAGAAGGGGGAGGAGGAGGAGGGCUCCGGAGCGGUGGACGAGGAGGUGGUGCGGGUGCUCAAGGAAGCGGAGGAAGGGAGAACGUUGGAGCGGGUGGACCUCGCCGACCGGCAGCUGCGCCUCCUGCCGGAGCCCGUCGGCCGGAUCCGCGGCCUCCUCGCGCUCGACGUCUCCCGCAACCAGCUCAAGGUUAGGGACUCUUACACACCCAAGCUGCACGCGUGCACCAGCCAGCAUUGCUCUGUCCAACUGUGCCUGUCGUCUGCCUGCUUCAUAUACACAUUGGCGUUCGCCAUUUGUUCUGAAGUAUUCAGCAUUCAGAUUGGUCGAAUCGAGGUUGGAUUGUAGGAACUGUACGUCCGGUCCCCGAUAUUCCGCGACGGUGACGCGUCUUCUCGUGAUCUGGGAUAGUGGGAUUGCUGAUCAAAUGGAGUAUGUCAUUGCUUGAAGGAAGGAUGAAUGAUGGAGUACUGAACUACUGAAGAAUGCAAUGCUGUUUGCCAUCGUUGGCAGUUGGCACCUUCAUGCAUGAUUUUUGCUGGUUGGAAGUUGGUAUUAGUUAUAAUUAGGAAUGUAGAGCGAGGAAGGUAAGAGAAGUCCAUUCAAUUGCUAAAAAAAAUGGUCGAACAAGCCAAUUUCUCAAUGAUCGAAAUGCAUUCAUCCGUCAUGUUCACCAAGGUACUCUUUCCUUGCCCUGCUUCACGCCUUCACCAACGGUGUUCGUUGGAUUCGCAGGUGGUUCCCGAUGCUAUUGGCGGGCUCGAACACCUGGAAGAACUCCGCCUCGCCUCCAACAACUUGGUUUCCCUCCCGGACUCCAUCGGCCUCCUCUCCAACCUCAAGCUCCUCGACGUCUCCGGCAACCGGCUCAGGGUCCUGCCCGACACCAUCUCGAAAUGCAGGUAUAAACAGCCAACAAAUCAUCUCACUUCUUGCUCCAAGCAAGAAAACCUCUCGUUAUGACUGUGACCACUCUGAGCUCGCUCCAGAUCGCUGGUGGAGCUGGACGCGAGCUACAACGCGCUGGCGUACCUCCCGACGGGCAUCGGGCACGAGCUGGUGCACCUGCAGGCGCUGCGCGUGCACCUCAACAAGCUGCGGUCGCUGCCGUCCUCCGUCUGCGAGAUGCGGUCGCUGCGCCUCCUGGACGCGCACUUCAACGAGCUCCGGGGCCUCCCCGCCGCCAUCGGCCGGCUCUCCGCGCUGGAGUCGCUGGACCUGAGCAGCAACUUCAGCGACAUGCGGGACCUGCCGCCGUCGUUCGGUGACCUGGCGGGCCUCCGCGAGCUCGACCUCAGCAACAACCAGAUCCGCGCGUUGCCGGACUGCUUCGGUCGGCUGGGCAGGCUGGAGCGCCUCCGCCUCGACCAGAACCCGCUCGCCGUGCCACCGCCGGAGGUGGUCGCCGGCGGCGUAGGCGCGGUGAAGGAGUACAUGGCGGGGCGGUGGGCCGAGGCCGUCGCCGAGGAGGAGCGGCGGCGCGCGAGCGCGGCCGCCAUGGCGGUGGAUAGCCCCACCAAGGCGUCCACGCCCAGGGAGUGGCUGACGCGGAGCGUGUCGUCGCUGAGCACAUGGGUGUCGGAUGUGACUGUGAAGGUCGUCGGACAGGACACGGUGGAGGAGGAAGAGGAAUUCCUGCAGCAGCAGUUCUGAAGGUGCCCGGCGGCCGCAUCCAUCGCCAGACCGUCGCCGUAGAAAUGACUGCAAAGGUUGGUUGGUUCGUGCAAGACUAGUGCGCACGACGCAAGAUGAUCGCGCAUUCACUGAUUUGUUGUUUCGUAAUUUUAUUGCUAACGUUUCUUACUGAAAUUUGUAUCUAGUAUAACACGUUUCUUGGGUUUGUCUUUAAGCUGAAAUGUAAUCUUCUUUGUGAACUGUCCUAUGAAACGGCAUCAACAAAGAUUAUCAAAAGAUGUACAAAAAUGAAUCCAGUAGUUGCCCAUCAACAUAGAAACUGGGGCACACAUCGAACCGCUUAGCAGAUUCGGAUCAUGUGUUUUUUGAAAACCUAAAAUCCCUAAAACUCCUUUUAGCCCAACAACCCUCAAAUCUUAUGUUCGUCCAUUUCACAUCUGAACGUGCUUUCGUGCACGUCGCUGCCGCCUUGCUAGGGAUGGGAGAGGGUAAGAGUAAUAAUGGAGCAAGCAACAGGGGAAUGAAAGAAUGGAGCUGUGUUGACAGAAGAAAUACAUUCACUGCUUGAUCUUUGGUUCCAAACAGGGUAAACCUGCUCUUGGAGACAUCCUCAUAAGCCAAACUAAUUCACAUUAAUCUGAGUUCACGUUUGCAUUAUGUUUUCCUAAAAUCCUCUGAAAACAUGUUUUACUAAAUUCAGUUCUUUUGUGAUGUUGCACCCUGCAGCUCAGACAAGGCACCCAGAUCAUACAAUUUACACGGACUGCAGAGCAAGCAAUGAAACAUACACAUCCGCAGAGGUCCGUGCAUCAUAAUAUGUUUGGACAUCUCGGUCACAGAUGCAAGGCAGAACAGCAAGUCCAUACAAGCAGUUCAUCUGGCAGGGUAACUGCUUUGCUGAAGCGCGCACGCGCAAAUAGCCAAAUACUACGAGUUCAUCGACACCACACACCACAAGCAUGACAUAUAUAAAGUAGUCUUUAGAUAAGCAAGCACUGAGACGUGAUAGCUGCACCAUAGGGGUACAGCAGUCUCAUUAUUUACGCGUAGAUAUUAGAUAACUAUGUGCACAGGCACACGAUCUUCACUUGUCCUUCUUCUCCCUGGCGAUGAGGUCCAUCACAGCUCGCUUGAUGCUUCCCCCGUUCUUUGCGAGCAGCUCCUUGUUCAUCUCAGUAUCAUCGAAACCCUGAAAAGAGCCAAGUUUAGAAGCACGUAGCAGAAGUUAUAUGGGAACCAUACAGAAUAACAGAGGCAUGUAUCUUACCAUCUCCUCCAGCUCUGCAAGGAGGGGAUCCCAUUCGUUGACGCCACACAGAUCAUCCACAGACAGCUCCAGGUUGUAAUUGUUCUGCCUAAGGAUUUCCUUGUUCAGAUCAAUCUGCCUAAAGCCCAUUUCCUCCAGCUCCCUCAGCAGCUUCUCUUCAUUGUGACCAUCUAUGUCAAAAGGCUCAGGUGCUGCGGCGCUGGCUGCAGGUGGAGGCACAGGCACAGAAGCAGGGGCAGGGGCAGAUGCAGGUGCGGAUGCAGGGGCAGGCAUAGAAACAGGCACAGUUGUAGGCAGGAUAGGCACAUUAACAGGUGAAGGUCCAACCGGGGCAAGCAGCUCAGGUGCAGGUGCAGGCACACUAACAGAAGGCACAAAAGCAGCAGCAGUGGCACUGGACAUGGGAACAUCAACGACAAGGUUUGCAGGAGCUGCUGCAGGCAUAGAGGUAGCAACUACUAGAGCAGGCUGAGAUUUCUUGGGCUCUGGAACAUCACUCGGAUAGAAGUGGAACUCUUUAGUGCGUUUGGCAUGUGCACUAAGGGCUGGGUCAACAGGCUCAAUGUUCACAUCAAUUAGGCUAGUUGUGUUUGCACUACUGCCUUCUGGUGGCAGAUUCAGAUUAAUAGCAGUGUUCCUGUUAUUGUCAUUAACAAAGGAAGGAUCUUCCACCUACAGAUGCAGUUACAGUUCAAAAGUUCAGGUCAGAAAGAAAAUUACUGAGAGUAAACAUCUACAUUUUGGAAAACAAUGUUAAGGUAACAACCUGAAUAUGAACCCAAACUCGCUGACCAAAUUUCUGACCAGAAGGUGAUGCCAACCUCCAGUAAGAUAUGUACCUCCCAGGCCUUGUGGGUGCCACAAAAUCAACAGCAACAUCAAUCUCCUUAUCCACAGGAAACCCAUUGACUGGAAUCUGCACAAUACAAGAAAGCUCAUAACUGAGAACUUGUACAUUUCUAUAACAUGCAGCCUAAUUUGCAAUUCAAAGAAGCAAGCGGAAAUCUAAUCAGAGUAAAUAUAGCUACCUCUAAUGGAACAGAGGUCUGCAAUGCAAACUGAUCUCCACCGACCCAGAUAAGCUGUGUGCCCAAUGGCCACACGAUAGACCCAUUGUUAUGCAUGCGCCAAAUCUUAGUAAACGGGGUAGAAGGUGUCAUCAGUGUGCCAUCCAGGACAGUUACAUCCAAAAUGAAGCGACUUUCAAGUUUCUCCCGUUUCGACUUCAUCACAACCCGUGGGUGGUGCACCUUUCGAUACUUAAAGAAAACAGAUUUUCAAAUCAGUUAUUCUGCUAAGCAACUUAGUCAUACAAAAGAAUACUCCAUCCAAAAUGAGGCACUCACCGAAUGAGGAUCUCUCAGUAACCUGUGUGGUAAAAUAGGCUUGUCUAUUUUGGUGUACUCAACUUCAUUUCCCAUGCGCUGGAAACAGGAAUUGCACAAAUCGUAGUCUUCUUUCCUGUGGGGCAAACAGGAAGAUGUCAGAUCUAACAGCAUCAAAUACAACCAAGAAUUAUUGAAGUAGAAAGUUAUUCGAGGCCUUACACGUUAGAUUUGAAACGUGGACCAACAAUUGGUUGUACUCCACAACCAUCACACUGAAUCCAUCUAUGGAGACUACGUGGUGCUGAGUUCUCCAUAUUGCCAGCAAGAUCUCCAUAUGGAUGCCCAGAAGACAAGAGACGGCCUGGAUAAGGAAAAUGUGGAGAAGGUCCAUAGCCUGGUGGUGCAUGAGACACUGCUGCAGGUGGUGCAUAGGGAACUUUAUACAUUGGAAUGCGCCAUCUGGAAUCACUAGUGACUUUUGUAUUAUUUUCAGAUUGCCACUGGUGUGGUUGGCUCCUUCGUGGACGGAACAAUUCAGAAACACAAGGAGGUGGAGGUGGAACAUGAAUGGGAACAGCAUGCGGGGAGGCAGGCUGAGUGGCAGAGGACGCAACAGAUUUGCCCUUACUUUGAGCAUCAAUCUUCCCUUUGCAAACAGGUUUGUCAACUGAAUUACUGGGGAACAGCAACUCCUCAACAGAUGGGUACAUUGAUGGUUGCUGACCUUGAGAAGCCUCAACACUAGGAGCAGCAACAGGAGCAUCCUUUAACACACUCCUAAGAUCCAAACAUGCCUUAGCUUUGGGCUUAGCUGUGGCAGGAACAGCAACAGGAGCAUCCUCUGCCACACGAGUAGAAGAGGUGGAUGACCCUUCAGCAUGUGCAUCAGAUGGUCCAUUGCCACCAUUGCUUGGUGCCAUCAUUUGCACAAAAGGUUUCAUCAGCUCAGCUAAUGGUGGUGGUGCCGCAUCAAGUACUUCAUGAGAGAGUUUUGCAAUGGCAUCAGGAAUUGGCUCUGGGAUAGACUUGAUAGCUUCACCUAUAGCUGAUUUUAUAUGUGCCAGACUUUCUUCCUGAGCAGGUUUCAAACCUUCGAUAGCUGACAUUAUCUGGGACAGUGGAUCCUGAGCAGUAGGCUUCACAGGUGUAGAAUUUCUCUCCUUUUGUUCAGUUGGUUGACUUUUCUUUAGCUGAACAGUAAUCCUCAGAGGGUUUAGUUUCUGACGCAGAGCUGCAUCACGCAGGUCAUCAUCAUCAUCUAGCAUGACAGCAUCACCAUCCUCAUCGGUGUAAGUCAGAAUGAAGUCAGCAUCAGGACCGAACUUAAAGGCAGUUGCUAUCUUUGCCCGCAGAGCAGAUAAAUUCAUGUCCAAAUGAGCUCCAUUGACACAACCAUAAAACCUCUUAAGAGUGUCACCGUAUUUGACCUGCAAUAUGUUAAAGAAAAUCAGAAAGUUACAGUAAGAUAAUACACUCAUAGUCAGCACUUACAGCUAGAAGAUCAAAUGAAAACAGUGAUAUAUGCGAGAACAAAAAUCAUAUAAAGUUGGGGACAUGAAGCUCUUAAAAUUGACCUGUUGAAACCCUCUAGGAACAACAACAAAAAAUUGCCAGGUUUCAAAACAACAAAAAGGACAUUAGUUAAACAAUCUGGAUAAACAUGGUGGAAGUGUCAGAGGAGUACAGAAAGAAAGGACAACUCAACAAAGUUGAAAUGGUGGAACCAUAAAGUUAAAUCAAAGCAGUCUAAUGGAAGAAACAUAUUACACCUACUGCAGCCUCAAGAUGCACUUAGUCAAUGUGCAAGGCUAUUCAAUCUUAUCGUUUCGACCUAUUCCAGAAAACCUGCAUGACUGAACCCUCAAUUGCAAUGAUCAUCCUUUUUCUGUUAUCCAAUUCAAAAUCAUAAAUGGCAACUAAACUAAAGCAAGGCAGAGCAAGAAGCAGAAAUAGAACAAUUGGAAUCUAACUGUUGUUCUGCCUAAAAUGUUCUUAACAUCUAUUCUUAAUCCACGUUGAAUCCAAAAACUGGCAUAGAGAACUGUACAAAGAGAUGGCUCUCUAUACAUCAUAUUCUAAAAAAAUACAUCUAGUUUCAUCAGAAAAUAAACAAUCUCGAUGUGAACAGUAAUACAGAACAGCUAACAUGCCCAACUUUCCCCCCCAUUUUUCCUGCUAUUUUAAGAAUCCACAAGUGGGAACUCGUUAAUAGCACUCUUUAAAGUUAGAUUCAGAUAUCACAAAAUACCAUGUAGGAGCAUAUUUCAUGAGCAGAUUACCCUAGACGCCACAGGCAAACAUAGGACCAUCUUCAGUCAUUAACUAUCAGGCACCGACAGAUGAAUCCCCAUCCGAAGGUGUUUGGUAAUAAGCACGCACAAAGAAAAUCAUGUCCGUGGUCUCACACCACCAUCGGCAAAUAUAGAAGAAUCUUUAUCUUUAAACCACACGAUGAAUAAACUAAGAGACUCCAUCGCCUACACAAAAUAUCUCCUCGUGGAAAAAGAGAAUCUACACCAACAAAACAAACCGCAAAACCCUAGUCACCACAGGACUGUGGAAACCCCCUGUUUCCGUCGAUCUAAUACCCAAUCCGACCAUACCCACGGCCGAUCCAUGAUUCAACACAGAAACCCCCAACCCACGGCCCUCCCCACAUCGAUCAAAUCAAAACCAUGAACAGAGGCGGAGGUUCCCCCACACGGCCACACCUCACGCCACCACCGUGCCCCCUAAAUCGCACAGAACCCCAAGUACGAAACCACAGAUUUUUCGGCCGGGGUGCCUCACCUUGAAUGUGACGUCUCGCACCUCGGCCUGCGGGCCGAAGGGGAAGAACGUCGGCGCGGCCGGCGAGCUCCGGUCGGACAUCGUGUCGGGGGGGAAGCCCCGCGGGGGGGAGGACGAAGCGGCGAUCUGGCCGAACCCUAGCGGAGUCAGUCGUCGAUCGAUUCGGGACGAACCCUUGACGCAAUCGGAGAGGAGGGGGAGGGGCAGGGGAGGAGGGGGAGCGGGCUGCGUAGCCGUGAGCCGCAGCUGUGGUGGUGAGGGGAGAGUGUCGAUGCGGCCAAGCCCUGGGCACCGGAGCCCCUCUUUAUCACGCCUCGUUUGCUUCCGAGCGAAGGGAUAGCUCUCUAGGCGGUGCCGUUGGGGAUUUAAUGCCGGGCCCCACGCGUCAGCGAGCGAGCGAGACUCCGGUCGCUUCCCCGGGUCGUGCCCGCUGGGGUCCUAUUCAGCUCGCGCGUGCUGGUGGGACCCACGUGUGGGGUAUGGAUGUCGGUGACGAUAUAUGGAUAAGGAUAUGGAAUAAAAAAUUGCUGCUAAAUCCUGCCAUCUUCUUUGGGCGCAAGUCGGGAUCUCCUUGCCUGCUGGAUCCCGCACGUUGCUUGAGUCACUGUCGGAUGGGCCCCGUUGGAUUUCUUUCUCGUUCGUUGUCGCCUGGCCGGUGGGGACAGACGGAGGGCAUUUAUUUGGCGUGACCGCGUGAGUGACUGGUUGAGCUCUUCUUGCCGUGCAAGCUGGGUGGUGUGUGCUCGGGCCUCGGGCUAAGGAAUUGACUAGUCAGCGUGCCCGGGGUGUUCGAUAGCCUUAAUGAAUUAACUGACUUUUUUUUUACGACUAAUUAGAAAACAUUAAACAUGAGAUAAUUACAAAACUAAUUACACAGAUGGAGGCUAAUUCGCGAGACGAAUCUAUUAAGCCUAAUUAAUCCAUCAUUAGCACACAUUUACUGUAGCAUCACAUUGUCAAAUCAUGGACUAAUUAGGUUUAAUAGAUUUAUCUCGCAAAUUAGCCUCCAUCUGUGCAAUUAAUUUUGUAAUUAGUCUAUAUUUAAUAUUCCUAAUUAAUAUCAACAUUCGAUGUGACGGGAAUUUUAGGAGAACUAAAGAGCCAAACGGAGCCUCACUGCUCCAUCAAAUUACUCGUAUUAUUCCAAAAAAAUGCUUAAAAAACCUAUGGGAACCAAUAUCAUCUUCAACAUCUAAAAAAAAUUAGCUUGACUUUUGCUCUCUUCUGCCAGUGAUGUAAAACACAAUAGUACCUAUGUAGCUUUCGUGUGCUGGAUAAGCAACAUGGUUUUAAAGUCCACUAAGCCCAACUGGAAAGAUUACAUUCAAUAUUUUCUGAGAAAUAGAUCAACAUUUAGAAAUAUUUUUAACAUUUUUGAAAAAAUAACUACUUUCAACAUUUUUCUUAAACUAUCCCAUCAUUUCAAUAGAAUGGAUUCAACAUCUACUAAAACCUAUAUCAACAUUCUGAAAAAAAUUGGUAUUCUUCUCCAGCGGCGGCAGCAUGCGCGGCGGCGGGGGCGACCUCUGGCGGCGUCGAGGGCCACACAUGCAACGGCUGGAGGCAGCGGUGCGUGCCCCCGCAGCGGUGGAGCUCGCCACAGCGACGCGUGGGAUCGACGGCAGCAGCAGGGAAGCGAUGCCCCCCGUCCGUGGUAGAGCCACCGCAUGCGCGCGCAGCCCCACACCUUGUGGCUGCAGUGGCGGAGCACAUGGGGCGGCAGCGCCGCGUGGCCAUAGGGACAGCAGAGCCCUAGCCGGGUUGGCGGGCACAAGGAGCAGCAUCGCUUCGGAGAGGAUGGCGGCGAUGCUCGAGAAAGGAAGACCAAGGCAACUGGAAACCCUAGGCUGAGCAAGAUCCAACCGGUGGAGCUCUUAGCACGAAUCUCAAACACCGGAAGACAUGUGACAUAUUGGUUUCCGGAAGCCAUAAUCCACGCAUGACCUAGGCUUAGUUGGUUUUUGCUUUCUUCUGCUAGACAUGUAAGAGCAUCUCUAAGAGUGGCUAAAAAAAUAGAGGUCCAAAAAAAUGAUUUUAGGAUAUUACCAAAAACUAUUGGGAGUAAAAACUACCAACUCCAAAUGUUCCAAAAAUUUAAUUCCAGAAUAGAUCUAAUUGCUGCCGCAUUAUCCAAUGUGGGCCCACCAUACCAACUGUACCUCCUCUAUCUACUUUUCGGGGGUGUUUGGAUCUUUAGUCCCGACUAAAAUUUAUGUCACAUCGAAUAUUUGAAGGCUAAUUAGGAGGACUAAACAUGAGCUAAUUAUAAAACUAAUUACACAAAUGGAGGCUAAUUCACGAGACGAAUCUAUUAAGUCUAAUUAAUCCAUCAUUAGCACAUGUUUACUGUAGCAUCACAUUGUCAAAUCAUGGACUAAUUAAGCUUAAUAUAUUCGUCUCGCAAAUUAGUCUCCAUCUGUGCAAUUAGUUUUGUAAUUAGUCUAUAUUUAAUACUUCUAAUUAGUAUCUAAACAUUCGAUGUGACAGAAAUUUUAGGAGCUACUAAAGAAACAAACACCCCCAACGGGCACAUCUCGUUGUUCUUAUUCCUGACUGAUCUGACCAUUCAAGCUGCUUGUAAUCUGUUCUCGAUGCUAGAUUCACAUUGGAUACACAGCUACGCAAAAGCCUGACGCAUUUGAGAAACAACUCUCCUCUGCUUGCUCCUGGCCUAGGGGAUGUUUGAAUACUGGUGCUAAACUUUAGCAGUUUUCGGAUACUAAUUAAGAAGACUAAACAUGAGCUAAUUAUAAAACUAAAUACAGAACCCCUGAGCUAAUUCGCGAGACGAAUCUAUUAAGCCGAAUUAAUCCACCAUUAGCAAAUGGUUACCGUAGCACCACGUUAUCAAAUCAUGGACUAAUUAGGCUUAAUAGAUUCAUCUCGCGAAUUAGACUCCAUCUGUGCAAUUAGUUUUGUAAUUAGCUUAUGUUUAAUACUCCUAAUUAGUAUCCAAACAUUCGAUGGGACAGAUGCUAACUUUAACCGGUGGUAUCCAAACACUCCGUAAGGAUACUUGCGUCCAUGUAAUUUCGUUCAAUUCAACAAACAUCUUUACUGUCGGAUUUAGAAAGCAUCUGCAUUGAAAGUUCUCAUUGGAAGUUGUCAUCGUGAGUUCAGCUAUGGAUUUCUCCUUCAUCUUCGACUUCCAGUUACCUCUCAUGGUGGAGAGAUGCGACGGAAGGUUGGGCGGUGGGAUUGGAUCGGAGCGGUGACGGGGCCAGGCGUCUUCUAGACCGCCAAGGAGCAAUAUGACGACACCUAAUGGGGAGAUGCAGGGCACCACACCGUGGCUGUCUGCACGAUUAGGGCGGAUGCAUGGGGCGUCGGCGUCAUUGUGGAGAUUCGGAUAGGCCAGCAGGCUGAAUUGCUGAAGGUAAAACAAUGCGUAGGACUAUGACCCUGUUUGUAUACGCUUUUCUGAAACUCGCUUAUCUGGCAAGCAAGCUUAUCUGAUAAGCCUGCUGCCUGGAGAAUCUGCUGUCUGAAUAAGUAGGGUGUUUGGCAAUCCUGAUUAUUUUGUGUCGAUUGUCUGUCUUGGUUGGUAAAUUGACCUGAAUACCCCUCAACACUUCACCGUUUCCUGUUUGCUCUGCGGCCUCUGCCCCUUUUGUCCCCAGUCCCCACGGCCACCAGGGUGGAGACGACGCGCACACAGCAGCAGAGCAGCUGGCGAUUGGCGGCGAGAAUGACGCCGGGACCGGGAAGCGCGUGUGUAGUGCAAGCGGCAGGGGCGACCGACGGUGGAGGGCGAGCCCAGGGGCGCCUCGUCGGUUGCAGGAAGGUGGGCGGCGAACGGGAGCCGGCAGCGGUCGUGGGAGUCGCGGGAGGCGGCGCCGGAGGAAGGGAGGCGGGCAGGGGCGGCCGGCGGCGGGGGCCAAGCCCAGGGGUGGCGCCAGUCGGCGGGCGCGAGGAGCGGACGGCAGGAGUCGGUGGGGGUAGCGGGGGUAAAAAUCGCGAUGCUUACCCGAGAAGCGCCCUUGAGCUCGCUUACUGGAUAAGCGGUGCCCCAAUUGUUUUUUGGAUUGUGGACUAAGCGGCUUAGGGGGUAAGCGAAAAAUAAGCUAGGUGUUUGGGUAGGCUUAUCGCUUAUUUCCACAGAUAAGCGGGAAAUAAGCGGAUACAAACAGGAUCUAUGGGAGGUGAAAUUACGCGGGAGGAAGAAAAAAAGCUGAAGGCCAUCGGGGAUUAGGAGUGUGACCUAGCGGCGGAAAUUUGGCUUGAAUGGCCGCUGGUAUUGGGCGCGCGAAAAGAUUGGGUACCGGUUUGGGCUACCGUUGGAGAGGGUUUUUUUUGUUUGCUCCCAAUAUUGGCUCGAAUGCUCUAACGGCAAAAAAGGGAGCCCGGCUAAAGGACACGGCCUCCGGCCGGCCCAGCAAGGGUAUUGGCGGCCCGGGUUCCGGAUGCAGCAAUGUAGCUUUGCGAUAGUGGGCCACAAUGCCAGCCGCACAACCUGCUAGAACCAGGAACCCUCGCGCAGCCUCGUCGCGUGCGUCCCCAUGGAGCCUCCGCAGGAGUCCGCCGCCGGUGGCCGCAAGCGGCGCCGGCGAGGAGGUUCCCGGAAUCGCGGGAAGCCUUCGUCAUCAUCGCAACAAGCGCCUCGGCCAGCGGUGGCGCCCCCACCGCCGUCCUCCCCUCCGGCGAAGCGGCGGCGCAAGGACGGCGCCGGCCAGGCCGCGGUCACGCCCAAGCGAGACAAUACCUCGAUAAAACUCGACAAGGUAACCUAUAUUACUUGGAUUGCAGAUUCCUAGGAGUUUAUGGCCCGGGGAGUAUUCAGGCAGCGGAGGGGACUAUGUAGACUUCGUCGCUUGCAGUUGCAAGCUUUGUUGAGCUGCUUAGUGCGAAUCUUUACAGUAGGUUGUGCUCGGUGAGAUGAUGGAUGUAUUGACGUUCGUGUAGGACGAGCAAUUCUUGGUAAUCUUUUUGUGUAUCUAAUUACUAUAUUUGGGAGCGCCCCAAUAGGCCAUUGUGCUUCGUCGAGUCUAGUGUAUUGCUCCAAUUCGCACAAUCACAUUUGGUGUACAUUUGUUGCUAAUUGAAAAAUCUAACAAAUGUUGCGAAGUCAGUAGGGGAUGUUAAAGAUGGCUUGAUAUUUGGCCUCAUGGGGUCUUCCUCCUGUUUCCUUCUUUGGUUGUUUUCUUUGAGCAAAUUAAUCAAUUUGUUGUUUGGUGACAUUUUAGAUGCGUGCAAGGUUAUAUGGUGGCCAUUUCAGAAUGCUAAACGAGACGCUGUACACUUGCAGGUUCACAUUCUACAUACCACACCUCUAUUUGAUUGUGUUGGAUGGCUUGAAUGCUAUACUUUCUGGACUGUAUAUAACAAUUUUAGACAACAGUUGGGCGUACGAAUUUGUAUGUUAAGAUAAUAUAGUUACAUGGUUUUGUUUCUACUAGCUCCUACUCUCUGUGCAAAUACUGAUAAUUAUCAUUCAUUACAGUGAUGGGGGCUAUGUAGACUAUCAUUGCCCUUGAUAUUUUCACUGUUUGUUGUGCCUUGGACUUGCCACUGUUAAAUAAAGCAUACUAUUCUGAAUUACUAAAAGGGCCUUUAACUCUUGGAAUUCAUAGAUAGCAGAGAUCUUUUCUCGCAUGUUUCAAAUUUUCACACGUGCUGUUUAUCUUUCCAGUGGGCAGGAUGCAUUUGACUACUUCCAAAAAGACCCUAGUCUUUUUGAUGUGGUAAGUUAUUUUUCUUCCCUGUUUUAAUACUGACGUCUGCUAAUACUAAAAGAAAAUUCCAUCUUGCCAUUGUUUCUAGCUAACAUAAAUUUGGGGUAGGUGUGGAUGCGCAUAAUUGAUCUCCUGAAAACUAUAAGUACAGUACUAGACUCAUUUUAUUUAUUUUGUUCUUUAACUUUUUAAUAUAAUUUGGUUUGCACAGUUCAUCAAGAAUUUCUUGCUGUGAUCAUUGUGCAAAAAGGAUUUGGCACACUCUGAGUCAAGGAACUAAUUAAUCACGUCCAUCAGAUUACAUGCUUGAAUUCACGUUACUCUCUUUUAGUAUCAUACAGGAUAUCAAGAACAGAUGUCACGUUGGCCAGAGCAGCCAGUAAAUGUAAUAAUCAAUUGGUUGAAGAGUCAUAAGACAUCGUGGACUGUUGCUGAUUUUGGCUGUGGUAAGAUUAAUCUUACAGCCCUGAAACUUAUGGCUUUUGCAAGUUUUUUUUCCCUCUUCCAUCUUUUUGUUUACCGCGUAAUUAUAAGAAUGCAAUUUACGCUUUGCAGGCAACGCAGCAGUUGCAAAAAAUGUGAAGAACAAGGUUUUCUCCAUUGAUCUUGUUUCAGAUGAUCCUUCAGUGAUUGCUUGUGAUAUGGCUCAUGUAAGCACUGACAACCUAAUAUCCUAAUACAUUUUGAUGCAUCAAUUGAGCAAAAAAUGCUUUAUGUAUUUUUUUUAAUAUGACAUAAUUGCAUCUGUGUCGUGUUCACUGACUUAUAGGAAAUUGAAUUGUCAGAUGACUCAAAUAAUCAGAAUGACAAAUCAUAUUGUUCAUUGUUCUUGUUGAUGAUUAUGAUCUAUGCCUUCACUUCAUCAAAUGAGUUCCUAUGAUUUUUACCAUUUCUCUUUUUGAAUAUUUUUUAAUUCCUAAUACUAGUAACAUGCAAAUGAAUUAAUUUAUGACAUAGAACUUCCCUAUUACAACAGGCUGUUCAAAGGGAUCUUCUGUUUUUCCAUCAAGUAUUCUGGUUUUCCCUUGUAUGAACCCAGGAAUAUUCAAACUGAAUAAAAUGGGUGCCAAACCUUCAAUUGGUGUUCAAAUCAUUAAUUCAACUAAACAUUUUUUCCCACCUCUGCAGACACCAUUGGAGUCGUCCUCUGUAGAUGUUGCAAUAUUUUGUCUUUCUUUGAUGGGGACCAACUAUCCAAAUUACUUGGAGGAAGCAAAUAGGGUUCUCAAGCCAAGGUCUGCUUAAAUCAUUAGCUGCAGCAGCUCUUACUGCAAAGGGUUUGUGCCUCCUGUUUUCUUUACUGAUAGAUUUGUUUAUGCAGUGGUUGGCUUGUUAUUGCUGAAGUGCGAAGUAGGCUAGAUCCAAAUAAUGGAGGCGCUGAUCCUGAAAAGUUCUCUAAAGCCAUCAUCCAGCUUGGCUUUUCCCUUGUUUCAAAGGUUUGUAUCUUUAGUAUUUACCUCAGCUGAGUUAUUGAGUUGAAUUAUCAUGAUGAGGUACCUGUAUAAAUUUCCUACGAGUACUAAAACAUAUGCAUUGGUUCCCUACUGACCCAAUCAGUCUACCCUCCGUGUAUGUAAGACCGAUCGGAUGACCCAUUCAUGAGCUGAUAAAAAAGUAACUCAAAUGCUUGCCUUGAAUUUCUUCAAUUUGAGACUUUUGUUCACUUGCAGUUGUUGGCUGAAAAUCGAUAUCUCCUGCUUACUGUAGAAUAAAUACAUUUCAUUAGCAAUGGAGAUCCAUUCCAUUCACUGUUUAUUUGCUCCUGGUUUAUUUUUAUUGCGUGCAUGAUGUCUGACACAAGGCGUGUGUUUUAGUAAAAACCAAGUGGCCAGCACUGUAUUAUUCAUGUAUGUUAGUCCUGCAGAAUGAAAAUAACUGGGUACCCCUAAAUAUAUGGUGCUGCUAUGUGGCUUCAGUGCAUAGAUUAAUAGCAGAAUAGCAGAUUAUGACUCUUAGAACUAUACCCAUUGCGUCUUUGCAAUGUGAUUCAGAAACUAAUCAGCUUGUUGACUACUCUCUUUGCGGAGCUGAUAUUGUAAUGGUGGUUGUGAAAUGCUUGCAUUGAUUUGUGAUUGCCAUGUUAAUGGGCUCGGAGUUUGUUCAGUCCCUUUCAUUUUGGCACCUUACAUAAUUUCUGAUAUAAAAUGCAUUUUGUAUUGAUAAAAUAUUUCAUGUUAGCUAAGCUUCAUUUGCUUGGAAAUAGAUUCGUUUGAUCAUGCUUUCUAAUUGGUUGCUGGUAUCCUUUCUUCAGGACAUGAAAAAUAAAAUGUUCGUUCUGUUCUACUUCAGGAAAAAGGUUAGUUGCAACUUUUGCUGAUUACUGUCGCGCCAUGAUUCGGCCUUCACGCUGAGCUCAGUGGCUUGCCAUGACCCUGCAGGAAAAGAGUAAAGUGGCAAAGAGAAUCGACUGGCCCCAGUUGAAAGCUUGCAUGUACAAACGACGAUGAUCUCAUAUCCGCCCGUAAAACUGUAGUUGCACUGGACCUCUUGAAAAGUUACUUGAACCGAUGCAUCUUGUCUAGAUUAGAAGGUCUCUAUUGCCAGGCUUUGACACCUCUGUUUCGUGUUUCGUCCUAUUCUCACAUUGGCCGUGUCUUUUGUGUAUUGGACCUCGCAAGUGUGAUGCGAUGUGAUCCGGAAGUAAUAAGUUUAUAAUUUGCCGUGUGCGGACCAGCGGACGAAUCGUCCGGUCAAAUUUUGAUGCGCUUGUUUUGGAAAUCUUGAGCGUUCUCUCAAAUUUUGGGUGCCGAUCCAGCGUCUACAGAAUCGUGCAAUGCAUCAAUGCAUGUAGGGGUUACGAGGACGGAUCGCAUGCAGGAAUGUGAUCCGAUAUCCCGAGCAACACAAGAUUGCGGUUCUCUCGUGAGGCCAUUUGUUCACCAUCCGGCAUCAGUUCAGCGCCAAAGAAACAGCACAGACGCCUCAUCUCUCAACUAAACCUACUUCGCAAUGCCCCCUCCCGUCGGGCGGCGCCGCCGCCGCGGGCGUGCUCCUCCUCCCGGUCUUUCUCCGGCGAGUCGACGACCCUGGAUCGACAUUAACCGUCCCAUGGGGGAGCUAAGAGCCACUCUAGGUGAGCAGCCAUCUUUCUCUCUCUCAAUCUCACCCAGUUAAGGAUGAUGAAUGGAAACCCUACACCGGAUGCUGGUUCGACUGCGGUGAAUCAGGCACCGGGGAGGGCCUUUUAGCCUCGGAUUCGGAUCCAUUCCAGUUCCAGGGCUGGCUCCACGCUUUUGAUAUUCGGAUGAACGAUUGGUCUGCAUGCAUCCUUUUUUGGACCGCGCUAACGCGCGACGCUCGGCGCGAGCGCGCGACCCCCCAGAUCAUGCCAAUACCCUUGAAAAAUCCAUGCUAAUGCUACCACGUGUCCACCAAUUAGUUUAGGAAAAACUAUCAUAGCGCAGGUGAGCAGAACGUCGCCAUUAAUGGCGUUAGUGUUGGAAAAUUGGUUUCAUUUUCUUCAAAUUGCCAUAACUCUAUCCUAAGAUGUACUUUUUAAAAUCUACUUUUUAAAAUCCGUUCGCACAUUUAGACCAUGUUUGGUUCUUUCCACUUUAGUCCAUGGACUAAAGCGUGUUUAGUUCAAGUGACUAAAAGUGACUAAAACCAUUAAAUGUUAUGACANNNNNNNNNNNNNNNNNNNNNNNNNNNNNNNNNNNNNNNNNNNNNNNNNNNNNNNNNNNNNNNNNNNNNNNNNNNNNNNNNNNNNNNNNNNNNNNNNNNNAUGGUGGCGAGGGGCUGGGCGGGAGGGUGGGUGGGAGAGAGAGGGGGCAAUAAAUGAGUGGCAGUGGGAGUCCAGAAUUGGUUUUAGGACCUUUUAGGAGGGGUGGGGGGACUACAAAGUUUUGAGCCUCCUAAAAGUUUCAGUCACCUUUUAGUCCGACUGUUUGGCUCUUUAGUCAGUUUUUAGUUAUCUUUUAGUCACUAAAAUUUUAGGAGGUGGUAACCAAACAGAGCGUUAUAUUUCUUUAGACGAGAUCUACAAAAUAAGAUCCACGAUCGAUAUAUUUUAAACAAGUUAUAUUGAUUGUAAGUAGUAAUUUAUGUACAAACCGUGUAGCAACUUAUGCAUAAACUUAUAUACAGAUUAAUAGACGACUAAGGGAUAAGGCUACCCACGGGUCCCUACCGACCAGGAUACUGGUUGGCCCUGACAAGUGGGCUCACCCGACCAUACCGUGUGAACCAAGGCAUGAAGAUGUGUGGAGCACAAGCUCGGAGGCCGUGCGAACGGAUUCUGCCCGGAUAUUGCAUGAUAUUUGUUGUAGUUCGACUUAGAUUGCUUUCCAUGUAACAACCGACUAGGAUUGGAUCCUAUUCGAUUGCAAUCCUAGGUCGUCAGCCUAUAUAAGGUGGCUAGGGACGCCCCCCGAGGGUACGGAAACUUAACCCAAUGCACUUGCAAUAAAAUCCACAAGAACACAUGACUAGCACUACAAUCCACCAGAACACAUGACGUAGGGUAUUACUCUUCGGAGGCCCGAACCUGUCUAAACCUUGCGUCACUGUGUUACCAUUCGAGUUCUUUAUCUUGCGAUAUUCUCCGCCUAUAAAUUUACCACUUGGGUAACCCCAUGGUGGACCGCCGGUCACUAAAUCCGACAUCGGAUUGCAAUGUAACAACCUAUGUAGAUGCAAUGUAUCAAAAUUUUACAACGAUUACAUAUAGCAACUUUUGUUGUAUGCUACAAAUUUAUAGAGGCAAAUGUAUCUAAGUUAUAUAAAGAUUGGAUAACAAAUUGUGUGUAAAAAUAUUAUGUAGUAUGUAGUAACUUAUAUGGAGAUAACGUGAUAACUUGUGUAGAUACAUAACAACUUAUAGAGGUACACGAUACGAGGAAGGGUAAAAUUAUUUUUGUAACAAUUUAUAUACAUAAUUUGUUGAUAGUUUUACAUACAAGUUGCUACACACUUAACACAUAGGUAUCUACUGUACAUUUAAUAUAAGUUGUUAGUUUAUAAAAAUUAUUUUAAAAUAUAUGUGGAUCUGUUACGAUGAAUACAAUGGUGCGAACGAAAUUGAAAAUGGACAUCUCACUAGAAAGUUAACGCAUUUUUUUAAAGCAAAACACGAAACAAAAUACGUGGGUUACGACACCUACCCCUAACCAGACUGUAGCAGGCUGUGCCCGAUAACGCAUAAAAAUUGAGAGGGCGGCGGUUGCUCGGGCCAAAUCAAAGAGGAUGGCGGUUUGCUCGUGGGGGUCUACUGGGCGAAUCAGUUGCGUGAUUGCACUCCAGCGCGACUGGUCGGCAGAUAGACUUUUCCUUUUUUUCUCGGUAAUCCAGCUUGCUUGAUUUUGCUUAAAUAAUCCUGUGUUCGCAGGUGAUAGCUUUGUGGAUAAUUGUGGGGUUGUCUUGCUGCUGUUUGAGAAGCCCACUGGCUUCACAAUUUUUUGUUUUUAUGGCAUCCACCUCUACAGACCACACGCACUAGAAGUAAUUUGAUCUUCCGUCAUUGGUUGUCUAACGAUGCACUUGCUUCCUAGCUCAAUCUCUUCAUCUAUGUUGACCUAAUAGGGGAUGUUUGGUAGCACUCCACUCCACUCCAAAAAAACAACUUUACUCUACUAACUCCACAAAACUUCCUGCCAAACACGUCCAACUCCACAAACUACGGCUCCAGAAAAAACGUGGAGCUAGGUGUCAGAUCAACAUGGAGCUAGGUGUCAGAUCCAUGUUUUUCCUGAGUACCUUAGGGGGUGCUCCAAAAAUACCAAUUUCAUAUCUCCUCGUGAAGUUGGAGGUUAUUUACACACCAUUACCACUGGUUACACAACUUACCUCUUUGUUUCUAAUUUUUUAAUCCACUUGGCCUGUCGCUGUUUCCUCCCUCUUGCUGCUCGGUAGGGCGGGCCUCCCACGGCACUGGUGCCCACCGGAGUUGCCUGUUGGACCGCGACGCCGCUGCAUCCGUUGAACCGCGCCGCCGCCGACCGCGGGACCCGCUGCUGCCACCCCUAGGGCCGCGCGCCCCUGCCCAUGGGAUUGAGCCGCUGCCGCACCCUAUGCUUCUGCUGUGCCGGGGGAUAAGCUCGACUGGGGCAGCUAUGAAUGAGGAGGUCGAUGUUGGCAGAGGAGAGUGAAGGAGAGAAAUUAAAGGUGACUGUCACACGAGUCCUAUUUACAAGGGUAUAAUAGACUUUUCACAACAAGACCUCCUGUUUCUAAAGCUGGAUACAUGUUUUUUUUGCCAAAUAUGUGGACAACUCUAAUUUUUUCUUGGAGUUGGUGGGGUGGAGCUGAGGUGGAGUGGAGCUAAAAAAUUUGAAGUGGAGUACUACCAAACACCCCUAAGUCUUAUUUUUUUUUAUCCUUGUCUCCAGAGUACGUGGAAAGGGCAAACGAUGUGAGUGGUCAUCUUCCCUUCUCAGUUUUACCACUUAUUUCCUCAGUUGCUCGUCGCACAAAAUUGAUACGAUCGACAUGUUUUAUCCUCGUUUAUCACCUUCCAGUUUGUAUCUACUGAAUUGAAAAUAGGUCUAGGCUGCCCUGACCGAUACAUUGCAUGGUAUUUGAUUAUUUGUUUCUUUUUGCCCCUGAGUGUGCUAAUAUCUGUUCAUUUCGUUUAUCAGGUAGUUUGGCUGAAGGAAUUUCAAACUUUUGACGACAAGUCCAGUGCCAUUGGUGUUGGUAGUGGUGUUUCCAGACAGCUUGCUGAGAUGAUCGUGAAGUGGCAUCGCCCCGGACAUACAUUGGUUGUUGGAAAGAGGUAAUAUAAAUCAAUCAUCGAAUCAAGCUUGGUGAGUAUAAAGCUCCUUGUUUGCUUAUACCUACGAUGAUGAACAUUUUGAGCGCAAUUUUUGGUUGACUUCUUUCAGGGAAUACCUUGCCUGCAUGACGAAAUUGUGAUGGAGCUAAUGUGGGGCAUGCAGCGUUUCAUGAACAGGUUGGUGCGCAAAGAAAAAUCAGAGCUGCCUAAUGAGGUCUGUGUCCCUAUGAGCGCGCACUUGGACUCCUAAAUUUUCACAAGCCUUGGAUGCAAUCUUUUCUGUUUGCCUCUGCAUUUUUCUUUCAGUGAUGAAACAGCACUCUUUGUAUCUAGGUAAAAGAGCAAAGUGUCGUGACUGCAUCCGCCUUAUUUAACUGUGAUGCCUUAGAGGAGAAAGAGUACCCAGCCUUGCGCACUUUUGGUCGCUACCUUAAGGAUGUGUCUGGCAUUGAAUCCAAGAAUUGGGGCGCUCUGAAACUUGCAACUGCUUUUAAGAUCAUAUGCACCCAUGAAAUUGGUGAUGCAGAUGAGGUAGAUCAUACUUGCUACUCCUUCCAUCCCAAAUUACUGUUCGUUUCGAUUUUUCUUGAUAUAUAACUUUUGCUACGUAUCUAGACAUAAUAUAUAUCUAGGUGUAUAGUAAAAGCUACGUAUUUAGAAAACCCAAAACGAAUAGUAAUUUGGGACGGAGGGAGUAGUAGGUAAAAAUUGUGUUCUCAGCUGCUGCUUGCUAUGCAUUUCAUUUACACGUAAUGGGAGAGUCUUGUCUCGUCUCUUGCAGAUGUUUUCAAAAGAUGUACAAUCAAAGUUGCUGAGAGAUGCAGAUGGUUACAGAGGUAAGAUCAUAAAUUAUGGAGCUUGUUUGAGGACGUACCAAGCAUUGGUCUCUGCCCAUCGAUGCAUGACUCAAAACAACGGUGUAUUGGCCUCCUUGGUUAAGAAAGCUGAGGAAGCUCACCGAGCUGAACUAGUGGAGAAACCUUGCAUGUACAAGCGACGGCGACCUCAUAUCCGCCAGUAGAACUGCUGUAGUUGCACUAAGAUAUCUUGAAAAGUUACGUUGAACUGAUGCAUCUUGUCCAGGUUAGGUCUCUGUAUGCCAGGUUUUCCCACCUCUGUUUCCUUUUUCAACCUACUCCCUCAUUACCUGUGCCUUUGUACUGGACCUCACAAGUCACAGGAUCACUUGACCUAGUGGCUGGUGCAAUGCGAUGUGAUCCAGAAGCAGUUUAUAAUUUGCCCAUUCUGAAAUAAUAUCGUGCAAAUUUCGUACACGGUCCAGUGGGGGAACGCCCUGAGCAUCUUUUUUUUAUUCUAGCUAGGGUUUGUUUGAGAAUGGAGGCUCUUGUUUAGGGAAAUCUCGAGCGUUCACUCCAACUGUGGGCGCCCAUCCAGCCUUUCUAGAGGAAAAUUCCUCCCUAUCUACGUCUGAAGCGGUGGUUCUAGAUGCAGGUCACUUUUGACUUGGGAGGCCGGAGAAAACGACCAGUGCUGCGAGUGACCGUUGCUCCCACCGCGUUUGGAACUUUGGGUUACGUCCGCGACCCGUUCGUCCAUCCGCCUGCCACCUCCUGCUUCAACCGUAAGCAAAGCUCUGCGGCUGAGGACGAGGACUCGAGGUCCGUUGUACAGUUGAUGACAGAGAUAAAUAAAUGGCCGCCAAGCUACAGCUGCAUUCAGUGACGUCAUCGGCAUAAGGAACCAAAUCCUUGGCCUUGAUGAGCAUGAGCAUCGGAUCCAGACGAGUGGAAGGAGAGAAAUACUCCAUUUAUUUCAAAUUAUAAGUUGUUUUAGUUUUUCUAAGUUUAGAAUUAUAUAUAUAUCUAGGUGCAUAGCAAAAUCUAUAAAUUUAGAAAAGUUAAAAGGACCUAUAAUAUAAUUUAGGAUGAAGGAAGUACGUGGCAUAUGCAAACCUGAAUUGGAAUGAAAAGAAUGCACGGGUGGUGCUUGGGCUUGCGGUCGAUGGGCUGGGAUCCAUAUGCUAAUAAAUUGCAAUUAGGCUGUGUUAUUAAUUGUGAUAUCAUAAUAAUGCCUUGCCAAUAUUAAUGUUUUAAAUAGUGGGAUAUAGCAUUUAAUCGGGAGAUAUGCUAAGCCGCUAUAGCCCGCUGUUUGGUACAAUAAUAUUAUGUUGGCAACUGUUGUAAACUAUUAUAGCGCCGAUGGCCCUACUAUUUAAGAUAGUAAGCAAUAUCGAUAAGCGUGAUAUGAAAUUAGCAAGAAGAUAUUAUUGUUUUUUUAGAAAAAAAAUAAGGAAAGGAAAAUGGACGCAAAAUAGAGUGGCGGCCAGACUUUUUCAGCUUAAUUAACCUUGAUUAUUUUGAACAAGGAUGUUCAUCUAAAAGCUAUUUACUACAUAUUUUUAAUUCAGUUAUUCAACAUGAGCUCGAAUGGUUAGCGGAGGUGGUUGUACCGAUAUGUGUUGACAUCAUUUGUAUUUUCUUAGUAGUGUGGCUAUUUCUUUCAGUAUUACUAGGUUAUGGUGGUAACUGUGUUUGAUAAUUUCAAUAUCUGCUGACAGAAUCCCUUGUCGACAUUUUCAGGGUAAUUACGCGCGAUUGCACAGGCAUGGGAUCGGAGCGCCACUAUCCGUACUACUUCGUACGAAACGUAGAACGUGUCCAUACUUCGUGCAAAACGCAAACUCUGGCUAGUCACAAACUCACAAACCGAGCAAGUACGAAAACAAGUCAAACAUUAAAAAAAACAAAAUAAACAAAUGCCCCACGAGCACCACCCUAAUCCCAAGAAAUCCGUCCGUGCUCUGCAUCCGCCAAGUGCCCCCUGUCAGACGCUCGGACCAGGCAUUAACAAACCGAUUAGCUCGACCAAGCCAUGAUUAGGCGCACGAAGGCAGAUCCCGCGUGCUGCUUCGCGCCACCUUCACUCUCGGUUCCUCGCACUCGCACACGGCACAUCCACAUCGAUCCGCUCCCUGCGACCGCACGUCGCCAUCGCUCGAUCGCCACGCCCUCUCUCUCUCUCUCUCUCUCUCUCUCUCUCUCUGGCUGGCCAGAUUCCAAUCAUGAGCGAGCAGAGGGUUACGUGUGCAGGGCCUGCCUCAACAUCAUAUCAUAUUGUUCAAGGCGCGCGCGGCGGUGAAUAUUUUUAUUGGUAGAGGCAGUGUCUAUUAGCUGAGCUCGAUCGUCUGGAGCCGAUGGGGUUGACGCUCACCCGAGCCAGGGGUUUUUUCGAUUAUCCUAUGGCGAGUCAACGAUCUCACCACGCGGGAGGAUAUUGAAAACAACUGUAGAGAAAAACAGUUUGCUUGCGUCGAAAAAAUGUAGGAGGAGUGCUACUUUGGAACAAGAAUAACUUGAGCGUGCAUGGUCCUGGCUAACCAUUUUCAUUUUCAUUGUCUUGUAAUUUGUAAAUUAUUUUAAAAAUGUUAUCAUCGAUGCGUUUUACAGAUUAAAAAUAUUAUUUGUAAUCUGGUGCGCCUGAGCUCAAUCGUCAUCUAUGAACACAAGAGUUUCCCAGCACGAAGAGAGAAGUACUACCAACAAUUUCCCCGAAUAGGAAGUUGUAAAUAUCGAUUGUGGAAAAUCUGGUGCCUAAUGGUCAAUUGUAGCUAAAUGGUGCUUUCUACAUUUUUUUUUAGACGCUCAAACACACAUGGUACUGCCAAAUAAGACAAUUAGUCGUUGUUAUCAUAAUAGUCUAUGUCCCCUCUUUGUUUGUUUUUCCCCCUCUAGCCAUAUCUUGAAAAAUAGUUUAAUCCCCUGAACCACGGGCCCGAUGAUUAAAGAUUAGGGAUGAUUAAAGAUUAGGGAAGCCAAUCUGAUCUGUUCGUUGGCAUGUUUGGACCUUUUGCACACCCAUCGUUUUCAAUCCCCAGUUUCGCGCACAUCUUGUGACACCAAAUUGCCAUUUCUACCAACACUGCUUCUACCCUAUCAAAUCCUAUUGUUUGUUUGCAUACUUAAGUGCUUGGUGACCUUGACCGCACGAAUCUGCAAUCCUUCACUAUUUAUUACAACCAAUUCCAGUAUGAAAAAAGAGAGGUUCCAUACCGGUAAAAUGUUGAAUCGGUCCUCCCAAGAAGUUAUCAUGUUUUGUACCAUAGAAACAUAGUAUCAUUUAACCACAUACUCCGCUGAUGUAGAAUAUUUAUUGUAUUUGAGCUCACACUACAUCUUCUAUAUUUUUUUUAGACCUGAGCAAAAUCAUUUUUUGCAGAAAUUCACUAAACCAGGCCGGCAUGUGUUGGUCCAAAUCGUGCCAAAUCUGCUAGUUAUAAAACUGCUUGACUUAGUAAUUUGCUUAUAUACUCACUCCGUCACAAAUUACUAUUCAUUUUUACUUUUGUAGAUACAUAACUUUUGCUACGUAUCUAGGUGCAUAGUAAAAGUUAUGAAUCUAUAAAAGCUAAAAUGAAUAGUAAUUUGGGAUGAAAAGAGUAUGUUUUAAAGAAAGUUAAUGAGAUAAAAUCUGUCUACCAUGUAUCACUCACUCUAACAAAUUCAAGGCAUGUUUGGUGAGAUAAAAUCUGUUUACUAGCUAUCACUCACACUCUAUAGCUAGCUACUCCCUCCGUCCUAAGUUACUAUUUAUUUUAACUUUUUUAAGAUGCAUCACUUACUUUUACUACGUAUUAACAAAUAAUAAUUUGGGGGCGGGGGGAGCAUUGGCUACUGUGGUUACUGUUGGAGACGCCUAACAAAUCUGCGGGAGGAAAAAUGGGAAAUCGGAGUACGGGGAAGAAGAGUCGCGGCAAGUCAAAUGCACUUCUUCCUUCAGUGUACGCUCCCUUCUCCCGUUUACCUCUCCCCCACUCUCUCGUGGCCGUGUUUCCUGGCGGCGACGGCUGGGCGAGACGCGCCGCCCAAGUCUUCGUCGGUCCCGUUGCCGGCGACGAGCACCCACCAGGUACGCCCUUCCUUUCCCUUCCCUUCUCUUCCCUUCUCGCUGUGCGAAACCGAGCUCCCCAAACCCUAUUGUAAGCUAUUUGUACUCGGAUCUCCUCUCCAGGCCUUCCCCAUCCCUUCCUCCCUCGCUCUCCCUCAGCCUUCCUUUCCUAGCGGCGACGACCCCGUGGCCAGUUCUUCGCCGGGCGCUUCGCCGCCGCCGAGCAUCCGACAGGUAUGCCCGCCCAUUCACUUCCCUUCCUGCUGUGCGAAAUCGAACCCCCAAAGCCUAAGGUGUACUAAUUCUCUUCGGAUCUGACCAUGUAUUUUACCUGGUAACUUCGAUAUUUUUGCAAAAGUAUCCGGCGUACAUGUGUACACCCAUGUCCUAUACGGCUAUGCUGGGUCCGCCCUGCUUGUGAUGCAAUGCCACGGGCAAUUCCUUUUCUAAUAUAGAUGGUAGAAAUGAGGGGAAAAAACAGUGGCUUGGUUUUAAAUUGCCGUAGUUUUGCGCCGGACUUGCAUUCAAACAGCUCGCUGGUUCAGUAUGGGUGGCCCUGCAUUGUCACUGUUUAUGGAAUUUUAUUAGGUUUCUAGUAGUUCGUUCUUUUAACUUCUCUUGCUGUGGUCAAGGUCCUAGCUGGUUCUUUUUCACUAGGAGCUCAGGGGAAACUAUUGUGGCGUGUGAGCAUGUUGUGGAAUUUAGUUGGAUACGCGCGAUCAUUCGAUUGCAUCCAUUUACGAUGACGUGUUCUAUUUUUGUACCUUUUCUACCAAACUUGUGAAUGAUUUGAAAGUAGAUUUUGUCGAUAGUGCACAGCCAUUUCCAGUGAGGUGUUCUUAACGUGUACCGAGCUGUUGUCUAUUCAUCAAAUUCUGCUUUUGGAAGGUACUGGAUUGUCGGUAUAAAUUUAUACCCAGUUGUCAUGUACACACUGUCACUUGAACAUAGGUUAUAAGGCACAACUUAGAAGAAGACCCAUAUAUUUGAUGAAUUCUACCUUCUUCUAGUAUCCAAAUGUACUGAUGUAUUAUGAACAACCCUGAUAGCUUCUAUUGGUACAGGUGUAAACUAUCCUGUGUAUUCGACAAAUUCUACCUUUUGAAUUUAUUGAAAACGAAAUAUAUAUACCUAAUGAGGUAUUCCACCAUCUGUUCCCACUAUUUACUUCUACCGUCUUCCAUUUCUUUUCUUGGAAUGUCACAAUUUGUAGAAUGCACGUGACCCUACCCAUUUCCUGUAAGGUGCUCUACUCGUGAGCUAUCCAACGUUGGAAUACUUUCUGAAAGUAAAUUUGUCGAAUUCGCAAAGUCUCAGCCUUUUUACCUAUAUGUUCCGUGAGGUUUUCUAUCUGUGCUUAUACCUUUCUAACAAACCUCGAGUACUUUCUAAAAGUUGGUCUUUUCUUUAAGUUUGCAGUGGGGUCGUGUGACCCCACAGGACCCAGAUCAGAUAAUUGCCAUCAAGGAUGGAAUCUGGGAGUUCGUUCUACGCUGGUGAAGGUCUCUCCAUCGAUCCUAAGUGGCUUAUUGACCCAAAGCUUCUCUUUGUUGGGCCGCGCAUCGGUGAGGGUGCACACGCAAAGGUCUAUGAGGGGAAGUAAGGCUCAUCUUUUUGAACUACCAUCUGCAAUUUUCUGAUCUUUGAUCGAUUUUCUUCUAGUUGAGCAUUUAUUUGAUGCUGGGAUUGGCAGGUACAAGAACCAAAAUGUUGCCAUCAAGGUUGUGCACAAAGGGGACACCCCUGAGGAGAUGACCAAGAGGGAGGGGAGGUUCUUGAGAGAGGUGACCAUGCUGUCAAGGGUGCAGCACAAGAAUCUCGUCAAGGUCUACUUUUGCAGCGUCAUGUCUAUUCUUUCCUCAUCAAGGAGAUGACCAAGAGAGAGGAGGUUUUUAAUGCAUUUGUGUACUGAAAACAAUGUCUGCUUGUUUAACAGUUUAUCGGAGCCUGCCUAGAACCUGUCAUGGUGGUGGUGACAGAGCUUCUAGUUGGUGGCUCAUUGCGGAAGUACUUGGUCAGUCUCAGGCCUAGGAGCCUUGAGCCCCGUGUAGCAGUGGGCUUUGCGUUGGACAUUGCCAGAGCUAUGGAAUGCUUGCAUGCACAUGGGAUCAUUCAUCGUGAUCUUAAGCCUGGUAAGACUUGUUUUUUUUUCGCGAUCUGAUCAUCUUGUGCUCUCUAUUAUUCACUGCUUAUUUGGUGAAUUUCUGCAAACUAUGGAUAAUACCGUUUUCUUUUCUCCAUGUUUACUGUGCAUGUGUCAUUAAUUCCUCUGGAAAAAUUAUUGACUACUUCUUGUUUCUAACAGUUGAUUAGUUAAUUUUAUAGUCUAAUAUUAAUCUUUAAAUGGCAUUUGCGUGGGUCUAGCUCAGGAUGGAAAUGUGCCAUAUAGUAACUUGCGGGAUGAGAAGCUUCUUCUCCUUGCACUAUCACAUGCUAUAUCUGACAAUAUUUGGCUUUGCUUACAUGUAAAGAAUCUAUAAUUUCGUGCUGGUGCUGAGUAAGUGAUGCGUAGUUUCCUUGGCAUGGUCGUAUAGGUUGCAUUGCUAAUUUUAUAUCUAGCACAUUCUUUGAAUAAUUUAAUAUGUUUUGUUUAAUUUUUAUGGUAAAUUCUUGCCAUUGCAUGUUAUUGAGAUUGCAGAAAGUGCCACAUAAUUCUUCUUUUAAAAAAGCUGUCUUUUUCAGUUUUGGUGACUAUAAAAACAGUGCCUCCUUUAGUUCUGUUGUAUAUUCUGAUAUGUUGAUUAUCAAGUUUUUUUCCCAUUAUGUACACCAUCUUAUUUUAUAAGUUGUGAUACGAUGCAUUUUUAUUUCUGCUACCACUAUUCCCUUCUAAGAUGAAGUCCAGAUGGUAAGUACCGUCAGCAUUGUAUACUCACUUUACCAUGGUUAUCCAAGGACCUUUUGUCCUGUGCUUGUUAUCAUUUUAUUGUAGUGUGAUAUAGGUUCUAUGGUGGAUCUUAAUAAUUCAUAAGAUUAUUAUGAUGCUGAUAUCAGGAAGCUUACUAAGUACCCAAAAUAAUGUUUUAACAAAACAAAAUGAUAUCUUCAUAGCAGUUCAAGGGUUUUCUUGGUGAGCCUCUGUUGCAGACACCUGUUUGAAGCUGUUGACUUUGAUGUGUUUGGAUGAAUUCAUAUGUGGAUGUACUCAAGUUUGAGUUUGUAAUGAUUCCUUAUAGAGAAGUUUAGUCAUCUUCAGUUAUGAUAGUCAUGCUUCAAGUGUGGAUUAUUUUGUAUGGGGAUUCCGACAGGCUAACAGCACAUGAUCGUGCUCAGUUCAGUACUUUGAUGUAUAAUGAAGCACUAUGCUGGCCACAAAUAUAGAUAAUGCUUGUAUAUCCAACUAGAUAGUUGAUGACUGGUCAUGGAUAUAGUUCUAUAGGUAGCCUCUACUGCAUAGUUAGUACUCCCUCCGUUGUUAAGUAUAUGGUGUUUAGGACAAGCUAAUUAGCUUGUCCUAAAUGUCAUAUUUAAAAACGGAGGGAGUAUUAAUAAAUUUUAGUUUUGGAUUUAGUUGGUAUAGUAUGCAACAACUUAAAGCUGCAAUUUGUGUUGUGAUUCUACUGUAUAAUUUAUCGACAAAACAUUUAGAAAAUUACUUGUGUCUGUAUCUCAGAUCAGAUAUGUUCGAUCCAACAAUGCAUAUUUUUAAUUAUUUGAAUUAUUGAAGCAUCAGUAGCAUAUUGUGGGAAACAGUUAGUUUUUAAGGACUUUUCUGUCUGUACAUUCAUCUUUUGGAGCUAAUCUUUUCUCUCAAGUCAUUCCUUAAUGAUCUGCCUGACACGUGUUUAUUCAGACAAAGUUGAUCUUGUGUCCAUUGUUUUCCCCCUUCCCUUUUUGCAGAAAAUUUGUUGCUGACUGCAGACCAGAGAACAGUUAAACUUGUCGAUCUUGGUUUGGCUAGAGAAGAGACAUUAACAGAGAUGAUGACUGCUGAGACAGGAACAUACCGUUGGAUGGCCCCUGAGGUUUCUAUUAUUCAUUCAUAUCUGUCAAAUUCGGGAUCCUUUGUUUUCUGUAUUAUUUUUGUUAAUGUAUCCUGGAAUGUCUCAACAGCUGUACAGCACAGUUACGUUGAGGCAUGGAGAAAAGAAGCAUUACAACCACAAAGUGGAUGUUUACAGCUUUGCAAUUGUGUUGUGGGAACUCCUACACAAUAGACUGCCCUUUGAGGGAAUGUCUAAUCUGCAAGCUGCAUACGCUGCUGCUUUCAAGGUAACAUCUGAUACUUUAAUCAUUAGCCAUUAUCUAAAAUAAUUGUUGGAGGGCGUCCCUGGAUUGUGUUUGCUUGUGUAUGUUUAUAUAGGCAUAUAUCUCACAUGGUGUUUCCAGUAUGUUUUAUCACAUGAAUUUCUUUUGUAUUUGACCAGAUGAAAGCCUUAUUUUCUGCAGAACAUCAGACCAAGUGCAGAUAACUUGCCUCAGGAGUUGUCAGAAAUACUAACAUCCUGCUGGAAGGAAGACCCAAACGACAGACCAAACUUUACCCAGAUAGUGCAAAUGCUCCUACAUUACCUAUCCACCCUCUCGCCACAAGAAACCUUGGCCCCUCGCCGCACAUUCAGUUCAGAGAACGCAAUCCUGCCUCCAGAAUCUCCCGGGACAAGCUCGCUAAUGCAUUCUCGGGGUGAUGACACACCAAAGGGCAAGAAGGAAGACAAGCCAAGGGGCUUAUUUUUCUGCUUCAGCGAGUGCUAUUAGAACAACCCCAACACUACUCAAGAAGCUGCAAAUACUGAAAGAAAACAUCACCCCCAGAUGCGCUGUGACAACCGAUCGAUCGAGUCUCAGCACAACCAUAGUCCAUACCCCCGAAGAAUGGCGGAAGUUGUAGUCGAACUGUUGUUUCUGCUAAUCAGGUCUCCCGCAUCGCUGACAUGUUGACAUAUCAGCAGGGUAAAUCGAGUAACCUUUUGACUCCAGAAUAGUAACGGUGGAAAUAGCUUAUCCCCCCUGUAUUUUCGGUGAACCAUGGUAUCAUGGAGUUACUGCUGCGCGCUUAGAUUGCCCGUCUCGCGCGCCAAUCGUAUAGAAAUAAACCAAUAAUUCGCAUUUUCAUCAGUCUCUCUGGUGCAAAGCCUGCAAAGGAUACUGGGAGCUGUCUGUUCUGUGUAGCACUUUGGUGUUCUUGCCCUGUCAGUGCUGUUAUGUUGGGAGUUCGAUCCCAGAUUCCCAGUAGAACUUAUGGUCCGGUCCUAUUCAGUGCCUUCUAUUUGGCAUGGUCGGACUUUAGGAUCCUUUUGUUUACGACGUCAUCAGUGUUCUUCUCAAUAUAACAGGGCAGGUCUGUCAGUGGUUUCUUUUUUUUCCUUCCCUUUUUUACUGCAGGACCGACCGGACUCUAGCUAGGAUCUGUGGACAUAACUGCAGUUUUAUGUGCAAGUCUGCAAUGUAGAUUACGAGGUGUGUACUUGAAUGAAAUCUGCAAGUUGUUUUGGGAGCCCAUUCCGUCCACGUCCGGCGAGGCGAGGGGCCGCCGGGCCCGGGGAGAAACAGCGGCGGACACGGACGUGAAGGGGGUCACGUCUGUCUGCCUGUGCCUGUGCGUCGCGGCCGUCGACGAAGAAUCUGCGGCCAGGCCACCCGGAUCAUGCGCCGCGGGCAUCGGAGAUUGACUAGGAAGGCUCUCCACCUCCUGCCCUGAAAGGCUGAAACACAGAACCAGUCAACCAGUGCGCCUAGGAGCAAUCUGCCAAUCUAUUUGUAGUCGAUACAACACAAUUCAUUAUCAAUCUCUGAAUAUCAAAUGACAUAAAAAAUCCUACUGCCCAUGUAUACAACUUCGGCUUGCGCGCGUGUACUUUCGGUAGUGUGUGACCAUGCCAUGCGCCAAAAGGGCUUAGCUAAAAUACUACGUUGCCGGUACUCCGUAGGAGAACACUGGUUUACUUAUAUUAUAGAAUAUGAUUCUGGGAGACAUUUUUAGCCUCUGGAGACUCGAGCGGUGUGACAACAUCGGGCGAGGCUUCACAGCACCGCAUGUCAGCAAGUGCUUCCUUCGUGUCCCGUGGAGCGCAGGAGGAAACGGAGCGGGGAUCUCAGCAGGUCUGUGCGUGUUCGUGGGAUCCGCACGGGCGGCAGCAUAUCCAACCAAACGGCUGCUCUCUCUUCGUGCGGGGCCUGGCCGCCUGGGCCAACCGGGUGCAUCUUGCCGAGCCUGCUGCGCGCGCGGGCUGGCUGGGUCCCUUUCCCCUUCCGGUUCCUUCCUCGCGGCUCAACUCGCGCGAGAGCGUGUUCGUGCACGAAGCACGGGAGGGCAGGCCGCAGGCGCGCAGGGCGAGUCUAGUUAUGGGCGAACAGCGCGGCCAGCUUUUUCUGCUGACGUUGUUCCCGGGCUUUGGACAGAGGUGGAUUGGAAGGAAGGAGAUUAGGUUUAAAAUGAACUAACUUCUUCCUCAGUACCUCCCAUUGCACCUCAAUCCACUUCCAAACAAGCCAGCAAUCCCUCUCUUUGUUAGGUAAGAGCUAGGGUAGCACAAUAGACCUGAUCAUUUGAAUCAGGUUGCGAUCGAUUUGCGUCGUGAUUGAUCUGUUUCCAAUUUUCACAUCAAUCUGUGCAGCUUGAACAACUGCUCGAAGAAAAUACGAAGAAAUGAGAGAAAUGAAGGGCGCACUGAAGAACAUGCAUGUGUUCUAACCCUGGCUGGUCUAGAUGGAGAAGCGAGGGCACUCACAACCCUCACAACCCUCCUACUAGGAUAGUUUUCAUAAUAUUAACGGAGUGUCAUGUUAGCAAUUUGAUGAUAUGGCAGUAUGGCAGUGUAGUUAUUGAGGAAAGAGGAGGACUCGGUUUCUCACGUGGGAAACGAACUAUACUCGCGCCCCAAAGCUCGUAGAAACCACCAAAAUCACGUUGGGCGAUUCUUCUCGUUUCCUUCCUCGUUUUGCCCCCCUCCUCCAGAUCUGCUGCGCGCGCCCCUCCUCCCCGCUCCGCCGCCGCGACCCACCCCCGCGCGCAUUGCCCCCUCUGCGACGGCGCGACCCACCCCCGCGCGUGCAUCGCCCGUCCCCAAGCCUUCAAUCAACCAGUGAGAACACACAUGACAUGUAACGUACUCCCUCUGUCCAGAAAAAAAUAUAGUGUUCUAGCAUUCUUCACACAAACCAAUAAAUAGAUAAAAUCACAUAUGCACUCCUACUUCAAAUAAUAUAUCAUCAUAUAUAAAACUCCUACUUCAAAUAAUAUAUCAUCGUAUAUAAAACUCCUACUUCAAAUAAUAUAUCAUCAUAUAUAUAAAACAAUAUUUUAAAUAGAAGACAAGAUCAAGCAUCCUUGCACUUAGCACUCACAACUUAAAUUGCUAUGUGCACGCACGCAACUAAGUGCAUGCUUAGAGUUGCAAUUUUUAUUUUACAAAUUUUGAAUCUUAACAAGUAGGACAACAAGAUACGUCCAAAAACUCAUCUCCACGAACGAGGAUGCAUGUACUGAUCGGGAUCGACGGUCGUAUCAUUGAUUUGCGCGCUCACCGAACGUACAGUUCGUUCUUCAUUGCGGCUAGCUGCACGUCUAGCUAGAUGCUCGAUCGGCUCCGAUCCGUCGGCCGGGUCAACCCUAGCAAGCAGACAUGCAUGGCUGUUGCGCACCAGCUGCUAGCCUGCUAGCUGCUUGCGGCGCGCGCAUGCACGACACUACGACAGGGCAGCACGCGAUGCAGUACGCGUGUACACCCAGUCGCCUAGAAACAACAGAACAGAACCCCGUAGACGCUGCUAGCGUGCAGCAAAGCUACGCGGUUGCAGCGCGCAUGCAUGGAUGUGGCUGUGGCUCCGAUCAACUCUAGCUGACCAGUAUGGCCAGCUUCCAGCUACUAGCACUCCUCUCUCCUCGAUCAGGUUCCUGUGCCUGCGUGUGUGAGAGCUUUUGUCUCUGGCUCCCUGCUCAUAAAUGGGGGCUCUCUGCUUGGCGCCUUCCCCUUGUUGUUAUCACAUGCCUGCAGGCAUGCUCCGUGCAGCCGUGCAGGUGCAGCGAUAUGCUGCUUGCUGCCGCAGCGCGGCACCGGGCAUUCCCGCCCACUGCAGACUGGCCGGUCACCUUCUUCUCCGAUCCCCGCUCUUCCUCUCCCUGCGUUGCCGCGCGCCGUGUGCACCGGGAACCGAGACGGGGGGACAAGGAGAUCAAGGCUCUGUCCCCGCAUGCACGAUCCAAAGGCUGCAAGGUGGAAGCCGGAAGCUCUGCAUGGUCGUCUCUGCCAUGCAAAAGGCUCUCUCUAGCUUUUUGUUUCUGCCCAGGCCCAGCCAGCUAUCGCCUAUAGUACCCCGAAAGCCUUUUCCAUACUCCUGUGUACUCCGGUUAAAAUCUUGUACAGUUGUACAGCUAUGGAGACACAAGUGACCGAAGGACAAGGAGACAAGGAGUACGUAAAACAAGCCAAAAUUUUCAGAAACGAACAGUGUCAGGACUCGGGACCUUCCAUGUACUGCCUUCUACUCUAUGCGUAGGAACAGUGUCGUCCUCCGGUGUCCGGUACUCCGGUCCUCCUCCCGUUUCUUGAAGAGAAACUCACACGGGAAAGGUAUAUACAUGUGACCCUAUUUCUCAGAAAACAAAAUAAAAAGAGAAAAGUUCUCCUACAUUCGCAUAACGCCACGAAUUCCCGUUACACCCCCCCCCCCCAUAAAUCCUACGGGAACGGUGUACGCGCGCGCGAUUCGUACGUGUGGCCGGCGGCGGCUACAUGCUACUCCGAUCGAUCCUACUGGCGCUGGUUUGGAAUGUGGUGGGGGAUCGGUGGGGGAAGUAAAUGUGGGGUAGUGGGAGCGAGGGCCUGCUAAUGAUGAGGCGAUUAAUUCCAUAAACAGCCUGCCGCGCGCGCAUUGGCCUCCCAGCAGCGGCUGGCCGGCUACCACUGCAGCUCCGACUCCGAUCCAUGGCGCGCGCUAGCUGCGUCCAUUCCAUAGCCGGAUAGCCCCGUCGGACGAAUUAUUACAGUAACAGAAGCACCUUCCUUCCACUAACCACCCGCACUUUAAUUGCGGGGUCGAGGCUGGCAGGGGCUUGCAUGCCUCGUUUCUGCAAAGAUGAUCGGGCAUGUUCAUGUCGCGCUUCGAUUCGUAUGCUUCGAGUUGGACUAUGCGUCCCUACGUGCAUUGAUCUCCGUGACUGCACGACCUUUUGCGUUGCGGAUUGAAUAUUAAAAUUGUACUUUGCCAAACAAAAGGUCAAACUUCAGCGGUAGUCCAAUUGGCCAAUUUGCUGUUUUGCAAACGGAUUCUUUUCUCAAUAUAGUACUUCACAGAAUCAUUUCGAAAGUCCUACAAACCUACUACUUUCAGACAUGAAAAUUGCGACAAAUAUGCCUGGAAUUUAAGACAUGAAACUACUACUUGCAAACUACUUCCAGUGAAACCUACUGUUUUUAGUGAUGGAGCACACUCACUUUGGUUUGAGUGUCUAGUACUUGCAUUCUCAAAUUAUUCUUUCAAUGGUAGUUAGGUACCUCUCAAAUAACUGUAUUAUGUUUAAAAAUGACUUUCUUGUAUCCCAUUUGCAAAGUAUAAUACAUUGUACUUAUGAUCCUCACUUUGAUUCCCGUCAAAAAGCCUUCUUUCAGCAUACAUGCUGUUGAAAAAAAGUUGACGGCGGCCUCGAUCUGAACCUUCAUCGCUUCAUCGCUGACGGCAAAUCCACAUCUUCACCGCUGACAAUGGCCUCAGCCCUAGAUCCGCGGGGCCAGCUUCGUUCGCGGCUUCUACCUGCACGCCUUCAGAUCUGUCAGCAGAAGUUGAUUUCUGGUAAUGCCAUUCUCCGUAUGAAAUUUCAUAUUUAUAUUUCCAAAAAUGACACAUAAGCAACAAUGUACCCCUAGAGCGUGCACCCUCCGCCUCGGUUGCCUCGUCGGCGGCCGCGCUCCUCGACACCGGUGAGAAAGGGACAUCCUGAGUGGCUCGAUUGAGAGCUCUGCCUCCACCGUGCAGCUCAAAAUUGAUGGUGCGAUCUAACUUGGCCGAGCACUAGUUCGAGCAAAUUUUCAGCAGUUUUGUGCUCCAAUUUCAUGCUUGGAUCGAAAACAUGAUCGGGAUGGUUGUACCCGAACAGCAUUUUACAGGUGCAAAAGAAAAAUCGAUAGUAUUCUUGUGCACAAGAUAUUACUAGGGGAAAUGUUUUACAGGUAAAAAAGAAUGCGAUAUUGCCAAACAGGGCCUUGGGCUGGUAUCGCCUUGCUCUAAAAAUGUUCAGCUAGGGGCAUCCACAACGGGUCGUUAAGGUGUGUCAAUAGCAGUCCAUGUCGGAGAGAGGAGAGGAGAGAGAGAAAACGUCGCUAGACGUAGCGACUCUCGCUAGCACGCAAAUCCACGCCGCGGGUCCCACGAACGCAGAUUCCACCCGUGCCGAGCGGGAGGGAGGCGGAGCCCGGCCUCGCAUGAUCCGAUGCAGGCUGCCUCCGGCGAUGGCGGGUGGAGCACGGCCGCAGCGGUGCCGCCACGGGCUGGGGGGACGGAGCUUGGCCGCCGCCGCCGAGCAGCCGGGUGGAGACGAGCUGCGCCGGUCGCCGUCUUUUUAGCACUGGCCCGACCGGUGCCGAGACCACCACGACGGUGGAGGUCGGCUGGGUGACGACGAUGGGGAGGGGAAGCCAGCGCAUGGAUGGCGAGGAGGUGGAGACGGCAACGGCGGAUGCGGCCAAGGUAGAGCGGGCAUGGCCGUCGGUCAUGCGCGGAGACGAGCAUGGCCGCCGGUGCGGGCGGGGGAGGANNNNNNNNNNNNNNNNNNNNNNNNNNNNNNNNNNNNNNNNNNNNNNNNNNNNNNNNNNNNNNNNNNNNNNNNNNNNNNNNNNNNNNNNNNNNNNNNNNNNNNNNNNNNNNNNNNNNNNNNNNNNNNNNNNNNNNNNNNNNNNNNNNNNNNNNNNNNNNNNNNNNNNNNNNNNNNNNNNNNNNNNNNNNNNNNNNNNNNNNNNNNNNNNNNNNNNNNNNNNNNNNNNNNNNNNNNNNNNNNNNNNNNNNNNNNNNNNNNNNNNNNNNNNNNNNNNNNNNNNNNNNNNNNNNNNNNNNNNNNNNNNNNNNNNNNNNNNNNNNNNNNNNNNNNNNNNNNNNNNNNNNNNNNNNNNNNNNNNNNNNNNNNNNNNNNNNNNNNNNNNNNNNNNNNNNNNNNNNNNNNNNNNNNNNNNNNNNNNNNNNNNNNNNNNNNNNNNNNNNNNNNNNNNNNNNNNNNNNNNNNNNNNNNNNNNNNNNNNNNNNNNNNNNNNNNNNNNNNNNNNNNNNNNNNNNNNNNNNNNNNNNNNNNNNNNNNNNNNNNNNNNNNNNNNNNNNNNNNNNNNNNNNNNNNNNNNNNNNNNNNNNNNNNNNNNNNNNNNNNNNNNNNNNNNNNNNNNNNNNNNNNNNNNNNNNNNNNNNNNNNNNNNNNNNNNNNNNNNNNNNNNNNNNNNNNNNNNNNNNNNNNNNNNNNNNNNNNNNNNNNNNNNNNNNNNNNNNNNNNNNNNNNNNNNNNNNNNNNNNNNNNNNNNNNNNNNNNNNNNNNNNNNNNNNNNNNNNNNNNNNNNNNNNNNNNNNNNNNNNNNNNNNNNNNNNNNNNNNNNNNNNNNNNNNNNNNNNNNNNNNNNNNNNNNNNNNNNNNNNNNNNNNNNNNNNNNNNNNNNNNNNNNNNNNNNNNNNNNNNNNNNNNNNNNNNNNNNNNNNNNNNNNNNNNNNNNNNNNNNNNNNNNNNNNNNNNNNNNNNNNNNNNNNNNNNNNNNNNNNNNNNNNNNNNNNNNNNNNNNNNNNNNNNNNNNNNNNNNNNNNNNNNNNNNNNNNNNNNNNNNNNNNNNNNNNNNNNNNNNNNNNNNNNNNNNNNNNNNNNNNNNNNNNNNNNNNNNNNNNNNNNNNNNNNNNNNNNNNNNNNNNNNNNNNNNNNNNNNNNNNNNNNNNNNNNNNNNNNNNNNNNNNNNNNNNNNNNNNNNNNNNNNNNNNNNNNNNNNNNNNNNNNNNNNNNNNNNNNNNNNNNNNNNNNNNNNNNNNNNNNNNNNNNNNNNNNGCCGCGAGACGACCGUGGGCGCAGAGGCGGAGCAGCCCGGCGGCAAUGUUUCUGGAUGAGACGGAGAGGAUGAGGAAAGUAAAAUAAAUUGGAACGCGGGACCCACAGGUGAGUGGCUUAAAGAUAAACUGUUGAAGCAGUGGCCGUUUGUGCUGUAUACAAGCUGAGGUGGCAAUGACACCUACUCCCUCCAUCUAGUUUGACAGGAAGUGUUAAAGUUUAACACUCUACUUUUAACACAUUUUUAUCACAUUACCUCCCAAACACAUGUGUUAAAAGGGAUGUGUUAAAAGUUUAACACUCACAAUUUCAUAAACACCUCGAGGGGGUGUUAAAAGUUGUUAAACUUGUUAAAAAUAUCCCCCUCUCGACUUUUUUCCACCAUUGCCCCCUUUUCUCUCCUCCUUCUCUCUCCGCCGGCCAUAAAUGAGGGGGUAAUGUAGUCAUUUUCCACUAAAGGUGUUAAAGUUUAACACACCAUCCAAACAUCUAAUGUGUUAAACUUUAGCACUCCAUUUGAGAGUGUUAAAACUUUAAAACUAGUUAAACUUUAACACAGGGUAUCCAAAUAGGCCCAAAGAGUAUUCCUAUAACCUUCAGACAAUCCAACAAAAGCUCUCAUAAUAACUUUUGAUUCAGUUAACGAAACGAUCACUUACUUCCACAAUCGAUGCCCGAGUCAAAUUCACUAAAUAAGGAAGGCUAAUAGGUCCGACAAUUAUUGCAAGCGUGCCUGCAUAAUUAAUUCUACUCGGUAAUCCAUCCUAUUAAGAAGAGUUAUUAUUAGGAUACUUUGAACUUUUAGCAUUGCUAUUAUCUUGUCUAAAAUUUUCUAAAUAAAUAGUUUUCGUGGGAUGGUGGGGUAGGCAUUAUAGAGAGCAGCUCAUGUUAGCCAUCGCGGGUGCGUUUUGCGGACAAUGUUGAAUAACCAUCACUUUGGCCCCGGAGAACAUCAGAUUCUCAAAAUCCAAAAUCCAGAAUCUGGAUUGCCCUCCAAACAUGACAGAUUCUAAUCCAGAUUCUACAAUCUAGAUUUUGGAUUUUGAGAAUCCUAGGAGCUGCUCAAAAGUUGAUUCUACCAGAUUUUGCAUGCAUAUUUUACCAUUUUGCCCAGCAACCUUCUAGAUAAUUAUCCAAUCUGCCAUUGUUCACUCUUUUGGGUAGCAAGGGCAUAAAAGACAUCUACUAUACAAUCAGAUUUUGGAAUUUAUGAUCCAAACAACACCGUCCAGAUUUUACUUAGAAUCUAGAUUCUGAAAAUCCAUCUAAAAUCUAGAUUUUCAAAAUCCACAACUGGAUCCAAACGGGGCCUUCACCACAGCAUAAGCACAGGCGCCACCCGCCCCAGGCCCCGUGGCAAUGGACCAUGCCACCGUCUCGGUGCAUGAGCACUUGAGCAGCCGCGCCUCUCUAGCUUCCCCUCUAUAAGUAGCGCACGCACUCCACACCGAUACCCAGUUCCCCAAACAUACUCCUCACUCGGCCAGCAGCCGCAACGCCACCGAGCUACCCCGAGUCCCGACCGACCAGUUCGCUUGCGCAGCGCUCCGCGUCCGGCCAUGGAGGACGCGACCAACGCGCACCUCUACGCCCACGCUCACCUCCACCGAAGCAAGCGCCCCUCUCCGGCCGCCUUCAAGGAGGAGGACGGCGACUGCGACGCGCUCCACAAGGGGGCGCGGUACCGCGGCGUGCGGCGCCGGCCGUGGGGCCGUUUCGCGGCGGAGAUCCGCGACCCCGCGUCCAGGGAGCGGCGGUGGCUCGGCACCUUCGACACCGCCGAGCAGGCGGCUUGCGCCUACGACGUUGCCGCGCGCGCUAUGCGCGGCAGCAAGGCGCGGACAAACUUCCCCGUGCACGCCGCCGCGGGGUUCUGGCCGUGGGGCGCGCCGCCGCAGCCGGCGCACACGCUCAACCCCUUCCUCCUGCACAACCUCAUCAUGAGCUCCUCCCACCACGGCUUCCGCCUCCUCCACCAAGCGGGCCACGGCCACGUCGUCAACUCCUCCGCGCCCUCCAAGCCGCCGGCGCCGGUCGCCGCGGCCAUACCAGCGCCGUCCCCUGUCGCCCCGCCUCCCAGUGAUCUGGACGACGAGGACGUCGACGACUGGGCCGGCCUCAUGCGGGGCGAGCCCGCGGACGCCGGGCUGCUGCAGGACGCGCUGCACGGCUUCUACCCUGCUGGCACUCGCCCGCGCGGCGGCGCCAGCCGCAGCCUUUCCGCUUCCGGCGCCGACGCCAGGGCGGCCGCCGCAGAUGUGCCGGUAAAGCAGGAGAGGUACGACGCGUUCGUCGACAUCGACGGCGAGGAGGGCGGCGAGUACCCGAUGAUGCCGCAGGGUCUGCUCGGCGACGUGAUCCAGUACCCGGCGUUCAUGGAGGUCGUGGCCGCGCCGUCCGCCCCCACGCGCCGCGGCCGCUGGGGCUGAUGGCUCCGGCGCACGCGCGUUGCGUCCAUGCAUGCGUGCAUGGAUGGCGUCAUGGCGCGGGUGUGGCCGAGGGGAGCAUGAAAUGGAGGAUUUGGUGCUUUUGGGGACGAUUGCUUGCUUGAUUCCAUGGCGGCGGCUGCCUAAUCAAUCAUCUACUACUCAUCUUAGGUUUUGCUAGCGAGCUAGUAGAUCGACAUGGCGUGCGUGGGUGCGUGGUGGUGUGUGAUCUGUAAUUGUUCAACUAGGAAGGAUUUGUGUUGGUGAUUGCAUGGAAUCAAAGCUAGCUUGUUCUCGGUGGAUUUCGACAUGGCUCAUCAUGCAUGUUCUCGGUUUCCUACAGGCGUGUUGCGGUGUUGGGAUCGAGCUCCUGUAUUUUCAUUUUUCCGUUUUUUAAAUCUUCGAGAAUGCUUUUGGUCAGAAGCGUUACAUCGACCGCAAAAUGAAUUGUUUUGGCCGGUUAGCGCGCUGCAUGCUUACAUGAUGAAUCGGUUGCGCGAAUGAGCUGAGCAUGAUCGCGUGCGAGGCAUGAAAUCUGACUUGGGUGUGGAUUUUAUUUUGGGUCCGCAUGGAGAUGAAAUUGCAAAUGUAUAUAAUAUACUCUCUCCGUUCUAGACGAAUAUACCCUAGUUAAUGGCAAUUGUAGAUAAUAAAAGUUAAUUUAAGUAAUAAUUCACCAAUUAGUCACGUCUCUUGUCAAUUUAAAAAAAAAAGCAAUCUUCCAAAUAUGUUUAUAACACCUUGUAUUUGAGGACACAUUGCCGUGGAAAGCGCCUUCAGUACUGGUUCCUAACCACCUUUAGUACCAAGUAGCAAUAACCUUUAGUACCAUUGUGCAAUCGAUAUUGCUAUUUCGCUACUAAAGGGAGGCCUUUAGUACCGGGUUAAAUAACAGGUACUAAAGGGGUAUUAAAAAAUAAAAAAAAUAAAUUCCACCGGCCCGAGUCACACCCCGUUGGCUUGAUCGUUCGAGCGUGAGCCCGAGCUGCACCCGCCUGAGCCCGAGCUGCACCCCGCUGGCCCGACCGCUCGAGCCACACCCCGCCACCGCCGCUCCAUCCGCUCGGCCACCGGCGCGCCCGUGUCUCACCGCCGCUCCAUCCAGUCGCGCCGAGCCCACUAGCCGCGGCCCCUCCGUUGCCACCGCCGCUCUCUGAUCUCGUCAUCGUCGCCGCCGCCACCCUGUUGCGCCGAUCCCGCUAGUUGUGGCCACGCCUGGCCCCGCCGCUGCGCCUCGCCUCAGGCACAAGGUGAGGGGCGAGCGGAGGGGGGAGGAGAGGGGAGGCCGGGGAGGGAGGGAGAGGGCCGAUGCUGAUAGAGGAGGAGAGGGGAGGGGGAGGAGGAGGGGGAGGGAGGGGGCCGGUGCGGAUAAGGUUUGCACGGGGAGGGUAGAGGAUAAGGCUACGCUUUUAGUACCGGAUGCAGGCUUCACCCGGUACUAAACUAAAGGUCACUGUUUAGUACUGAGUGAAGCCUUCACCUGGUAUUAAAGACUCUCAGGCACAUUAGUACUAGUUGGAGACUUCAACUAGUACUAAUGAGUGACCUUUAGUACGGGGUGAAGCCUCCACCCGGUACUAAAGGGGUCACGGGAGGCUCCUCGGGACUGGCCGUUAGGCUCGGUGCUAAUGCUCACAUUAGUACCGCGCCAAAAUGCAACCAGUACUGAGCCUAAGGACGAAUGUUGAGUGUCCAGUAGUGACAAAUUUUAAACGUUUUGAUGUCUUGUAUUACAGAACGGAGAGUAUGUUCUUUUUUUUAAAAGCGUAAUAGCUAUUUUUAAUUUUUAUCCCUUAUAAGGCUGACCGUUUUAGUCCUCAAAACUUUUAUUUUGGGCUCAGUCCUGUCCCUCGUCAUUCGUAGCAUGCCAGCCACAUGUCAUGCCUCGUCAACAAAUUGUCAUCGGGUUUCAUUUUGGGCUUGCAGCUUUUCUGAAAUUGAGUGUUUAUGGGAUCGAUUUGUAUCAUGAUUGUGCUAUUUUUUCAAUUUUCACAUCAAUUUGGACAGCUUGAACAAUUGCUUGAAGAGUCGAAGAACAUACCUUGAAAUGAGAGAAACGAGGGGGCAAUAAAGAACAUACAUGUGUUCUAGAUGGGAGAAAUGAGGAUGGCAAAAGGGUCAACUCACACGUUUGCUGAAUCAGCUAAGUGGAUACUUUGCUGACGAGGUUUGACACGUGGCAUGUGACGUAGGAUGAGGAAUGAGAUUAUUCCCCAAAAUAAAAAUUUGAGGAUUAAAACGGCUACUUUGAUAGUUAAAUUGAGCCUCCGGCGAUUGUUGAUGAACGGAAAUGGCCAUUCCGCCUUUUUGAAAGACCAUACGGUGGAUGUUCAAUGCUUAGUUCAGUAUGUUUUUCUUUGGAGUCAGUUAACUCACUGAUAAAAAUCUUGUGGUACAGAAACGCCGCCUUUUAUGAGUAUGGGAUGCCUAAUUUUGCAUUUUGUAGUACUUCAUAAUCGCCAUUUAAUUUGUAACCAAAGGAAUUAAGCUACUACCAUAUAUAAAUGCUUUGAGCAUCUUCAACAGUCCCGUUAUAUCUGGCCCCAUUAUGCAUUCCCCAUAUAAUUUGUACUACCCAAUAUCUUACCUUGACAAGUGGACCAAUGCAUUUUUUUUUCUCUUUUCCUCUCUCUCUCUCUUCUUCUACCAGCUGAACCCGUUUGAAGAGCGAAAUGUCAAAACUCCCAACCGGAAAGGCAGAAACCCGAUGCGACCGGCGCUGUCGGCUCAAGCCACUGCCGCUGCCGGUGCGCGCCUCGAUCCGGCGUCCAUCUCAUUCUCAUUCCGUCCCUCCCGCGUGCACGGCUAGCCAGAAGAAGCGUGCGCACUGCGCAGGCAGCCGCGGGCGAUAAAUUUCUUGUCCCCUGCGGGCCGCGGCGCGGACUACGGAGUUGGUGCCCGGCGGAAAAGUGGCCAGCAGCCGAAUCCGCUGCCGGUGCCGAUCGCCGGCCGGCCGCCGGGUUAGAAAAAAAAAACAAACCUACGGCCGGCCGGCUACGGUUGGGUCAACAGUGUUUCGGGAAAGGGGAAGGGCAGGCGAUGGGACAGGCAGCAGGCGUCCCCGUGUCUCCGCGCGCCUCUCCCCGUCGAUCGGCCGGCUCGGACGGAGUGCGUCUGAUGGCGGCGGCGAUGUGAAAAGUUCUGUGGGAGUUAAGGCUUUGUCGGUGAAAAGUUCAGUUGUGCAGCCUGCCCGGCUGCUCCGCUCCGAUCCACCUUACCCCAACGCCAACGUGAACAGCGAGUGCAGUUCCAGACAAGACGCUAGGCUGUUCCGGGCAGCCAAGUUUUCUACCCGUCCGUGAGGAAGUAACGACGACACCAAAAGCUUCCACAGUCCAGUCGAUGGCCAUCACAAAUCAUGAAAAUCAAACAACAGGCAGGCCUCAAGCGCUACGCUAAAGAUUAGCCACGGCGAGCAGCCUAUUCGUGUGUAGUGUAGCACAGCUUUGUGACCUCUUCUUCCCAGCGAGACCCCGACGGCAGACGACCCCGCGUGCCUGCCGCCCGCAACCGGCAACCGCAAAGCAUGCGAUGCAGCAGUGCUGCACCUGCACCUCAGCCCUCACUCCUCAGCGCGUGCGUGGGCGGCACGGGCAGUGCACGUCUUUUCCUGUCUCCCGCCGUACGCGGACGUAAAAGGGCAUGCGCGUUCUGACUUCUGACGUGAUCGAGAAGGGCAUGCAGCUUCCCGGCCGGCCGGCCGGGCCCCGCACCGCACGUACACGGUACAGCCAAAACCCCCAUCGGCCCUUCCCUCCGCGCGCGCCGGCCCGGGAACAGGACUGAGGCAGGAGAGCGAGGCCACCGCCGCCACCGGAGGCCCGGGCGCACGUCCCUCCUCCGUCCCGACGACGUGCGCGCCCGGCCGCCUUCCCGUGCCGGCCGUCUGUCCGGAGCAUAUCCAGCGUCGCCGGCCAAAUCUCAGAAUGCUAGAAUAGUGAAAGGUCAGUUCGUGCAACGCAUGCUUGGACUGAUGAACAGAAAUCACGUCGGUCGUGUACGGAGGAUCGGGCAGGGAAGCAGGGACGGAGGCAGCAGCAGCGGAAUUUGAUGCCCCGAAUCAUGGCGGAGGAUUUUUGCCGCCGGCAAUGCAGACAGAGGAGAAAUGCCUUUUUGUGCUGGCGGCACCUAGCCCUCCAUCUUGCAUCAGUCCGCGUGUUUUAUUAUCUCAUUCAACUGUAUUUCAGGUGUCUUUGAUUUUUUUCAAUGUAUAUGACCCUGAGAAAAAAAUCUUAUAAAAUUGAUAUGACAUAAAGUAACAUCGAGUACCGGUGCAAAGGACAAAAGUACAUCUUUGGAUGCAUGUGUCCAUAUUUUCUAAAAGCAAGUGGCCAAUUUCUUAACCUCACACCACACGUGAUGCUCUGUUCCUGUCUGGCAACUAGUUUAAAAAGUAACCGUUGCACAUGACAUAUAAUAAUAUUUUACAUGAAUUAUCCUUUUUAACCUAUUUACGAUCCUAUUGAAACUCCAUUCACAUACAAGGUUACGCACAUACAUGGUGUGUACUGCAUAUGCCCUAACCAUCCUGUUUAGAGUACACUAGAAGUGCAACAAAACUUUCACCUAUGUACACCAUAUGUACAUUAUUUUUUGAUGGACGGUAGAAGAAUACAUUUGAUGAACAACAGAUGAAAAUGAACAGUAGACGAACACGAUAAGCGCAUGAACAUAAGAACACGUAGGUACUGCUACAUCACCACCGUCCCAAAUCUCUUGAAUCUGUAUAGCACGAAGGGAAAAAAGAACACACAUGAUUCGAUCGGAAUAAAAAAGAGAAACAAAAAGCAGCAAGAGGCAGAAAAAGAGAGAGAAAAUGAAAAACAAUAAUCGACCACAUUAAAAGGAAAAACCAGCUAUCUUCGCUAAGCGAAGAAAAAGGAAGGAAAAAAAGAAACUAAGAACAGCUCCGGGUUGCGGCAUGCCUCUGGUAACCGCACGUGCUCACUGGCUGCGCUGGUUGUGGCCCACCACCGCGUCAGGCAGGUCGCCUGGGGCCACGUGCCGCCGUGCAACGCAAGGGGCAGUGCAGCUGCACCCCCGCGCUCGCCUCGCAUGAUGCGCCGUGUACGAUGUGGCCUUGAGCGCGCGUGCCGCACCCGGCUUCACGCUGCGGCGGCGGACCUGCACCAUGGCGGACUCGACGCAGCCUGGCUCCGCGACACCUCGGCGGUGGGGGACCUGUGUCGUGUGGAGCUCAGGCCGUCGCGCGAGGAGUACCCCUGGUGCCGGCCAAGUUCGGGCUUGCCACGACCCUCGUCGCGUCACUCGCCCAUGCCGGUGUCGGGAGCAUGGUCCUGCGCGGGCGGAACAACGUAGGCGGAAGGAAGCCAACGGGUCGCCGUGGACGCGGGGCCGCGAUGGAGCGUGGCGACGGCUACCCGACCGGGGCGCAAGAAGCCGUGGGCACGAGCGCUGGAGCUGCUGCUCGCAAGUCCACGCCUUUAUCCUGGCCGUGCCGGUGCCAGGUAGUGUCGCCGCCGACGCGCGCCGCCGGAUCCAGGUCCCUCACGCCCGCCGCCGCAAGAUCCGGCCGCCGGUGGUCUGUGCGCCGCUAGGUGCCGUCCUGGAUGCCUGAUGCCACUGCCAGGGCGAGGUCGGGGGCGCUCGUGGCCCACGCUGCUGCGGCCGGUCACCAUUGGCCAAGCCUACGCCAAUCCCCUGCGUGGAGCUUGGCGGGGUGGCGCGCAGCUGCUCGGCCAGUGGGCUCUGUUGCGGGCCUCCAGUGGAUGGCCGGCCCCUGCGCUCGUGUCAGCUGUGGUGCCAGCAGCCUCUAGCUCCUAGCGGCCGGACACUCACGCGCUCGGAUCCGGUGACCUAGCAUUGCGCCGCGUCGACCAGCGGCGGCCCGCGCCCCAUCGCCCCCGCACCUUGCCACCUCGAUUACAACAACGGCAGCCACGACCUGGCCGUGCCCCCCGCCACCGCCAGUGUUCCUCAGUCCGGCAACUGCGCACCUCAUAUCCAGAUCUGAGAGAGGAGAGAGGGAUGGGGGAGAGAAAGCUCUUGGUUUUCAAAUGAAUUCAAAAUUAGGUAGAUUGAUAUUUACCGUGAAGGGGAGAGAGAUUCUGGACAUGUUAUGUACACAAUCCUUAUCCCCUGCUCCCCCUCAUGCGGACACUAUAUGUACAGGAUACGGUGUGACAUAAAGUGGUCAUACGAAUGGGACAUAAUCUUUGCACAUCUGAACACGAGCACGGUGCGCAUUUCGAAUUCAGGUUGGGAUAACAAUCCUACGGUUUGGAUAGAACCUAUCCUGAUUGCCUUCCAUACAUAGCCCUGUUUGUCAUGGCUCCAGCUCUGGGUGGAGCUGCUCUACUCCAAAACUCCAGGUAGAGUCAGCUCCACUCCAAAACUCCAGAAAUAAAAUGGGGUGUUUGGCUAGAUGGGUACUCUCAGCUCCAAAAAAAAUCAAUUUCAGUGUUAAUUGCCAUUGUUGCCUCCAAUUCAGAUCCCACUUGUCGUCCUCUCCUCCUCUUUUCUUCCUCCUUUCUUUUUCCUCUCUCUGCCAUUGCCCACUGGUUACCCGAAGGAGGAGGAGGGGAAGGCACCAACAGGCGGGGCGGGCGGCGGCGGGUGCGGGCGGCGGGGGGUGGGGCGGGCGGCGGUGGGUGCGGGCGGCGGCGGGGCUCGAGCGGGCGGCGGAGGGUGCAGCCGGCGGUGUGGCUCGGGCGGGCGGCGGUGGGGGCGGCCGGUGGGGCUCGGGCGGGCGGCGGUGGGUGCGGCCGGCGGCGGGGCUAGAGCGGGCGGCGGCGGGGCUCGGGCGGGCCGCGGGGGGUGUGGCCGGCGGCGGUGGGGGCGGCCGGCGGUGGGGCUCCAAGGCCGGAGCGCGCGGGACGGAGGGGCCACGACGGCCGGUGGCAGGAGCGACGGGCGGCGCUAGCGCGGUGGAGACCGGUGGAGACGAGCGCGUGGAGUCUCGGAGGAAAAUAGAACGAACCGUUUUUUGUGGCAUUGGUGGGUAAUUAUCCACCAACUCCAUGAGGAGGUUCAAAAGAGUGGUUUCUGGAGUAGCAAAAGAGGUGUUCCAAAACUCCACCUCCAUUUGCCUUACAGCUCCAUGGAGCUGGCAACUCCAUGGAGUUUUGGAGUUGGGGUGUUUGGCUGAAUUUUUUGAUGGAGUUGCUGGAGUUUAGGAGCGGAGCUGUACCAAACAGGACCAUAAUUCCAGGCAGAGCAGGAGAUCUGGAACCGGGAGGCCACGCCAGAUGCACUACUACUACUGUACAGUACAGGUCUCCGUCUCCUCCCAAACUCUACACCCUACAGUGCUCUGACAGGUAUAGUAUAUUCGUGAGCUGCGAAUGAACAGGCUUGUCCUGCAACUCGAUUGCUGAAUUUUGUUAGGAUUUUGUUAACCGCUCCCGUGGCCUUUUACCUCGGAAGUUUUUUUUUUCAACCGUCCAUCAAUAUGAUCACCAUCUGUCCUGCAGUGAUCUUGUAUUUUCAUUUCCUAGAAUUUUGCGAUGGGCCGCUCUAGCUACGCUCGAUUCGCGUUGCCUAAACUCUACUACUCCAAAGUGUUAGUAAUUCGAGCCUUCUACCUUAGAAGUUCCAGUGCUACUCCUCAAGAGCUACUACAGGGAAUUCCAUUGCAACGCCUGGAACAAAACUGUCGAGCAAUGUAAAACGCUGCAUAAUACUCGUUCAAAGCUCCUGCAAACUACUCGUAGCAAGUAGUCCACGGCCAUGCGGGGGUUGUUGCUCUAACAAUUUGUUCGUCAGGGAAAAUCCGGGCUGGACAAAGAUUCUACUGGUAUGAUCCCGGAAAGCUGCUCGCUGGCCUGGCCUGGCCUAGCUCUCGGUCAGAGGACGCAGGACGAUUCCAACACUGCCAACUCUGCUGGCAGCGCCAGAAGAUGUCCCCCUCCCUUGCCGGGCACUAGGCUCUCCUCCAUGCCUUGGCUCUGCAAUCCUGCCCGUCCGCUACGGUUUCUGCACAUCAGCACAGUCGCACAGGGCAAACCGUGUCCGUGUGCGAUCGCGUUGGAGCUGGAUGGAGUGGGGGAUCCAGGACCAGGAGUAACGCCGUGGCCGUUUAGGAGCGAGCACGAAGCAUUGAAAUCUCCCUGCAAUGCCGCUGGCCGCUGCGGGCGCAGGGGGUAGGGUUCGGAGAUCGGAUGGGCCGGCGCGCAUGCGAUUCGUGCUCCCUGCCUGCCGUGCGCGCGGUGUGCCCGCGAAGGUGCAGACGUGCAGUAGUGCAGGGGCAGAGCAGUGGGAUCAAACGGCUUGGAUGGACGAAGAGCUGCGUGCAUGUCGCGCGCCAUUUAUGCAUCUGGGGUACAGUGCGCGCAGCGUGCCAGCGUAGGUUGGUGCAGGUGUAGAUUUGGCGCGUGCCACCAUUCGACACGGUGCAGGUGUAGCCGUGCAGCGAACUACUCGAGUGCACGUCUACGUAAUUCCUCUGCACGUAUGUUUGUCGCAUCACGUUUGAAUUACUUUUUCGAAUUUUGUUUCUUUUUUCCCCUUUUGCAUUUCCGGAUGCUACAGUACUACCAGUAGUAUCAUAUGCUCUCAUCCUAUAAAAAUAAUCACAAAAAAGUUCAAUAUAUUUCUGUGCCAUGUGAUAUGAUGGCACCUAGGUGUAUGCAUACAGGAAGUAGAUGGGAGUAUGGGAGAACACAGAACUCACUCUGCAAAAUUGCUAAAUCAUUAUUCUUCAGUGGUUCCAAACACCUAAAAUUUGUGUCUUGAAAUUUGGGGGUGUUUGGUUCCUAUAACUUAUUUUUUAGCACUCGUCACAUUAAAUGUUUAGAUACUAAUUAGGAGUAUUAAACGUAGACUAUUUACAAAACCCAUUACAUAAG